rnacentral:lncRNA from 1 species
AGAAAGCUAUUUCCACUUAGACAAUUUAAGAUAUUCAAGGAUUGCACGUUCUGUUCUAGAUUAAGCAGGUCUAAUUUAGGGAAUUGUCAAUAGGCUAACAAAAAAAGACAAUUAGGGAUUCAUUGUAAUUCUCACAUUUAUUUGGAAGAUACUUAUUUCGGAUGAGUCAUACCAAUAGGAUGAACCAAAUGAGUUCUGCAUCAUGAACUUUGUACUGCGCACAUUACUUAGACGGGUUCUAGAAGGGCAUAUAGGAAGGGAUGGAGAAAUCCGGAAUGAAGAAAUCAAAUAUGAAAGAAAAGACAAAGAAAUGAUAGAAUAUCGAAUUCUAUUUCUUUGGAUCUGAGCUGAAUCUUGUCUAUUUCAACCCCCCUGGAUUCGACUUUUGAGCCUUUCAACAAUUAACCAAUUUUACCUUUCGAAUAUGUAUUACGUAUUCAAAUUCGAUGGAUAGAAGAAACCUUAGAAAAUUUAGAAAAAAGCACAUGUGAUAGUUUAUAUAAUUUAAAAGACUCACUACGAGAAGAACAACACAAGAUAAUAAAUAACAUUGAAAAUCUAGAAUUAGAUAUACAUUACAGUACAGUUAGGAUAAAUUAUUAUACAGAAAUUUGUAACUCUGCAAUUACUACAGGAUAAAAUAAUAAACCAAAUAAAUUAAUGAAUAUAUCUUACGAAAAAAGUAAAUCAUUGAAAGAUAUUGAAACAAAAUUUAAGAAAUAUCCACGCACAAAGAAAAAUAGAUUCACUAGAUACCUAAUAAAUCUAUUUCAUACGUCAGGUAUCCGCACCCCUCUCCAAUUCUCAAAAUGAAAUAAAAAAAUGGAAUCUAAUUUUGUUACUGUUGAAUACUCCCUCAAUUCUAUUUUAAUUGUGUCCUAUUUUAAUUGUUCAUCUUAUUAGCGGUCAAACCUUUUAGACGAUUGCAGAAAGGCUCACGUGAUCAUUAAGGUCAACCUAGGCUUCAUUCUAUCGAUCACAAACCACUGCACGCAUUCGUGAUGGUCAAAAUUUUUUCUCUCUUCAUCCUUGUCAAGUCUCAUGCGGUUGGAAACGUUUAUCGAAAGUAUUCUUUUACUAAUUUAUCCUUAACAUUUUCAAUAUAAUUGAUAUUGUUUAGUUUAAAAAAUAAUUAAUUUUAAGGGAAAAAUGUAGAGAAGUUAAUUAAUUCUUUCAUGAUUUUAUAUAUUGACAAAUAUUUUUAACAAAUACUUUUAGUAAUGUUGACAACUUAUAUGAGACGGGGGAGUAUUAAUGAGAGUCCUUGAAGUCUAUGGAAACUACUCCCUCCGUUUCAUAUUAGUUGGCACAUAUGAAUUUGACACAUCUAUUAAGAAAAAAUUACUAGGGGUUUAUUUUACUAAAUUAACUUUAUUAAUUAUGUUUUGAAAAUAUAAAUUUAAGUUUAUACAUUUUAUUUAGUCAUUAAUGAUAGGGGUAGUAUCGGAAGAACAUAAUAACAUUCUGUGGAUUUUAUAAAAGCGACAACUAAAUUAAAACAUAUAUUUUUAAAAAGAAGACCAACUAAUAUGAAACGGGGAAAGUAAUUCCAUUGGCUCCAAAUAAAGGAAAAAGAAUUAAAAAUAUCCCUGUACUUUCAUAAAUUGGUUAAGUUUGCCUCUGAUUAAAUUAUAGGGUUAAAUAUACCCCUACUUUUAUCAAAGUGUAUAAAUAUACCCCUUUUUAAAAUGGUUUUCCACAUAGACUAACAAUUGGGUGAAGUGGGUGCCAUGUGGCAUGCCAUUUCAGCGCUAAAUAUAUAUUUUUUAUUUAAUUUUUCUUUUCUUAUUUACUGUUCACAUUUAUGCCUUCCAUAGCCAUCCUUUUUUUUCAGACUAAAAUUGUCUUUAGGUCGACAUAACAAUUCACGUUCAGAAGCUAACAUAAAUCAAAAUUAUCCCUAUUGUUAUUUAUGAUCCAUGUUGAAAUCAAUGGGCUCGGUUAUGACAAAAAGCAUCUGCCUCUUUUUUUAUCAAGAUUUUCAGAUGCGCAAACGAGAGAUUCCAGCGGAACAGGAAUAGAACCUCACUAGACACUAGCAGUAGUUCUGCACCAAUUUAAGAUGCCAUAAGCACAAACCAACAAAAUCUGCUAAGUUGCCUACUGAAAAAUAAAUAAAACCUUUCAUGGAAAAUCAAAGAGAAAAGAAUGUUCUUGUCUCAAGAACAAUAGAGAAUUUCAACAAGGAUUAAAUUGUGUUACUCCGUCUGUUGCUGAAUAUUGGUUACCUUUUUCGUACUUGUCUUUACUAAUAUAAACAACUAUUAUGUCUUUUUUAAAAAUGACAAGUAUUAUAAAAUAUUUUUUUUAAUAAGGAUAACAAGUAUUUAAAAUGACAAGGUUUUAUAAUUAAAAGACUCUAAAUGUGAAGAAGAAAAAAAAUAUAUUUGGCGCUUAGGUGGCAUGCCACAUGACACCCACCUUAUUCAAUUAUUAAUCUAUGUGGAAAAUCAUUUAAAAAGAAGGAUAUAUUUAUGCACUUUAAUAACAGCAGAGAUAUAUUUAACCUUAUAGUUUAAUCAUGAACAAAUUUAAUCAAUUUAUAAAAGUAUAGAGAUAUUUUUUACCCUUUUCCCUCAAAUAAAAGGCUGAAUUAGCAUCACAUGACCCAUUAAAAAUGACUCACGAGCUUCCCACGAAAACCAAACUACAGCACUUAUCUGGAAAAAAUAUUUUUUUUUUAGUGAUGUUGGUUUCUAAUUAGUGGGAUUUUUUCACUGCCAGCUACCAAGAAAGGGUAAUGUAAUUUUCUAUUGUUCUCAGAUAAGUUGUUCAACCUUUGGAAAGGGUUCUAGUUAGGUGAAAAUAAUAGUAAUAUCUCCGUUUAAAAAAGAAUGAUCUACUUUACUUUUUAGUUCAUUUUUAAAAGAAUGAUUUUUUUUCUUUUUUGGCAAUACUUUAAUUUCAACUUUCCAUGUGGCAUGUUUAGGGUCACAAGAUUAAAGGACAUUUUGGUACAUUAGACACAACUUUAAUUUAAGGCCACAAGAUUCAAAAAUCUUCUUUAUUUUCUUAAUUUUUGUGUCAAGUCAAAGUAGAUCAUUCUUUUUUAAACGGAGAGAGUAAUAAAUUAUCUGAGAUAAUGCUACAAGGGACAUUGUUAAACCAUAGUUAAAAUUGGUAACAUAACUAAUUAAUAAUAGUAUCCAUAAUCUCUCUUUCUCUAUAUAUAUAAACGAUGCGUAUCUGUAUGCCUAUGUGCACCUUUCAUUAGGUAAAAUUCUUAUUUAUCUUUUUUUUCUUAAAUUUUUGGGCUUUUUCUUAUUUUCUUAUAUUAUGUAAUAUGUUAAGAAAAUUCAAAAAUUAUCUCAUUUAUUAGACAUGAAACUGUCAAAUGCAUUUGUGUGAAUUAAACAUGCAACCUAUCAUGUACGAUUCUUUAUUAUUGACAUCCAUCCCUCUUCCUGAUGUUACUUUCUUUUUAAAUGCCUUUUAUAUUUAAGAGAGUAUUUUUUAUAUAUAUAUAAAUUUGAUCAUAAUUGAACAACUAAUUUUUGAAUUAAGAUUAUAAUUUUCUUCUAAUAUUAUUUCUUAGUUGCAGAUUUAUGCACCAAAAUUUUAUGAUUCUCACAAGUAAUUCUCAAGGUAAGCAGAUGUAUUCUUUUCUCACAUUUUUUGUUUAUAUUUUAUAGGAAAAACUUAUUACACUCAUAAAAUCUUAAUAAAAAUUUCUUUCUAUAUUUCUUAGUUGCGAAUUUAUGGUCCGAAAUUUUGUGAUUUUUACAAGCAAUUCUCAAGGUAAGCAAAAAUAUUCUUUUUCAUGUUUUUUAUUUAUAUUUUAUAUGAAAAAACUUAUUACACUCAUAAAAUCUUAAUAAAAAUAUUUUUUUAUAUUGUGAUUGAAUAAUUUAAUAUAUUUUUUAUUUAUAUUUUGUAAAAAAAAUUAUUACACUCAUAAAAUCUUAAUAAAAAAAUCUUUCUAUAGGGUUACUUUUCAACAUAUAAAUCUUUCGUGAAGAAUUGAGAUUAUAAUUUUCUUCUAAUAUUAUUUUUUGUCACAGAUUUAUGCUCAACACUUGUCACGACUCAAAAAUGAGGGUCAUGAUGACACUUGUCGCGGCAUACCUUGACAAGUAAGCCUAUCACCCAAACUGAUACGAAUAGAGAAAAAAAACAGAAAUACCCAAGGUAAGGCUUCUAGAAUGAAGCCGAAACUAUAUAAAUAAUCAUAACAAUGCGGAAAAAACUUAUCCAAAACACCAAUCAUGUCUAAAACUAGGUGUCAAUAGUGUAAGAACUACUAAUACAAUCCAAGAGUCAAAUACAUUGAAAAAAUAACCACAAAGGAAUAAUAACUGUCUUCGAACACUAAUAAAGACAUAACUAGUAUAGAAAGAUAGAGGUGAACUUCGGACGCAUGAAUGUCCAAUCGCUACCUUGGAAGCUCCAACAACCGCCCGAAUCAAGUAAGCUGAGGCGCACUCGAGCUAGGACCUGCACCGAAAGGGCGCAGUAGGCAUGAGUACGAUCCACUUGUAUUCAGUAGGUAUCAUAGGCCGACUAAGAAAAUUAGUAAAUAAGGCAUACAAAAUAUACAUUAAGGGCACGUCACCUGCAAUCAGAAAAUGUCCCAGAAUGGUAGCCUACACUGCUUGCACUAACAGUUCUAAUAUAUCUCACAUAUAUUGCAAAAACACCUCAAGAUAUAGAACAUAAGUAUAUAUUAUGUCACAUAUAAAAUAGAGCAAGAGAGAACAUGUAGAUACAAGAUCAUCAAAUACAAGUAAAGAAAGGUAAGACAAAUACAUAGAUGACAAGUAAAUAAGGCAAUACAAUAUAACAUAAACACAAUAAAGUAAGUACAAUGUAUAUGAUAAUGAUGAUGAUGAUGAUGAUGAUGACGAUGAUGACGAUGAUGGACAAGGUUGUUGCACAACCUCCGGGAUCAUCGCACAAUCCCUGUAUACACCUACGGAGCCAAAGCUUCCCGACGUAGGACCCAUGGGGGGUUCGUCGAACCAUAUACAAUCCACAUAUCUCAUAUCUCCUUUCCAGCACAUUCCUCCAAAAGGGUUUUAUAAGGUGUUACAAUAUUUUUAAAAAGGUGUUGUCAGUGUUUCUCAGAUAUUGCCAUGGUGGUUCCAAUGUUUCAUGAAUGAGUAUGAUAUGAAGAUGUAAUGCUCACACCCAAUCACAAUAAAUAUUUCCACAACCAACCACAUGAUAUAUUUCCACAACCAACCACAAUGAAACAUUUCCACAACCACAUGAGCCAAUAUUCACUCGUUAUUUUUAUUUCAUCCAUGAGUUUUCACAUGUCUCAUAUGCAAGUAAAGUAUGAAUAUAAUCACAAUACACCCAUGGUAUCAUAUUAAACAAUACAAUACAAUUACUCACAUGUAUUCAAGGCUAGCAACGUCACACAGGACCCCACACGGUUAAACAUAUCACAUAAUAUUUAAUUUUUAAUAAUUACAUCACAUAUAGUCCUUCCAACCCUUAACAUACAUUUAUUACCAUCAUUUACUAUCCAACCCAGUCUGAAGAGUUAAGCCAUAACCUACCUCGAAAGUCGAAACCGGUCCGCUACACUUGAACCCGCGACCUUACUUUCCACGAAAAAUUCCUAACUCUAGUAAAAAUAUCAAAUAUGAAAUCUACGCGUAAAAACAAAACCAACGACACUCAUAUUGACUAUUUUUGGUUUGGGGUCAAAACGGACCCCCAAAAUAGGUUUUCAAAAAAGAAGGGCAAAAUUGGAAAUUUACUUCAAAAAUAAGUUCUGCAUAUUUUUAGAAACCUACAGAUGAAAACUCAAGUUAAAUUGAGUGAAAAACAGGGUUCAAAUCGAAGAAAAACUAUUUUUGAACUUUACCGGGUAAAAUCCUUGAAAUCCGUGUUAAAAUCAAGAAUCGGAGUUGUUUUGAAGGUUAAAUUGAUGAAAAACCAGUAAUUAUAAUAUAAAAAUAUUAUUCAAGUGAAAGGGGAUGAAAUUUGGGUUUAAAAUCAUGCCCUAAGAUUUUUGAGGUUUUGAGAAAUUUAUCAAGAAAUUUCUAAGAAAAAGGUGAAUUCUUACCUUAAAUCCGUAAUUAAAAUCAAGAAAUAGGUGUUAAUCUAGCUUCCCAAGUUCUCAUAAACUUCACUUUUAAGCUCCCAAAAUAUUUAGGUUUAACUCUCAAGAGACAAGAUGAAAAAUGAGCAAAAUGGGUCAAAAAUGUGAAAAAGCUGCUAUAUAUAUUGCAGAUUUUUCUACGUAACUAUGCAGUUUUUUUAUUCCAACUCUGAAAUGGACUUCGACGGGUAGGGGUGGACAUAUUUUGGUUUAAACCAAAAAAACCAAAAAAACAAACCGAAAUUUAUUUUUGGUUUCAAUUUUUUGGUUUUUUGGAUCGGAUUUGAUUUGUAAUUUUAGAAUUUCGGUUUUCGGUUUUAGAAAAAAAAUUGGUUUAAACCGAAAAACUAAAAUUUUAUAAAUAAAUAAAUAAAUAAUAUAUUUUAUUAUAUAUAUGAUAUAUAUAUAUAUAAUAUAUAUAUAUAUAUAUACAUAAUAUAUAUACAAUAUAAUAUAUAUAUAUAUAUAAUAUUUAGUAAUUCACAUUCACAAUUAACAUUUAAUAGCGAAUUCACAUACGCCGCAGGCUGUUUAUGGAUUGUUUUAGUGACUCAAAUAUUUUAUGAACUAUUUUGGUGACUUUGGACUGUUUUUUGGACUAUUUAUGCAGAAAGUAUGUUGUUUCAUGGACUAUUUUUACGAGUUUUGUGUUGUUUUGUAGACUAUUUAUGCAAGGUUAUAUUAUAUGUAAUGAUUAAUGACGUUAUGUAUUAUGUUAAGCUUAUGAUUACUUCAUUUCGUUUCAUCCUUGUUGAGUUAUUUAUAAUUAUUUAUAUUUAGGAAUGAAAAACAGGUUUGAAAAAAAAAAUAAUUUUUCUAAAAAAAUCCAUCAAUUUUAAAUGCUUAGUUAUGAAAAAGAGAGGCUAACUACUUUAAUAUUUCUAACUGAAAUAAAAAUUCGAAAUAAUCGAACCAAAUUUGUUAAAACCGAACCAAACCGAAUUUAAUUCGGUUUGGUUAUGGAUGUCAUAUUUGUCAAUCCGAAAACUGAUAAACCGAACUGAUAUCAAACAAUCAGACAGAACCGACUGAACGCCCACCCCAAUCGACGGGGUUCUCAGGAUUCGUUCGAAGUCCGAUUUAUGCAAACAAACUAUGCAACCACACUAAAUUCGACAUUACGGACGCAAUGGCGAUAUCAAAUUUUCCAGAAAAAUUCAUCUUCAAAAAAUUGACCCCCGAGACCUAAAAUCACAAUUUUCCAAAUUGAGGGUCGAAAUGAGAUUUAAAAGCCAUAAAAUCAUACCAAAGAUGCUAACACACUAAAAUCAAAAUUACGGAUCUGUUGGCGAAGUCGUAUUUUCCAUACGAAGUCGUUUCAACCAAAAGUGGAUCCCACACCCAACUUUUAAAUUUUUCAACUUUCCGACCGACUACCUAGUCUAAGAUCGAUAUUUCAGAGCUCCUCGCGCAGUCCGUUCGGUCAUCCGUCGCACGGAACAAAAUAUAACUACAUAAGUCCAAAAUAAGGCUCUUGAAGCCAUAAAAAACCACAAUAUUGCAUAAAUGAUGCAAAAAUGCAUCAAAAAUCAUGUCAACCACUUCCACACCCCAGAAAUACCAUAAUGCAACUACGGGGAGGGGUAAAACAGUUAAAUCACACAAAAUCACAAAUUUAACAUAUUUAAUCAAACUUUUAGGUCAUUAUAUCAUCCACCACUAAAUCUAGUUCGUCCUCGAACUAAGGCAAGGAAAUACCUGAAUCAAUGAAAAGCUGGGGAUGGGAACUACGCAUACCAGACUCAAUCUCCUAAGUAGUCACAUCUACAAGUCAAAGUUACCACUGGACCUGAACCAUAAGGAUCACUUUAGAGCGCAACUGCCUAACAUCCCUAGACAAAAUGGAAAUUGGCUCCUCAACAAAGAACAAACGUUCAUCUAACUGAACUGAAUCCCAACGAAUGACAUGAGACUUGUCAAGAAUAUAGCAACGAAGCAUAAAAACAUGAAAACUGGAUGAACAACAGAUAGAUCAAAGGGCAAAGCCAACUCAUAAGUCACAUCACCAAUAGUCCGAAGAAUCUCAAACGGAUCAAUAUACCUAGGGCUAAGCUUGCCCCUCUUUCCAAACCUCAUCACACCCUUCAUGGGUGAAACUCGAAGAAAAACACGAUCACCAACACCAAAACUCAAGACACGAAGUCUACGAUCAGCAUAACACUUCUGCCUACUUUGGGCCACUCUAAGUCUAUCCUGAAUGACCCGGACCCUAUCUAAAGACUCACGAAGCAAGUCUGUAUCUCGAGGUCUCGCCUCUAAAACAUCGAACCAACCUACUGGAGAGCGACAAUUCCUUCCAUAACUCCUCAAAAGGAGCCAUAUCAAUACUGGAAUGGUAGCUAUUACUAUGUGUAAACUAUGCUAAAGCCAAAUAUUGCUCCUACUAGCCACCAAAAUCCAUCACGCACGCGCGGAGCAUACUCCAAAACCUGGAUAGUCCAUUCUGACUGGCCAUCAGUCUGGGGUGAAAUGCUGAAUUAAGAUCCACUCGAGUACCUAACUCAUCCUGAAAAGUCUUCCAAAAGUGAGAUAUAAAACCUCGAUCUGAAAUAAUGGACAUGGACACAUAAUGCAGAUGCACAAUCUUACGAACGUAGAUACGGGCCAACCUCUCAGCACUAAAUGAGACCUGAACCGGAAUAAAAUGAGCUGACUUAGUCGAUCAAUCCACGAUGACCCAAACACUGUCAGAACCAUAAGAUGUACGUGGCAAACUAGUCGCAAAGUCCAUAGUGAUGCAUUCCCACUUCUACUCAGGAAUGGGUAAUCUCUGAAGUAAACUACCAAAUCUCAUAUGCUCGGCCUUCACUUGCUAACAACAUAGGUAACGAGAUACAAAAUCUACUAUAUCUAGCCUCAUACCACCGCACCAGUAGUGCUGUCUAAAAUUACGAUACAUCUUAGUCACACCUGGAUGGAUGGAAUAUCUGGAACAAUGGGCCUCCUCCAAGAUCAACCUAAUUCGAUCACCACUCUCGGCAUACAAACUCAGCCCUCAAUCCUCAAAAUUUCAUCUGAAUUAGGUGAGGCUUCCUUAGACUCUUCACUCAACAUCUUAUCUCGAAUCAACCUUAACCCAAUAUCGUCAAACUAAUGAGCUCGAAUCUGCUCCAUCAAAUAGGGUCUAGCAUCCACAAGUGCCAAAACAUGCCCUGGUGUUGAAAUAUCAAGUCUGACCAUCAGAUUAGCUAAACACUGAACCUCCAAGGCCAACGACCUUUCCUGGGUCAAAAGAUGCACCGAGCUACCCAUUCUAGCCGACUUCUAGCUCAAGGUAUCCACAACCACAUUAGCCUUUCCCUAAUGGUAGAGAAUAGUCAAGUCAUAAUCCUUAAGCAACUCAAGCCAAUAACGCUGCUUCCUAAGAAGAUCUCGCUGAUAAAAAAGUACAAAAAGGCUACGAUGAUUUGAGAAGAUCUCACAAUGGAAUCCAUACAAGUAGUGCCUCCAAAACUUUAAGGCAAACACAACUGCGCACAACUCCGAAUCAUAGGUAGGAUAAUUCCUCUCAUGAGGAUUCAAUUGACGAGAUGCAUAAGAAAUUACCUUGCCCUCCUGCAUCAACACAAUACCUAAACCAACACCUGAAGCAUUACAAAAGACAGUAAAGCCCACGCCCUCCUUAGGCAAAGCUAAUAUAGGAGCUAAAGUCAACAAAUCCUUGAGCUUUAGGAAGCUUGCCUCACAAGCUUCGAAACACUAAAAAGAAAUCUUUUUCUGGGUCAACUUGGUCAAUGGAGCUGCAAUGGAUGAAAAACCCUCAAUAAAACGUGGAUAAUACUCAGCUAAGCCAAUAAAACUCUGAAUCUCGAUGGGCGAAGUAGGUUUAGCCCAAAUCACGAACCGCUGCAUCCUUAGCUGGAUCAACCAUAAUACCUUUCUUAGUCACCACAUGACCUAAGAAAGAAAAUAUACAAUAACCAAAACUCAUACUUAGAGAACUUAGCAUACACCUUCUCAUCCCUCAAUCUCUAAAGCACAAUCCACAAAUGCUCCUCUUGCUCAACCUCACUCUUGGAAUAAACCAAGAUAUCAUCUAUAAAUAACAUAAUAAAGGAGUCAAUAUAUAGUCGAAAAACUUAUUCAUCAACUCCAUGAAUGAGGCAGGGGAAUCGGUCAACCCAAAAGACAUGACCAAGAACUUAUAAUGACCAUAUCGAGUCCGAAAAACUAUUUUCAAAAUAUCCAAAGAUCUAAUCCUCAAAUGGUGAUAACCGAAGCACAACUCAAUCUUCAAAAACACCACAAUGCCCUGAAGCUGAUCAAAUAAAUCAUCAAUGCUAGGAAUGGGAUACUUAUUAUUAACCAUCACCUUGUUUAACUAUCGACAAUCAAUACAUAUCUGUAUAGAUCCAUCCUUUCUCUUUACAUACAAAAUAGAUGCACCCCAAGGUGAAACAUUAGGUCGAAUAAAUCCCUUAUCCAACAACUCCUAUAAUUGAUCCUUCAGUUUCUUUUAACUCUGUUGGGGCCAUCUUAUAAGGAGGAAUAGAAAUAGGCUCGAUGCCCGAAUCAACAUCAAUAAUAAAAUCAAUAUCUCAAUUCGAAGGCAUACUAGGAAAGUUCGUAGGGAACACCUCCAUAAACUCACAGGCACCACGGACAAAAUCCAAAAAAAGAGGCGAAACAACACUUGUGUCACGAAUAUGGGACAAGUAAGAUAAACAUCCCUUCUCAACCAAUUUAUGAGCCUGAACAUAAGAUAUAACCCUCUUAGGACCUGAAUUAAGUGUACCCUUUCCAAGCUAUACUUGUCACACCAACUAAAGCUAAAGUCACAAUCCUAGCAAAACAAUCUAAGACAACAUGAUAAGGAGCCAAACAAUCCAUAUCCAAAAUAACAUCAAAAUCGACCAUAUCUAACACAAGCAAGUCUACCAAAGUUUCACGUCUGGCAAAAGUCACAACACAAGAUCGGUAUACCCGAUCCACCACUAAAGAAUCACCUACCGAGAUUGAUACACGAAUAGGCAUGGCAAGAGGCUCCCUAACAGAAUCAAAACCCAAAGAAAAAUAUACAGACACAUAGAAGAAAGUCGAUCCAGGAUCAAAUAAUAACAUGCAGGUCUGAAAUAAAUGAAACGGUAUCUGUGAUCACAGCAUCUGAAGCGUCCGCCUUAGAUCUGACUGAUAUAGCGUAGCACUAUCCAUGACUACUAUCUGGCUGAGUGGACCCAUAACCACCAAUAUGGGCUCUACCAUCUCUACCUCUAGCACCUUGGGUAGAACACCUACCUCUCACAGCUGAAAUAAGGUUUUCUCUAAACACGCGGCAAGAACAAUCCUUGGCCACAUGGCCAAUCUCAUCACACAUAACAACCUCUGCGACUAGUCUCAAUACGAGAAGGUACAACUGGGCCUGAACGGCCAUCCUGAACUGCUAGACUAGAAGGUCCACCGCCUAAACUCUAUAAUGCCGCUUAUACUGGCCUACCAUAGUAUCCACGAGAACCUACAAAAUUUCUGUCUCGAGAGGUCUGACUCCUGAACUCACCAAAAUAUCGUGCCUUCUUGGCGCCUCCCUGAGAUUCACUAAGAAUAUCCUCUGUCAUCUUAGCAUGAUCUAUAAUACUCUAAAAAGAAGCCCCAAACACAACUAUACGAAAUGUAGCCAAUAGAAGGAAGACAACCCAACCCUUCACAAACUUUUGAAUCUUCUCACACUUGGUGGAAAUACUAUCUUAGAAAUAUCAAGACAGGGUAUGGAAGCAUGUCUUAUACUCAAAAACUGUCAUGGAUCCCUGCUCUAAAUUAUCAAACUCGUCCCACAUAUGAUCUCUCAAACUAAAAGGCACAAAUCUCUCCAGAAAGGCAUCAGCAGACUGAUCCCAUGACAACUCAGCAACAUUAACAAGCCUACAACUAACAAAUGAUAUCCUAUAAUCUCUCGCUGUAUCUCUCAACUGACAAGAGGUAUAGGCAACUCCAUUUGCGUAGAAAGAGUGAAACACAACUUAGAAUAUAGGGUAUGAAAGAAUUUCGUACGAUAAAGAAUGAAACGAGGAAAUUUUCCUAAAGACAUCCUAUAGCCUCUCAAAGAUAGAUGUGGACGUCUACAUACCAAUUCGCGAGACUCUAUUAGACAUCCCGUUCUUACACCUUUGAGAACAAUGAAACCUGGCUGCUUUGAUACUAAUUUAUCAUGACCCAAAAAAGAGGGUCAUGAUGGCACUUGUUGCGGCGUACCUUGAUAAGUGAGCCAAUCACCUAAACUGAUACGAAUAGAGAAAAAAGAUAGAAAUACCCAAGGUAUGGCUUCUAGAAUGAAUCCGAACCAUAUAAAUAAUCAUAACAAUGCAGAAAGAACUUAUCCAAAACACCAAUCAUGUCCAAAACCAGGUGUCAAUAGUGUAAGAACUACUAAUACAAUCCAAGAGUCAAAUACAUCAAAAAAAUAACCAUAAAGGAAUAAUAACUGUCUACGAACACUAUAAAGACAUAACUAGUAUAGAAAGAUAAAGGUAAACUUCGGACGCAUGAAUGUCCAACCGCUACCUUGGAAGUUCCAACAACCGCUCGAAUCAAGUAAGCUAAGGCAUACCCGAGCUAGGACCUGCACCGAAAGGGCGUAAUAAAUAUAAGUACGGUCCACUUGUACUCAGUAGGUAUCAUAGGCCGACUAAGCAAAGUAGUAAAUAAGGCAUACAAAAUAUACACUAAGGGCACAUCACCUGCAAUCAGAAAAUAUCCCACAACGGUAGCCCACACCGCUUGCGCUAACAGUUCUAAUAUAUCUCAAAUAUAUUGCAAAAACACAUCAAGAUAUAGAACACAAGUAUAGAUUAUGUCACAUAUAAAAUAGAGCAAGAGAGAACAUAUAGAUACAAGAUCAUCAAAUACAAGUAAAGAAAGGUAAGACAAAUACAUAGAUGACAAGUCAAUAAGACAAUACAACAUAACAUAACCACAAUAAAGUAAGUGCAAUGUACAUGAUAAUGAUGAUGAUGAUGCAAGAGUUUGUCGCACAACCUCCGGGAUCGUCCCAUAAUUCCCGUAUACACCUACGAAGCCAAAGCUUCCCAACUUAGGACCCAUAGGGGGUUCGUCAACCCAUAUACAAUCCACAUAUCUCAUAUAUCCUUUCCAGCACAUCCCUCGAAAAGGUUUUUAUAAGGUGUUAUAAUAUUUUUAAAAAGGUGUUGUCAGUGUUUCUCAGAUGUUGCCACGGUGGUACCAAUGUUUCAUGAAUGAGUAUGAUAUGAAGAUGUAAUGCUCACACCAAAUCAUAAUAAGUAUUUCCACAAUCAACCACAUGAUAUAUUUUCAUAACCAACCACAAUGAUACAUUUCCACAACUACAUGAGCCAAUAUUCACUCGUUAUUUUCAUUUCAUCCAUGAAUUUCCACAUGUCUCAUAUGCCGGUAAAGUAUGAAUAUAAUCACAAUAUACCCAUGCUACCACAUUAAACAAUACAAUACAAUUACUCACAUGUAUUCAAGGCUAGCAAUGUCACAUAGGACCCCACACGACUAAAUAUAUCACAUAAUAUUUCAAUUUCGACAAUUACAUCAUAUAUAUGCCCCACACGGGCACAACACGUAGAGAGCCAUUUUUAAUGAUUAGUUCCCACCCUUAACAUGCAUUUUAUACCAUCUUUUACUACCCAGCCCAGUCUGAAGAGUUAAGUCAUAACCUACCUCGAAAGCCGAAAUCGGUUCGCUAAACUUGAACCCAUGACCUUACUUUUCAUGAACAAUCCCGAACUCUACUAAAAACAUCAAAUAUGAAAUCUACGCAUCAAAACAAAAUCAACGACACCCAUAUUGACUACUUUUGAUUCGGGGUCAAAACGGACCCCCAAAAUAGGUUUCCGAAAAAGAAGGGCAAAAUUGGAACUUUACUUUAAAAAUAUGUUUCCCAUAUUUUUAGGAACCUACAGCUGAAAACCCAAGUUAAAUCAAGUGAAAAACGGAGUUCAAAUCGAAGAAAACCCAUUUUUGAGCUUUACCGGGUAAAAUCCUUGAAAUCCGGGUUAAAAUCAAGAAUCGGAGUUGUUUUGAAGGUUAAAUUGAUGAAAAACUAGUAAUUGUAAGAUAAAAAUAUCAUUCAAGUAAAAGGGGAUGAAAUUUGGGUUUAAAAUCAUGCCCUAAGAUUUUUGGGGUUUUGAAAAAUUUAUCAAGAAAUUUCUAAGAAAAUGGUGAAUUCUUACCUUAAAUUCGUAAUUAAAAUCAAAAAAUAGGUGUUAAUCUAGCUUCCCAGGCUGUCACAAACUUCACUUCUAAGAUCCCAAAAUAUUUAGGGUUUAACUGUCAAGAAACAAGAUGAAAAAUGAGCAAAAUGGGCAAAAAAUGUGAAAAAGUUUCUAUAUAUAUAUAUAUAUAUUACAGAUUUUUCUGCAUAACUGUGCAGUUUUUAAUUCUAACUCGAAAUGGACUUCGACGAGGUGCUCGGGAUUUAUUCGGAGCCCGAUUUAUGCAAAUUAACUAUGCAACCACACUAAAUUCGACGUUCUGGACGCGAUGGCGAUACCAGAUUUUCCAGAAAAAUUCGUUUUCACAAAAUUGACCCCCGAGACCCAAAAUCACAACUUUCCAAAUCGAGGGUCGAAAUGAGAUUUAAAAGUCGUAAAAUCAUGUCAAAUAUGCUAAAAUACUAAAAUCGACAUUCUGGAUCUGUUGACGAAGUCGUAUUUUCCAUACGAGGUCGUUUCAACCAAAAGUGGGCCAAAUUUUUCAACUUUCCGACCAAUAGAUCGAAAUGAGCUCGGGUGAAUCAGGACUCGAACCAAAAGUCUACCUAGCCUAAAAUCGAUAUUCCGGAGCUGCUGGCGUAGUCCGUUCGGUCAUCCGUCGCACGGAUCAAAAUAUAACCACAUAAGUCCCAAAUAAGGCUCUCGAAGCCAUAAAAAACCACAAUAUUGCAUAAAUGAUACCAAAAUGCAUCAAAAAUCAUGUCAACCACUCUCACUCCCCAUAAAUACCAUAAUGCAACUACGGGAAGGGUUAAAACAGUCAAAUCACACAAAAUCACAAAUUUCACAUAUUUCAUCAAAUUUUUAGAUCGUUACAACACUUAUGUAGUUCUCAUGAGUAAUUUUCUCGUAUUUUUUGUUUAAAUUUUAUAAGAAAAACUUAUUACACUCAUAAAAUUUUUAAACAUAUUUUUAUGAUAUUUUGUAAUAUGUAGAAUAUAGAAGUAUAAUGUGAUGAAAUUGAAAAAAAUUGAGUAAAAUAAUUAACUCGCCUAAGUUUAUCAAAUUAAUAAUAGUUUUUUUCCUCUGAGAUGAGAAUGAUACACAAAACAUCUUUCAUUUGAAAUAUCCAAGUUUGAUCCUAAAAAUUGACUCUCCUCUCUCAAGCAACUCUUAAGACAAGUAAAUAUACAUUUGCUUUUUGGUAUUUUAUUUUCAAGUUUAUAAAAUAAAUUGAUUUACUCAUAAAAUCUUAAGUACAUAUUUUCUAUCUCUUUUAAUGUUUUUAUCAAAUAGUUUAAUAUCUAAUUCAAAAGAAGGGAUGCAAAAAGGGUAUUUUGGAGAAGUUUUGAAGUUUUUGGAAGGGGUACGAGGUCAUUGUGAAAAAUUUAAAGAGUUAAUUAGAUUUAAUAAUUUAACAUACCACAUUCAUAUUACGAUUGUACAAAUACGUUGAAGAAUCGUCCACACUAAAUAAUAAUAUUAACUCCUACAAUAAAGAAGCCAAAAGUUUACUGCUAAAUGUUAAAUAAUGGCUACAAAUGACAAUCAUUAUUAAUAUAUUUUAUCAUUUGAUGGUAUAAACGAAUAUACUCUAUAAGGAGAAAAAAAUGUCUUGAGAUGCUAGACUUCAUAGUGUUAGUCUUUAAUUGUAAGCAAUUUAUUGUAGAAACGUUUUGUAGUUAUACUUUCUCUGCUUAUGUCAUGUGCAUUCUCUUGAUCUUCUAAUUAAGCAAUCAUUUAUACUUCAUUAUUCCUCUAGAUUUAUGGUUUUGUUUCUUAUUAACUCCCCACCUGACUUUUCAUUUCCUAUGUGUUUUUAAAGUGAUCAUGCAAUAUAAUUUUUCACUUAUAAAUAGAAUUCAUCCGAUAUCAUUCAUUCGUGUAAUCAAACCCCUUGUGCUUAAUGAAUCAAAUAGCUAGGGGAUGAAGCUGGUCAAGACUCAAAGAAAAGGUAUUAGAAUCUGUAUUAAGAUUUUAUAGUCGUAUUUUAAAUUUUAAAAACUAAUAAACAUGUAUUUUUGUUCCCUUUUUAAUCAGUAUUUGUAAGCAGCAACAUUAAUAGCACCUGCGGAGAAACCCAAAAAAAAUUCGGGUGUAGAUUUCAAACGUCGACAGCAGAAUAUGUUCUUCUAUUUGACGAAUUUAUGUCUUCAGAGGUUCAUCUCUGAAGAUGCUCCAAAAUUGCCCGAAGAUACCACUACUAGAAAAAAUAGAAAAACCGACCAUAUGUGGUCGAUAAAAAUCUGGUAGUUUUUUUAAAAUGGACCAAGUCUCGGACCCAACAUGCACUCCCAUAAGUCUAUAUCUAUGUUUAUUCUUGUAUCAUCCUAGCCAUCUAUAGAGGAAUUUUCCCAUAAAUUCAUGGCUUCACCUCGUUCAAUUGGCAACUUCAAAAGAAACUACUCAAACCAACUCGCAAACCAUGAGAUGGCACAAACCAGUCCACAAAAACAUGAGGAAACUGAGAGAUCAAUAACACAAGUCUCGACCAACAUCUUCAUCUUAAACCUCGGCUUCUUCUCCAUCUCGAGCCUUAUCUUCAAUCUCAUCCGAAACAUAUCCCACCUCUUUUCUUGGUGGCGGGUUCCUUGUAGAUCUCUACAUUUUCUCCUCAACUUAUCUUCCAUCAUAUAAGCAUCAUUGUAGACUCCAUGUUUUUUAUUUUUCUUUCUACCAUACUCUUCUACAUGGAUAUAUCGAUUUUGGAAAAAUGGAGUUUCGGUUGAGAAAAAUAAUUUGGUAAGGUAGAGCUUUAGUUGUGGAGCUUGGAUGGGAGAAAAUUGGAUUCCAAGUUCUUCUUGUUGGACUUGAUCGAAUUGAGGGGGAAGUGACUUAUAUAAGUCUCGGGUUUGAGGACAUUUGGUGCUUGGCUUAUGUCUAUGUCAUUUGGUGGUGGACUUGGAGGAUUGAUCAUUUGAGCUAAAGUUUUGGGAGUAGAAACAUGAGAGUUUCUUUGACUCUCCACUCAAUCCAACCUUUCAAUUAUAGUAGAUAUAUCCGAGCCUAAUUUUUUAAGUCCCGUAUUCGCCCUAGCCAUGUCUCGGAAAAUAGCAUUAAGAUGGGACAAAAUGGUUUCCAUUAUGGCCAAGAAUUUACGUACAAAACAAAAAAAAAACACGUUAGUUGUACAAAAAUAUCCUCACUCUCUCUUUUUGUUUCUUGUCUCUCGGAUCCCUCACACUCAAUCUCACAAGUGUUGUAAGCUUUCUUGUACUCUGAGAGGUAUUGAGAGGUGAAUCCAAUAUUUACAAUGACUCCAAAGAGUAAGGAAAACACAAGAACGUAUUAAAAUGACUCAAAAUAAUUAAGACACACAAAGGAAAGUUAACAUGAAGAAUGGUUUCUAAACUAACUUACAAUCUAGUAAACGGUCACUAGGUUGUAAAUUAGUAUGGGAAUCAACAAACGAAACUGAGAAAACAAUAAUUUAAAAGUACAAGAUCAAAAUUUAAACUUAAAAUUUGUUGUGUGAACAGUAAUUGGUGAUAUGGCAAUCCGUGAUUGGCCUCGGUUCUCAACACUUUUUAAUUGACAAUUCACAAUUUGAACUUUGGUGGAAAUUAUUUAAUGGAGGGAGACGCUAGGUAUGAUGAAUCCUUUACCUAAGAGAUCCUUCAACUGUUCUUUCAGUUCUUUGAGUUCAACUGGAGCCAUUUUGUAUGGUGGAAUAGAUAUAGGCUGAGUAUCUGGGAGAAGGUCUAUUUCGAAGUCGAUUUCCCUUUCGGGGGGAACUCUGGGAAGAUCUUCAGGAAAUACAUUUGAGAAUUCAUUUACUAUUGGAACUGACUCAAGAGUAGGAGUUUCUGAUUUAGAGUCUUUGACUCUUACAUGAUGAUAGACACACCCCUUGGAUAUCAUCUUUCUGGAUCUAAGGUAAGAAAUCAACUGACCCCUAAGAGCUAUAGUACUACCCCUCCAUUCAAGUACUGGUUUAUUUGGAAACUAAAAGUGAACUAUUCUAUUUCUACAAUCAACUGAGGCAUAGCAUGAGUAGAGCCAAUCCAUGCCGAGAAUGACGUCAAAAUCCGUCAUCUCUAACUCCAUGAGAUCAACUGAAGUAACUUUUUGAGCUAUUGUAACCGAACAAUUCCUGUAUACCUGUCUGGCUAUAAUGGAAACGCCUACUGGGGUAGACACUGAAAAGGGCUCUGCUAGAUUUUCGAGACUGACUCCAAAAUUGACGGCUAUAUAUGGAGUUACAAAAGAAAUAGAAGAUCCAGGGUCUAGUAAAGCAUGAACAUGUAAGUGAAAGACCUACAACGUACUAGUAAUUACGUCAAGAGAAUUUUCUUGAUAUUGGUGGGACUGAAGAGCAUAUAAUCUGUUCGGACACUGACCACUGGUAGCACUGGAAACAGCACCCUACUGAAUCGGGCGAUCAGAUUGAACUGAUGACUAAUGGUAUUGGCCCUGUUGGCGUGCAUCCCUAAAUUUCUGAGCAACUACGUGAUACUUCUAAAUUCGAUGGCCUGGCUUACCACACACAAAGCACACAUCACUACCCGUUCUACACUCACCCUGAUGGUGUCUGCCACACUUCUGACAUAAAGGAUUGGUACGAGCACUGCUAAAACUGACCUGGGACUUAGAUCUUGGUGCCCUAUCCCUAUUGUCAUUUUUGAAUUUGGGUACUGGGGCACUGGAUGAAGAAGGUACUGGGGUUGAAGACCCCUGCUAAAAGAGAGGACGGUUACCACCUUCUAAAUUUGGCUGAUUAAAAUUAAAACUACUCGUCCUAGCUCUCUUGUUUUCUCUCUCCUUCUUUUUAAUAUUCUGCUUCUCUAUCUGUUGAGCAUGAACCAUCAGCCUAGACAAGUCCAUCUCACUAAUCAGCAUUAUGGUCCUACACUCCUUGACCAUACUAUCAGAUACGCCAGAAACAAACUUACUCAUCUUGGACCUACUGUUAGCAACCAUAUGAGGAACAUAUCUAGCUAACUGGGUGAACUUGAGAGAAUACUCCCUCACACUCAUGCUGCCUUAUCUCAAAUUAAUAAAUUCUAAUACUUUGGUAUCUCUCAACUCCAACGGAAAGAAUUUAUCCAAGAAAGUCGUAGAAAACUCUUCCCAUUCUAUAGGCCCUGCAUCAAUACCUCUAUCAACUUUCCACUUCUUAAACUAAGUAUAGGCUACAUCCUACAAUUUAUAAGUAGCCAACUCAGUACUCUGACUAGACGUCAUCCCCAUAGCAUCCGUUACCUUCUGAACUAUAUAUAAGAAUUCCUGUGGAUUUUCUUCAAACUUGGAUCCCAUAAAAGAAGGAGGAUUCAUCCAAGUGAAAUCCCAAAUUUUCAUUGCAGCAGUAUUGGCUACUGGGUUGGCUGGACAGUGGCUGGCCAUUCAUUCUGUGAUGCUACAAAGUUUUCUAGAGUAGUGAAUGUAGCCCUAAAUUUUGCGUGAGAGGCAUGCUCAUACAGAGGAUCUACCUGGAUGGGCAGAUGGCCUGGCUGAGUUUCUAUUUUUUUUUUGUUCUUCUUGGGAGGCAUGUUCUGUAAACGGAAGGAAAAAGUGGAUUAGACUGAGAGUUUAACUUAAGCUCAUGCUCAAUCGCAUGACAUGAACACUUGAAAGAAGGGAAACUUUUCCUAAAAUCCUUGUAGCCUCUCGUCCAUAAGUGUGGCGUGCUAUACACCCAUGCACAAGACUCUACUCGAUACGACUUACAGACUUUCUAGGACACUUUAAAACCCUAGUCUCUGAUACCAAGUUUGUAACGACCCAAGACUACCCCCCCUAGUCGUUACACAGUGCUUACGGUCCCGAGAGACUAUAAGCUAACCCAUGAGCUGGUACCUACUGUGAGCACUGAAUAAUAUAAUCAUAAAUGUGGAAGAAUACUAACAGGCCAUAAGGUUUUAAUAACUGAAUUUAAAACUAAAAUAUGAGUCUAUAGAAACAACUGACUGAAUCUGAAUAAAUAGUGAUAAAUUGGAUAACUACUGUAAUAUUUGAAUACUGAAUAACUAACUCUAAUGUAUGAAAAGCCUUUAUAACUGACUGACUGAAUAUGAGUUGAUGGGACAGGCCCUAACUAACUCCAACUAACUACUAACUGAGAAAUGAAAUAAAGUAAGUCUAUCCUCGAAGUAUGAGGAAUCACCACUGCUACUGCUGAGGUUCUGAUAAGUCUACUCACAAACCAGGAACUGAGCAUCAAAACCUAUGAUAUAAGACAUCAUACCGUAAAAUAAAAGGGUAUACUAUCAGUACUUUGAAUGUACUGGUAUGCUAAAUAAGGUAGGCUGAUAUGCAUGAUUUCAUGAAUAGGAAUAAUAAACUAUAUGAUAUAUAUGUAAAGCAUGAGAUACUGAAUAGAGAACAUCAAAUCUAUAGGCACUGGAGAUACGUGAAGCAUGUAAAUACUAUGUACGCAUGAGAAUCUAUGAAUACUGAAAAUACGUAAAAAUCAGUAAACACUGAGGAUGCAUGACUAAGCAUAUAACAUGAACUGAGUAAAAUCUAUAAACUAACAUGAACUGAGUAAAAUCUAUAAACUAAAGUACUGAAAUGACUGAAAUUUGUAUGCUUUGGUCAAACAACACUAAGACUAAAUAACUACACUGAGACUGUAACUGAGACUAUAUCUGAGACUGUGGGAGGUAUCAUCUAACCGACAUUCCCCAAUUUGAGCUAAUCGGGGUCCAACCUGUAACCCCAACUGGAAGGGUAUUAAUACUGCGCCACGGGUACUAACAAUGGUUUUGUGGACCACUAAACUAAUAUAAUAUCUAAAGGACUAAGGGUGUCAAGCCUGAACUGACGGGUGACCCCUGCGAGAUAGUCAAGCCUAAUCUAAUGGGUGACUACUCAUAUCCUAUGCUGGCUUUGUAGUUCUGGAGUAUAGGGACUGCUACUAACUACUCUGCCUAUCUUACGGGGAAGUCGUCAUCCCUACACUCUCUCGGUGAUAAAUCCUACUCCCAACUGAAAGACACUGAGACACUAGACUGUUCUGAGUUUAAUUAACUGGUAUUUGACUAUUCUGAAGUGCUCAUAGUAUAUUCUGAAAACUGUUCUGUAAUAUACUGAGACUAGACUAAAUAAAUAUCUAUGGAUUUCGGGUAUUCAAUACCCCCAGGACUCAAAACAAUUAUAGUAAAAUGACACUAACACUUGAAGAUCAAAACAUGAAGGCUCUUAAUAAUUAAAUCACUCUUGUAGGCAUUUUAUCAAAUACUUGUAGUUCAUGGUUUAAAACAAUCAUAGGAAUGUCUUGAAAUUUGUAGGAAUAGCAUGAAUUCAUCAUAAUAGCAUUAAACCAUGGUUUAAUUUAGUAAAUAAUAGUAUUAAAACAUGGAAGAUUGAAUAAUAACAAUAACUUCAUGGUAACAUGGUAUAAAAUCAAUAGUACAUGGAGAUUUAUGGAUCGAAUCAUAAUUUAAAACAUGAUAACUUAAAAAUAUCACAACUUUAUGAUUUAAAAGUAUUGCUUGGACUCCAUGGAUGAAAGGGAUACAUGGAUGAACAUCUAACAUACCUGGGAUGAUGAAUUUGGAAGGAUUGAUGGAGAGUUCUUGAGAAAUUACCUUAAAUUUGAGAGCUAGGGUUUCUUGUACUUGAAAAGGAGAUCUUUAAUUUUGAAGAGGAAUUGAAUAAUGAUGACUACUUAGGGUGUUUACGGGUUGAAUUUUAGGUCAAUUAGGGACGUGGAAAAAGACCCAAAUACCCUUAAACGAAUUUAAAAUCGAAAGUUGAAAACUGACCAUCCUAAUUUUUGCCCUUGGCACGACUCACCACUAUCGCGCUAAGCCACUAAAAAAGGGACAACUGGGAACUGAGGGCAUGGCGCGACGCGGAGAAAUCAUGAUGCCCUUUUGAUUCUAAAAUUCACCCUUGGCGUGACGCGCUAUUAUCGCGACAGGACACUAGAAAAUAAUAAUUGGGAUUUUGGCUGACGGCGUGACGUGGUGGUUUUGCAGAGCUUCACUGGAAUUGACAAUCAUCAUUUAUGUUGGCUCCGCGAUGCGCUAAGGUUUAAAAUGGCGAUACUUUAUAUCUGAAACUUAAAAUUGCCAUAACUUCUUACCCGGUUAUCAGAUUUAGGAGAAUUUCAUAUUGUUAAAAAGCUAACUAAAUUUUCUACGUAAUGGAAGGCUCUAAAAUGAAAAAUAAUGAGUUUUUAAAAAAUUUCAUAUAAUACUCAUGUAUGGGACUUAGAUAAUGCUAGAAAAUAAGGGGUGUUAUAUGAAUGGGUGCACCUUUCUGAACCAUUGCUUCUCUUCAUAAAGCAACACCUUCAUGGCUAUAAGUACCUGGAUUUUCAUCAGGUAAAGAAAAUAAUUUUGUUUAGAAAAACAACCUUCUUCUUCUUCUAAAAAACUCUUGUGUGAUCAUCAAAUCAUUGCGUGUGUUUGAAGUUUCUCAAAAUUUGAGGCACCGCUAUUUUCAUAAAGAGAAUUAUUUUACCCUGGGAAAAAAGAUUCCAUAACCUCGGGUACUUGAGGGGAAUAAAUUCCUUAAGGACACAUUGUGUAUUCAGUGGACUUGAUUCUACAAUUUUCUAUUUCACCUUCCUUCUUAAAGUUGAUAAACACUUUAUUUGAUAGUUCAUUCGAUUAUUUAUUUGGACUAGUGUUUGAAGUUGUUGUAACUUUAUUGUAGUCCUUCAAAGUUGUUCUUGAACUAAGUAUUGAAUUUUGGGUUGAAACAUGCAUAUUUUCAUACCCGUAACAAUAUAGAGUUGGUCAAAUAUUGUUCCCAAUUAACAACUGGCGUGUAGAGGUGUUAGGUCAACUCAAAAUCAGGGUGUAUUUUAUAUAAAGGAAGUGAUAGUUAGGUAGGUAAACAACUAAAUAUUACCAUGUAUAGUUGAGAUAUGAAACUCACGAAGAAAUGAUAGUUUAAAUAUAAUGUUUUUUUUUACUAUUUAUCUCUAUAUAUACACAUAUUAAACUGACCCUGAAAUAAAGUUUCUAUGGUUAGAUUUUGUUAAAGGAAAAUAUGUUAUUGGAAAUUGUCACUAGAGAAAAGGAACAAAAACUAAUGGUUUAUAUAACUUUUUAGGAAAGGUUUAGCUGUUGGAAAAAUUACUACAAUAUUGAUAUGGACAUGAAAUUAACAAUAAUAGUUGAAUAGUAACAAAUACUGUAUUGUGGCAAGCCACUUCCUUGAAAGAGAUUUCGGCCCGACUCUGGUGGAAAUCCUUCGAGCCAGCCACUCCCAAGGUUCCACAACUAUUUUCAAAUAAGUGCACUCGUGGCUGGAAGUUUGGAGAUUGCCUAAACCAAUUGCCCAAAAUAAUUCAAGAAGAGGAAAGGAGAAAGACUUUUUUUCUUUUUCUUUCUAUUUAUUGUAUAUUUUAUUCUCUUUAGGUGCUUCUUAUAUAGCAUAUUGAAAUAGAAAAGACGAAUGAACUUUGAGAUAUUGAUGGUGAGCAUUAAUGACAUUAAAGAGAAUUACUAUAAUGUUAUUGAAUUUACAUUCCGAGGAGGUAUAUUUAUUUUCAUUGUAACGUAUGAGUGUAUGUUCAACUCUCUUAAACGUACUUUAUUUAUUUUUCUUUAUUCAUUGCAUUAUACAAAUACUUUAAGGAGCAUUAACUCCAUAAUCUCCUACUAAUGUAAAGAUAAAGAAUAUAAAUAAAUUCUAGGAAAGAGGAAGGAACAUGUACUCAAGUGUCAAUAUCUUUCGAUUUGAAUUGACACGUAGUGAUAUGAGGUAACAACUAAAAUCCAAAAAGUGAAGUACUCUUGAACUAGAUGGACAUAAGUUGAGACUCCCACAACACAUACCAUAUCCUUGAUUUUAAGCAAUCUCUGUGAUACUACAAAGUAUUUUUUAUGGUCAUGCACACAAAUAUUGGGUUUCAUGAGUGCUUUAGAAAAACAACUCAAGUCUUUUAUAGAAAGGUAACCAAUCUUUUACACUCACGUAGGUGAUCCAUCAAGUCUAUCUCAUUGACCACCUUAAGGCUAUAGAUUAUUGAGAGAAAAACUAGGCUCAACUUUAUAAUAAAAUACCUUACGCUAUAGGAAUAGGAUAUGUAGUGUUUAUUGAAGGAUUAUAUAGCUUUGUUUGACCACAAAUGGGUAUCCAUCAUAUUAUAUCAAUCCAUGGGCUUUAGCCCCAUUCCCUCGACGAUUCAAGGACCAUUUUUUUGUUAAACCCUUGGUCAUAUGAUCAGACAAAUUUCUUUCGAACCUUAGAUAUUCCAAGAAGAUAAUACCAUGUUUCAAUAAUUGUUUAACUACACCAUGUCUGAUGCAAAUAUGUCUCUUUUUACCAUUGUAUACAUUAUUUUUAGCAAUUUUAAUUGCCGCCUGUGAGUUACAAUGUAAAGUUACUGGUGAUAUUUGUCUUCCCCAUAAAGGCACAUCUGUCAAAAGAUUUCUUAGCCACUCAGCUUCUUACCCUGCCAACUCAAAAGCAAUGAAUUCAGAUUUCAUGGUAGAACGUGCUAUACAAGUCUGCUUCAAAGACUUCCAUGAAAUAGCACAUGCACCCAAAGUAAACACAUAGACACUGGUAGAGCUAGCUUUACCAUUGUCAGCUACCUAGUUUGCAUCACAAAAACCUUCUAAAAUGGCAGAAAAUUUAUUAAAAUGCAAAAACCACUCCAUAGUACCUCUUAGAUACCUUAACAAGCGAUGAAGAACAUUUCAAUGUUCACUACUGGGAUUAUAAGUAUAUCUACUUAAUCUACUAACAAUAUAAGCUAUAUCAGGCCGAGUAUAAUUCAUGAUAAACAUUACACUCUCGAUUAUUUUAGCAUAUUCAGUUUGAGAAACACUAGAAUCUCCAUUCUUUUUUAAGUGUAUGCUAAGAUCAUAAGAGUUCUCACUGAAACUACAUCAAAACAAUCAAACCUUUUCAACAUUUUUCAAUAAAAUGAGACUGACACAAAUAGAAAUCAUUAACAGUUCUUUUGAUUUUUAUCCCUAAAAUCACAUCAGCUUCUCCAAGGUCUUUCAUUUCAAAUUUAGAAAAAUAAAAUUUCUUAAUCUUAUUUACAACAUUCACAUUAUAACCGAAGAUUAACAUGUCAUCCACAUAUAAAUGUAUAAUCACAUAAUUUGAUCCUAUUAUUUUAGAAUAAACACAAGUAUCGGAUGAAUUAACAAUAAAGUAAUUAUUCAUUAAUGUGAAAUUAAAAUUUUCAUACCACUGCUUAGGUGCUUGAUUAAGUCCAUAUAAGGACUUUCUCAAUUUGCAUACUUUAUCCUCUUAUCCUGAGACCACAAAACCCUUAGGUUGGGUUAUAUAGAUCUCUUCCUCUAAAUCACCAUUUUAAAAUAUAUUUUUGACAUCCAUUUGAUGUACCACUAAACUAUAAAUAACGGCUAGAGUAAUAAGAGUCCUAAUGUUCGCUAUUUUAGUCACGGAAGAAUAAGUAUCAAAAUAAUCAAUACCUUUCUUUUGGUUAAAACCCCUAAUAAUAAGUAUAGACUUAUAUUUAUCAAUUGUACCAUCAGGCCUCAAUUUCUUCUUAAAUAUCCACUUGCUACUUUUGAGUUUACAACCUUUAGGCAAAUUAUACAAGUCUCAGGUGUGAUUAGAGACUGUAGAGUCUAAUUCACUUUUAAUAGCCUCUUUCCAAAAUAUUGCAUCUAUUGAACUCACUGUUUUAUCAUAAGUUUUAGGGUCUUCUUCUAUUAAGUAGAUAAACACUAAUUCAUCAUUUAAAGUAUCAAUAUCAAACCCUCAGUUAAGAAGGUGGUGAUAAAAUCAGAACCAAAACUAGUCUUAAUUCUACGUCUUUUACUCUUUCUAAGUUUAUUUUAAUGCCCAUUAGCAAUAACAUCAAAAGAAAGCAUAACAUAUGGGUUAACAGAAACAGAUACAGUAGUAUUAUUGUACACAUCACUAGGCACAUCAUUUUUCAAAGGAAAAACAUGCUCAAGAAAUUCUGCAUCUCUAGAUUCACAAAUAGAAUAAUCAAUUAAUGACCUAAAUCUAUAUGCAACACUAUUUUGAGAAUAACCAAUAAAGACAGUUUCAAAAGUCUUAGAGCCUACAUUUACCCAUCUAAAAUCAGGUAGACCAACCUUAUCCAAACACCCUCACACUUUCAAAAAUUUCAAGUUAGGAGCAAACCCUUUCCAUAACUCAUAUGAGGUCUUGUCUAACUUUUUAUGAGGGAUUCUAUUAAGAAUAUAGCAUGCAUACAAGGAAGAUUCCCCCCACAUAUAGUCAGGUAGACCUGAGCUUAAAAUCAUAGAAUUCAUCAUUUCCUUAAGAGUUCUAUUUUUUCAUUCGGCUACACCAUUUUGUUGGGGAGUAUAACGAGCACUAAACUUAUGGAUAAUAUUAUUUUUUUUUUACAAAAAUCAUCUAUAGUUUUAGUACUAUAUUCACCGCCCCUAUUAGAUCCAAAUCUCUUGAUUUUUUUGUCUAAUUGAUUUUCUACUUCUGCGUUGAAUUUUAAAAAUAUGCUUCCAGCCUCAUCUUUAGACUUAAGGAGGUAUACCUUAGUGUACCUAGAAAAGUCAUCAACAAAAGUAAUGUAAUACUUCUUUUCACCUUUACUAAUAGUGUUCUUAAAAUCUGCAAAGUCUGAAUGUACUAGUUCAAGCAAUUUGGUCUUUCUACUAGUAACAUAUUUAAAAGGUUUCUUGGCAUGCUUUGCUUCUACACACACGGGACAUUAGAAAUAUCAUCAAUGUUUACUGCAGGGAUUAAUCUCAUUUUUCUAAGUCUUUUAAUAGAAGUAAUAUUAACAUGACCUAGUCUACUAUGUCAUAAACUGAUAGACUCAACAAUAUAAGCAGAAUUAGGAAUAUUUGCAUUAUUGACAAUCUCUUGAUCAAUGUUCAGUACAAAUAAGUCCCCACUAAGGUAUCCCUCCCCAACAAAGUCUCUGCCAUGAAAAAUAAUUAUUUUAUCAGUUUCAAAAAUAAGUUUAAGACCUACUUUAUUGAGAAGUGCUUCAGAAACUAAGUUUCUACUGAGCGAGGGUGUAGGACAUUGUUCAAGGCUAAAGUUUUUUCAGAAGUUAAUUUAAGUAAAAAUUUUCCUUUACUCAAAAAGCCAGCAGUAGUGGAGUUACCCAUGUAGACACACUCGCCAUUGGUGGAUUCCUCAAAGUCAUGGAAUAACUCUUUAUUGGCCCAAAAAUGCCUUGAAGCGCCUGUGUCCAGCACCUAAUCAUUUUUGUUAGCUACCAGAUUUGCCUCGACGAUUACUGCAGCAAUUACUUCAUCAUCCUCAGUAAGAUGAGAUUGAACAUCAUCUUGCCCUCCCUGUUUUGAGUUUCACAAACUAUCCCAAAUUUCUUUAGUAGAUUUUAAGUAACAAAUAAAUCAAACAAAGUAUUAGUCAUAUGACUUAAUAAAUGUCCUCUAGCAUUUUUGCUAUCCUUUUCAAAUUUCUUUUUAGCCACAUCAUCAACCAUAAUAGUGUUAGAUCGAUCAAUAGAGGGUUUAUUAAAUAAAACAUAAUCAACUUCUAAUAGUUCAAAGAAAAUCAGAAGUUUUUGUGACCAACGUUUAAAAUUAUUUUCAUCCAAUUACUAAAGUUUUGAUAAAUCAGGAAAAUUUUUGUUCAAAGAAAUAGCUAUUUAUCAAUAUUAUAUGUAAGGAAAUCACUUUCAAAUUGUUGAAAAAUUACUACAAUAUUGAUAUGGACAUGAAAUUAGCAAUAGUAUUAAAAUAGUCACAAAUACUGUGUCGUGGCAAGCCACUUCCUUAAAAGCAAUUUCGGUCCGACUUCAGUACAAAUCCUUCUAGCCGGUCACUCCCCAAGGUUCCACAACUACUUUCAAACACGUGCAUUCGUGGCUAGAAGUUUGGAGGUUGCCUAAAUCAAUUGCCCAAAAUAAUUCAAGAAGAGGAAAGGAAGAUGACUCUUUUUCUUUUCCUUUCUAUUUGUUGUAUAUUUUCUUCUCUUUAGAUGCUCCUUAUAUGGCAUAUUGAAAAAGAAAAGAUGAAUGAAUCUUGAGAUAUUGUUGAUGAACAUUAAUGACAUUAAAGAGCCAUUACUAUAAUGUUAUUGAAUUUAUAUUCGGAGGAGGUAUGUUUAUUUUCAUUGUAACGUAGGAGUGUAUGUUCAAUUCCUCCUAAAUUUACUUAAGGAGCAUUAACUCCACAUUGGCAAGUAGGAAAAGUUUUAGGUUAACCUAUAUGACAUUAAAAGCUAAUUAAUCUGAUACAUCAGGCAAGCAUGAAAAAAAUGUUUAUAUAUAUCUAAAUGUUGUCAUAUGAAGGAACAUUUUGUCUUAGUGGAGAUAUAAUUAAUUUUGUGGAUAAAAUUCUUAAUUAGAGGCUCAUAUAUAAUGAAUACUAUAUAAAAGAGAUUACAAGCCUUUGGAAGAAGCAAUGCUAUUUUUUUCCUUUUUAUUCGGUGGUUAACGAAUGAUGACCAUUAGGCUAUAAUAUUAAUUAAACAGGAUGGUUUAAUUAACAACAUGGACAAGGAAGUGGAUGGUUACUUAAAAUAAAAAGUGGUUAUUUUUGUUAAUUAUGGUGGCUUAACCACUAAUAUUAACAAAAGAAGGAAUUAUGACAAUGAAGAGAAUGUGCUAAUGGUGCAAAUUGCUUUUGACAUUAAUGGAGUUAACUGUCAGCCUUCUCUAGCUACUAAUUAACAAUUUAGAUAAUGUUUGUGACUAAUUUUAAUUUUCUUCAAAAAGAAUAAAAUAAAACAACUUAAUCAGAAGAGAAGAAUUAAAACGAAUCAUGUCCAAAAUUUGGUUAUCAUUUCGGUAGUCAAUAUACAUCAUCUCAAAGUAGUUCACGCUAGUAAUAUAAUUGUAUUUUAUUCAUGGUCAUUUAGCUUUGUGUGCAUUAUAAAAAAAUUAUUUUGUGUAAUGAAAGAAAAAAAAUAACUUUUGUGUAAUGAACAUAAAGCUAAGGCUGGGGCAGCUCUACCUCAUAAAAAAAUAGGCGGUCGUCUUAGGCUCUCAAAUUUUAUAGGCCUUAUUUUAUACGAUAAUUUAUUAUAAAUAGUUUUAAAAAAAAUAUCAUUUGUUGAAUAAAUAAUAUUUUUUAUAUAAAAAGAACGAAUUAUUAUAAGAAGUUCGUAUAUCCAAAGUACUAUGUUUCAAGAAAAAUUAAAUGCAUUGAUUAUAAUAUUACUUAAAAAAAAUAAUUAUAUAAUUUUGAAAAUAAAUUUUAUUAAAAAAAAUUAUUUAACAAAAAAAAAUUUAAAAUUUUUAUAUGAUUUUGCCUUAAACCACAAAUAUACUUGAGCCGCGCGUGAGCUAAGGAAUCAUGUCAAUGAUGUAAAUUUUGGCCAUUUUGGCGUAACCAAAAAAGUUCUUAACUUGUCUACUUCAAGUAUUUUUGUCAUAAAGAAAGGCGGAACCGUCCAAUAGAAUGUAAAACUACACCUUCUGUAUCCGAAGUGGAUAAGUAUAUCUCCACUAAGACAAAAUGUCCCUUCAAUAAACAAUAUUAAGGGGUCAUUUGGUAGAGUAUAUUAUAAAAUAUAAUAUAUGCAUUAGUUAAUACGUACUAUUAGUAUCUUAUUUGAUAUAUUUUUUUGCCUAUAUAGCAUUAGUUAUAUACUCUAUUAUGUAUUGAAGUGUGUAUUAGUAAUACACUCCAUUUUCUAUGUAUUAGUAAUACAAUGACUUUAAACAUAUGUAUUAACUUAUUAAAUGACCUUAAUAUCCCUCAAUUUCCCUUUUAAAAUAUUUCACCAUUCCUUUUUCCAUCAUUUUAAUUUGCAAUAGUGAAUCUUUUCAAAAUAUUUCACAAUUUCUUUUCCCACCAUUUUAAUUUACAACAAAGAAUAGUUGAUUUAAAUAACUAUAUAACAUAUUUUUGCGUUGCUUAGAGAGUCUUUAAAAAGAUAAAAAAAAAAAAUUGAUACAAUUUCUUAAUUCUAUAUCUUGUAUUGUAUUUUUGUUCGACUAUAUUAAUCCGUCGGCGUAACAUUUAUGCGCAAAGAUGAAGGUUGCAAUUAAUUCUAAAUCUCUAUAUACUAGUUCAACAAUACUAAUUUUGAUUGAGAUGGCAAAAGAACUUUGUAGCAAAAAAGUGUACAAAAUCAAAGAAGGGUAUUUUUGUAAAUAAAAAUUUCUUUUAUAGAAAUUAUGUAAGAUGUAUUAUUUCUUAUACAUCAAACCAAACAAUAUAUAAGAAAUAAUACAUGCAUAACUAAUACAAGAAUUACUAAUGCAAGUAUUACUAAUACACUUUAUUUUGUAUUGUUCUUAUACAAUCUAUCAAACCACCACUAAGUUACACAUACUUUAUGCUUGUCUAAUUGUCUUGUGGUUGUAAAAACUAACUAUAGUAUAAGUGCAUAAAUAUUUUAAUCUUUAAGGUCAACCUAAAGUAUCCCUAUGGCUUUUCGAACUAUGUCCACCAAGUAACAUGCAUGUUUUCCUAAUUUAAAUAAUUAAUCUGCUUAGUGAUAGGUGCAUUCUAUCAUUUUUUAAGGGAUAAAUAAUCAUUAUGUUGUCUUUGAUGGAAUGAAUGAAAAAAUAAUUAUUUUAGUGAAAGCAAAGUCUCCACUAACUUAAAUAACUAUGUUUUCUAAGUGUGUUACUUCUGGUCUUUAGCGAAUCAGUUGAGACUUACGGAGAGCCUAAACUGGCCAAAUAGGAAAAGCAAAUUGCGUUACAUUUUAUGAAAUUUAUUUAUGGUAAUAGAUAUUGGUGGUCUUUGUUUAGUUUAGACUUUUAGGGUGUGUUCUGUAUGGAAAUUUUUUUCAGUUUCUCAUAUUUUGAUUGGUUGAAAUUUUUGAAAAAUAUUUUCUCCAAGGAAAUUAAAACAAGUUCCAUGCACAAGUGACCGGCAUUUCCCGUUAAUUGUGUCAUCUCCAUUCUCCAACACACCUCAUCUUUACAUCACUCCUUUCCCAUAGUAUAUACAAAUAUUUUUAGAAUAAUAUUUUAUUUACAUACCAAACGUAAGAAAAUAAAUAAGAAAUUUAUUUAUUUUUCUAAAAUACAUUUUCCAGAAAAAUUUUCCUCCGCACUCACACCCUUAUACUAAUUAAGAGGAUAUAAAGGUAACUGAGGGAAACAUAAAUUAGAGAAGCUUGCUAAGAUGUGUUUACUAUUUUAAUGCAUUCCAGAAAGAUAGAGAAAAGAAAUUUCAUAUUGCCUUUUUUUUUUUCUUCUGGUAAAUUCAUAUUGCUAAGGUACUGCGCUCUAACAAUGGUUCCAUGCACAUCAUCAAGAUAAUUUAUUGGUAAAUUUUAACCUAACAAUUUACUUUUCGAAAGUCGUAACAACUUUAUCCUCAAGUUCUUAAACUUUUUGGAGCCAAUGGUUAUAGCUUCCAAACACAUUGAGGACAAAUAUGUGUAUUGACUGAGACAACUUAUCCAAUUAUACAUGCUGGAUUCUUCUUCUUGUGUAGGUUGAAUAUUCCAAUUCUCCUAUAUUAGAAGUCACGCUGAGCAGGAGGAGACCGUGAACUUUUCUGCUUGCUGAGUUUUUCGUAAUUUUACUGUAUCACUCCUAAUUAAUUAUUAUACGUUAUUUACAUAUUAAAAAAAUUAAUAAUAUUUAAUAAAAAAUAAAAUAGACUUUUACGAUAUGUCUGAUUCAACUACUUCAAUCGUAACUUUACUAUAUUACUCAUAAUUAAAUAUUAUAAAUCAUCUAAAUAUUAAAAAAUUAAUAAUAUUUAGUAUUAAAUUAACUUGGCGUCUUAUAGGAGGCUCACUCAAGACAUGCCUGCUUCGCUGAUUCAAUCAUGAAUUUAUUAUAUCACCCGUAAUUAAUUAUUAUGAACGUCUAAGUAUUGUGUUACUUAAAUUGGAAUACAGAAAAAAAAUUAUAAAUCACAAUAAUUAAAAAAUAAAUUAUUUUAAAAAUAUAAUAGACUAUUGAUGCCACAAAAGUUUGGACAAGGAGAGUGACAUAUAUGAUUUGUAAAUUAUAUAAAAACUAUUAUAAAUUAUAAUAGUUAACAAUUUAAAAUAUCUAAAAAAUAAUUAAUCUAUUGUAUAUUCCCAAAAACACAUAAAAAAAUAUAUCAAUCACAAUAAUUAACAACUUAGAAAAUUUAAAAGAUAUAAAGUUUUUAGUUAACUCUCAAAAUUAUAUUAGUAGCACUUAAAUUGAAAUAGAAAAAAUAAAAUUAUAAAUCUCAAUAAUUAACAACUUAAAUUAUUUUACAAAUAAUUGACUACCAGUGGCACAAGAGUUUGGACAAGAAAAGUAACAUGUAUUAUUUAAAAAUUACAUAAAAGAUAUUCUAAAUUACAAUAGUUAACUAACUUAAAAUAUUUUAUUAUAUACGUGAUAAUUACUAUGUGAAAAUUAAUAUAAAUCACAAUAAUUAAUAAUUGUAAAUAUUUUUUAAAAAAUAUAUAGAAAUUUGAUUGUCUCUCGAAAUUAUAUGGGUGUCAUAUUAACAACUUAAAAUAUUCUUAUACAAAUUUCAUUAAUCUAAAUAUAAUAAUAUAUGCCUAACUAAGAAUUUAUCAACCAAAUAAAUGAAUGUUUUAAUUAAAUGAUAGAAUUAUACAUUACAUAAAUUUUUCAAGUAACAACAUUGGGCCCGUGCGUAGCACGGCAUAGCCACCGAGUAUAUAUAGAAGAGUGAAGGAAGCAGGUGAAGGUUGUCAUGUCUGCUUCCUCCGUGAUUUUACUAUAUUACCCUUAAUUAAUUAUUAUAUGUCAUUUAAGUAUAAAAAAAUUAAUAAUAUUUAAUAAAAAUGUAAAUAGACAUUUAUGACAUGUCUGUUUCAACUGCUUCAACCGUAAUUUUACUAUUUUAUCCCUAAUUAAUUAUUAUAAGGCAUUUAAGUAUUAAAAACUUAAUAAUAUUUAAUAAAAAAAGAUAAAAUAAACAAAAAAUGAUAAAUUAACUGUUGAUGUUUUAAAUUAACUUGACAUCUUAUAUGAGGCCCGUCUACAUUUAAUUAAUCUCCUUAAUAAGAAUAACAUGUAUUUAUAUUUUUUAAUGUAAAAUUUUUGUAAUCAUAUAAAUGUAUACUUCAACCAUCGUGUUUACUGACAUGGCUUUUUGUAAGAUAAAUCAUUAGACAAACAUGAAGAAUGCAUAGCUAAAUGUUGUAAUAUAUGAAGGGAUAUUUUAUCUGCAUUUUGUUUGGUGGACAGAAAAACGGCAGUUCACCCUUGACUACUGAGCAUCACAAUUUAAAAUUGUUAAAAGAAAUUCAAUAUAAUGAAGAAAUAAAAGGUAACAAGUAACCAUACAAGGGCUCACACUAUAAUAUUAACAAUGUACCAUAUAUAUUACUCCGUUCCUUUAAACAAGAAUGACAUAUCUUUCUUUUUAAUCCAUUUAAAAAGGAAUGAUUUCUUUUCCUUUUUAGCAAUUUUUUAAUUUUAACUUUCCACAUGACAUGUUUAAGACCACAAGAUUGAAGGGCAUUUUGGUACAUUUGACAUAUCUUUAAUUUAACACCACAAGAUUCAAAAGUCUUCUUUAUUUUCUUAAACUCCGUGCCAACUCAAACUAGGUCAUUUUUUUUAAAAUGGAGUAUAAGUUGUUAUUUUAUUUGUACUUCGGGUACAUAGAAUCUGUAUAUUCAGAACAAUAACUUCAACUAGAGUUCAAGUAUAAACAAGAACACAAUGAAGUAUAUCAAAUACCCUCAACACAAGAUCAAAAUGACUUUUCGAAGAGGUGUAUUUUAUUUUUUCAAAAAAUAGAUGAAACAGAAAUGAAUAAGGCCAAGUCGUCCGAAUUCACGGAGUUUCCUUAAGGAAAUAAUUCCCCUCACUAUACCCGAGGUUGUGGAAUUCUUCCUCCGAGGAUAAAAUGACCAAAUAGACCAAUUGUAGCGGUACCUCAAACAAUUGGAAUAUCUUCGAACGCACAGAACGUUUUGAUUGAUCACACAGAGUAAUUUGUAAGACAGGAAGUAUUUUGUAUUCUGAAAAUUUUCGUUUCAAAACCUGUGGAAGAAAGCAAUUUUUUAUAGCCAUAACAUGGAUCUUCUGCAAAGAGGCAAUGGUUCACUUCAAAGGUUGCGUCUUUUCUGUAAAUUCAUGUUUGUUCAUCAAGGGGUGUGCUUGUUCCGAAACAGUCAUGUCAUUUCAUGCGAAUCAGUGUGUUUGUUUCAAAACAGUCAUGUCAGUUCACGAAACAUUGUGUCAUUUUCAGAAGGGUUGCAGCAUCCUUCUGAAACUAAAUAUCAAUUCGAAACAUUUCUUGUUCAAACCAUUGCAUCUAUUACUGCAUGCUGCAUGUAUAGAUCUCAUCGAGAGAUCAUUUUCCAAAUCCGAAGCCGAGCGAGCGACGACGACGUUGCGAGACAUCUCUUAUUUCUUGCCUCACUUACCAUGUGGAGUAAGUGUUCUUAUUAUAAACACUUCAAAGUUUUCUUCUCCUACCAAUGUGGGAGAAUUAGUGAACUUUCCAAUUUAGAGUACACUUUCUAAAUUGGGUGCCUCCUUUCCUCCACUAUUUUCCAUUUUCCAUUCACACUUCAUACUAACUUUUAACCCAACAUAAGUUAGGUGAAAUCUUCACCACAGUUUGGGUGACAGGAAAAUACAUAACUAGUGAAACUUCUUUACAAGAAAAUAAAGAGAAACAUGACUAACCGUAAACAGUAAUUAAAAGGAGGAGGAGGAGAAAAAAAAGUUCACGACCUAGCUACGUGGACUAGCACAUUAUUUGUAACAUACCCUAUGUUUAACAAUGCCCUUGUUGCUAUGUUCUGCAGGGUCCAAAUUGCUAUUCUCAAUUUUCACCUAAAUUCUCAUUAGAAGCAAAGCCACCAGGGUAAAUUUUCUUACCCUUAUUACGUUUACCAUCUGUGGUGGAAUUUUUCACCGUGCCACCCUCAUUAUAAUUACUAUUCCGAGCAUUUUCCUCCUCCAUUUUCUUCGACUUCUCUUUAAGGCGUUUUUGUUGUACGUGAAGAUGGACAUAGUUAACUCCCAUGGAUGCCAUAACUUGAACUUUUAUCCUAAAGAAAUUUAUAGAGAAAAGACAUGUUUUCUCCCUGCACUUGUCCUCCAAACUCACUUUACCACUUAAACUUAACUUUCGUUUAUUCACCCCUCUUAACAUCUUUAAAGUGUAUUAAUUUCACCCUUUGAAACUGAAUAUCACUCUCACAACGGAGAGUCUGCACACAUGCCGACAAAUAUAUAUAUAUAUANNNNNNNNNNNNNNNNNNNNNNNNNNNNNNNNNNNNNNNNNNNNNNNNNNNNNNNNNNNNNNNNNNNNNNNNNNNNNNNNNNNNNNNNNNNNNNNNNNNNNNNNNNNNNNNNNNNNNNNNNNNNNNNNNNNNNNNNNNNNNNNNNNNNNNNNNNNNNNNNNNNNNNNNNNNNNNNNNNNNNNNNNNNNNNNNNNNNNNNNNNNNNNNNNNNNNNNNNNNNNNNNNNNNNNNNNNNNNNNNNNNNNNNNNNNNNNNNNNNNNNNNNNNNNNNNNNNNNNNNNNNNNNNNNNNNNNNNNNNNNNNNNNNNNNNNNNNNNNNNNNNNNNNNNNNNNNNNNNNNNNNNNNNNNNNNNNNNNNNAUAAAUUACUUGAUAACUUGGUACCAACCUAAAACUAAAAAAAUAAUAAUUAAAAAAAAAACCCACCCCUGACGUAAAAACCACAAAAACUAUAUAAUAAUAAAAAAAUUAUAAUUAAAAAACUCAGAAAUAAUAUAAUAAUAAAAAGUUGUAAUUAAAAAAACCUCAAAAUAAUAUAAUAAUAAAAUAAAUUGUAACUAAAAAAAACUCACCACUACGUGAAACCAAAAAAAAUAAUAUACUAAUUAAUGAAUAUCUAUUCCACCAAAAAAUAUAAAAUAUCAUAAUUAAAAAAUUGUAAUUACAAAAAAAAUUAUCCUUACGUGAAACCAAAAAAUAUAUAUAAUAUAAAGGAGGAGACAUUUUUGGACUUAAAUUUAAUGUUAGGGCAUUUUUUAUUCAAAUAGGUGGAUGGAGGGGUAUUUUUGAACCAAUAGAGGAAGAAGGACAUUUUUGACUCAUUUCUAAUACAUUAAGGAUAUUUUUGAGCCAAAUAGAUGGAUGAAAAGGUAUUUUUAAGCCUAAAGAUGAAAGGAGGGUAUUUGUAUACCAUUUUCAAUAGUUAAAGGGUAUAUUAGACCUUUUCCGAUUUAUUUUUGGGGUGUGAAUGGUGACCAUUAGGAUAUGAUAUUAAUUAAACAGGACGGUUUAGACAAGGAAGUGGAGGGUUACUUAACAUAUAUAAAGUGGUUAAUUAUCUUUUAAUUGUUAAGGUGGCUUAACCAUUAGUUUUGACAAAAGAAUUGUGCCAUUAUGGCUAAUGAUGCAUAUAGUGGGACGAAUGGAGUUAGGUGUCAGCCUUCUCUAGCAAAAAACUUUAGCCAUUUGAAUAAUGUCUAAUUAAUUUCGAACCCAAAAGUUUUUACUUAGUUAUUAAACAUAUUAUGAAACAUAGUGGUUGAACUAUAUAUGUAGAAAUAAAAUACAGUAACUUUUACUGAAAUUUUUGAAUUUAGUUUGACUAUUCACUUUGUUAAGUCAACUAAAAAAAAUUAACCUCACCCAUAUAUGUUGGGUGGACUUGUGUAGAAAUCACAAAAUGUGAGGGGAGCUUAAUACCUGACCUCACAGCGUAAGCUGAGGAGAAUCAACUUGCUACAAAGAUAUGGUGGAUUGAUUUAUUUUCUAUAUUUCACAUACUAGUCCAAACGUCGAUACAAAAAAUUCGAUUUGUCAUAUGUAAGUCUUAUGCUAGACAUUUGGCAUUUGCUCAUUUGGAAUGAACCUUUAGUAUGCAUCUCCAAUGAGGUUAUGGAAGUGUGAAUACGACUGAUUCAUUAACAAUUGCUACUUACUUGGCUAGUUGAUCCUCUAUCUGGUUGGCCUCCCUAUAAUACUGUGAAGAUUUCGCAUGAGUUUGUCUCAAAAUAUCUCUUCCUCUUCUAUUAGGGAAAGAGCUACAAUCUCAAUAAUGAAUUUUAGAAAAAGAUGAAUACUGACAUAAUAACUGAUUUCACUAAGACAUGAUUGUCUUCAUCUUGAGAUUGUCCUUUGCCUUUAAUUCCUUCUAUACUAACUAGUUCUUUGAUGAUCAUGAAGUCCAAAUCGAAAAAUCAGCAUGGUCAAUUCAACCAAUUUUCAAAUUAGUGAUUUGGUUCACUAAACUAUUAGGAAUAAUGUGACAAAGGUUGUAAUUUGUAAACAUUCCAUACACCAUUGGUGAUGAAAUGCUUCACAUUGAGCUUACCAGAUCUAGUGGUAUUAGGGACUAUUUGAGCUAAAAUGCUCUUUACUAGCUCAAUUGUCCCACCAAAAACUUAAAUCCCCAUUGUAAAGCUGGAUCAAACGUUCAUCAAUAAUCCAUUGUUGCAUUUUCCAAGCAUACAUAUAUCACUAAAGUUCAUGAAUUAUUUAUUAUGAGCAAGGAAAUAUUGAUUAACUUGUCUAGAUGAUGUUGCAUAUCGGAGAAAUUGUUAGAGAACAUUAUGAAGGUAAACCUAAAACUAUUUUGUACUCCCUUCGUCCCAAAUUAAUCGUUCCAAAUUUUCUAAUUUGAUUUUUUAUUUUACUUGUCUUUUUUCAUUAAUCAAGAAGAGACAAUUUUUUUUUUUCAUGUUUUACCCUUUGCAUUAAUUACUUUUUCUUCGAAUUAAAAUGUAAACACCAUUUAAUAGGGUACUAUGGUAAACUAGGCAUGUUAUUAAUUAUUAUUUUAAUCAAUGUGUCAUCUCAAUUUACGACGAAGGGAGUAAAUACCAUAUACAUGACAGCUAGAUAAGCAUAAAGAAAAAGCUUAAUUAAAUCUAAAUAUUGUCCAUGAAGGGACAUUUUGUCUCGGGGGAGAUAUAAUUAUUUGCAUUUUGUGGACAAAAAAAAAGAAGGCAGGAGAUAUAAUUAUCUGCAUUUUGUGGACCAAAAAAGAAGGCAGCAUGGUUACAAUUUGAAAUCGUUAAAAGAAAUUCAACAUGAUUUCUGCAAUUAUUUAUUUUUAUGCACUCAGAUUUAACAGCGAUACAUGACUUAGUUUUAGUAGGUCGUGAUAACAAUUGUGUUGUUAUAGGAAAUUUCAUUAAAAAUAAAACAAAAAACAUUGAAAUUAAACUAUUUUUAAGUUUUAACAUUCUUCUUUAAGAAAAAAAACUGCUAAAAUAAAAUCAUCAUAUGUAUACAAGGACUCAAAAUUAUUAUAAUAGUAACUAUACCACCAUAUAUUACAAGAUUGGUGAAAUCUUCACCACAUUAUACGUUUGGCUGACAGAGAAAUACAUACUGUAACAAGUGAAACUUUUUUACAAGAAAGUAAAGAGAAAUAUGAAUAUCCCAAUGAACCCCCCNNNNNNNNNNNNNNNNNNNACACCUCAAAAAAAAAAAAGAAAGAAAUUCACAAGCCAUGUGAACAAGCACAUUAUUUGGCAUAUCUAUGCUCUACAAUGCCCUUGUUGCUAUGUUGAGCAGGGUCCAAAUUACUGCUCUCAAUUUUCACCAAAGUUCUCAUUAGAAGCAAAGCCGCCAGGGUAAAUUUUCUUACCUUUAUUACGUUUAGCAUCCAUGGUGGAUUUUUUCACCGUGCCACUCUCAUUAUUAUUAUUACUUUGAAUAUUUUCCUCCAUUUUCUUCGACUUCUCUUUAAGGCGUUUUUGUUGUACGUGAAGAUGUGCAUAGUUUACUCCCAUGGAUGCCAUAACUUGAACUUUUAUCCGAAGAGAAAUUAAUAGUGCUAAGUAUUUGAAUGUGUGCGUGCUUAACUGAUUGGCGUUUGAGAAAACCAUAAACGAAGGGAAUUUAUAGAAGGAACUUCAAGCCUUUGCAAGCAAGCAAUGCACUAAUUCUUUUUAUUGUAUUUAUUUUUGGGUUGUGAAUGGUGACCAUUAGGAUAUGAUAUUAAUUAAACAGGACGGUUUAGACAAGGCAGUGGUGGGUAACUUAACAUAUAUAAAGUGGUUAAUUAUCUUUUAAUUGUUAAAGUGGCUUAACCACUAGUAUUAACUAAAGAAUUGUGCCAUUAAUGCUAAUGGUGCAUAUAGUUGGACAAAUGGAGUUAGCUGUCAGCCUUCUCUAGCAAAAAACUUUAGCCAUUUGAAUAAUGUCUAGUUAAUUUCGAACCCAAAAGUUUCUACUUAGUUACUAUACAUACUAUGAAGCAUAGUAGUUGAACUAUAUAUGUAGAAAUGAAAUACAUUAACUUUUACUGAAAAUGUUUGAAUUUAGUUUGACUAGUCACGUUGUUAAGUUAAUUAAAAAAAAAUAAACCUCACCCAAAUAAGUUGGGUGCACUUGUAUAGAAAUCACAAAAAGUGAAGGGAGCUUAAUGCCUGAUCUCACAACACAAGCUGAGGAGAAUCAACUUGUUACAAAAAUAUGGUGGAUUGAUUUAUGUUCUACACUUAACAUACUAGUCUAAACGUCUGAUACAAAAUGUUAGCAAUCAAGAUGGCUCAACCAGCUCCAACAUGGGUCAAUAAUUGGGCUUUAUAAAAAAGAACAUGGCCAACAAUAGAAGGUUCUUUCACCAUUAGCUUAGAAUAGAAGACACUUGCUUAGCUUAGAAUAGAAGGCUCUUGUUUAGCUUAGAAUAAAAGAUUUAUUUCAUUAGCUUGUAUAAAUAAAUGUGAUUGGCAAAGAAUAUACAGAGAAGAAAAUUCUCAAAUAUUGUCUCUUAUUUUAACAUAGUAUCAGAGAGUAAGGUAUUUGCAUAAAAAUCAUCUUCUCGAUCAUCAAUUUUCUUCAUCUGACCUAUCUCUACAAUGGCGGAUGGAGUCACUACUUCAUCAGCAUCCUCUGGUUCUACUGCCAGAACUCCACCAUCUAUGGAUCCCACUCAUGUUUAUUACCUUCACUUUUCAGAUUCACCUGGAAUGGCCUUGGUUAAUACUUCAUUUGAUGAAAAAAGUUAUCAAGGAUAGAAGAGAUCAAUGCUUAUAGCACUAUUAGCAAGAAUAAGCUUGAUUUUAUCACUGGUGUUGAUGCUUCCCCAAAUGCCCAAUCUUCAGAUCUACAAUCUUGGAGCAGAUGCAAUGACAUAGUAACGUCUUGGAUCCUUAACUCUCUUUCCAAGGAUAUUGCUGAUAGUGUGAUAUACUCUAGGACUGCUAAAAAUUUAUGGAUGAGUCUAGAGCAUAGAUUUGGACAAUCUCAUGGAGCUAAAUUGUUUCACCUACAAAAAGAACUGAAUAGGUUAGUUCAAGAAAAUAAUGAAAUUGCAGGACAUUUUACUAAACUUAAGAGACUCUGGGAUGAGCUGGAAUCUCUCAAGUCUGAUAAGUGUAUCUGCGUGUGUAGUUGUGAAGGUAAAUUGAAGCUAGAAAAUUCUCUCGAAGAUGAGGAACUUAUAUAAUUUUUGAUGGGUCUAAAUGAUAUGUAUGCUCAAGAGAGAGAAAACAUCUUAAUGAUGAAUCCUCUGCCCAACAUAAAUGUUGCUUACUCUCUGAUUUUACAAGAUGAAAAUAAGAGAGAAACCUAUAUCAGUGGCUUGAUCCCAACUGAUUAUUCUUCCUUUAUGGUAAGCAACGUGAAUCAAAAUAAAUUUGGCAAGAAAGUACAGAAACUCUUGGUGCUAUGCCUAAUUUUGGACUAGAUCAUUCAAUUAUCCAAGAUUUAACAAUCAUCAGCAGUUACCCAAAUACACAGGAACAAACCAACCACAACAAAAGCUUAGGGUUAAGAAGAAGUAUAAUCCUAAUAUGUCCUGUGAUUUUUGUGGUAAGACCAUGCAUGUUGAUGAUGAUUGCUUCAGGUACAUGAUUUUCCAGUAGAUUUUCACUUCACAAAUAAUAGAGGUGGACAGGUUCAUAUUAGAGAAAAUGCAAUUAUAUCUGGAGAAGAAGGUAACAAUGGGCAUAUGAUUGGCGUGAAUUUAGUCAAUCAACACUUCACCAAAGAACAAUUCAGGCAUUUUAUUCAAAUGGCAAAGCAGAAAUCAACAGAGGGAUCAUCUAUGAACAAAGGAUCUGGGAUAAAUGUUAAUACAGUUGAUGGUACUGUGUUUAAAUAUAUUGGAGCUUGUCUUUCAAUUUUUAAUUCUGGAAUGUGGAUAAUAGACUCAGGUGCUUCUGAGCACAUGUGUUAUAACUCUAUUUCUUUUCUUUUUAUGAAAACUCUAAAAACUCCUAUUGACAUUAACUUACCCAACUCUUAGUCCAUCCUUGUGACUCACACAUGAAGUGUUCUAAUUUCUAAUAAUCUCACAUUGCAUAGCGUUCUUUAUGUUCUAAGUUUCAGAUACAAUCUACUCUCAGUUCAUAAAUUUAAUCUCUAAUACAGUUAUACUCUAUUCUUCAAUUCUAAUAGUUGUGUCUUUCAGGGCCCUUUAAUGAAGAGGCCUUAAGCUUUUGGUGAAGUAAAGGAAGGUCUAUACUUGAUUCAAAUCAUUCCUAAGGAGUCUAGUAGGAACCAAGAGAUUUACAAGGAUUCUAAAGUCUUUUCUAACUUUAACAGUGCUAUUUCUAGUCCAAGUUCAGAUUCACAUUAUUUUCCCGUCUAUUUCAAUGCUAAUUCUGAUGUAAGGUUAUGGCAUGUAAGACUUGGACAUUUGCCUUAUUCAUCAAUGAAACAUGCCCAUUUCUAUAUACUUCCUUCUAAUUAUGAUUGUCAUUGUAAAAUCUGUCCUUUAGCUAGGAAAGCUAGAUUACCUUUUCCUAUCAGUCAAGUUACUUCUCAAUCCAUUUUUUAUCUGGUUCAUGUAGACACUUGGGGCCCCUACAAGUCACCUACUCAUAAUAUUUAUAGGUAUUUCUUGAUUAUAGUAGAUGACUACAGUAGAGGGACUUGGACAUACUUGAUAGUAUCUAAAAGUAAUGUAUUUUCUAUUAUUCAAUGUUUCUUGAAAAUGGCUGAAAGAUAGUUUCACAAAAAGGUGAAGAUUAUCAUAUCUGAUAAUGAAAUAGAGUUGGGUAGGAGUACAGAGGCAUUAAAUUUUUUAACAUCUCAAGAUAUCAUACUUCAGACAUCUUGUGUUGCUACCCCACAGCAAAAUGAGGUAGCUGAGAGGAAGCACAGACACUUACUUAAAAUUGCUAGGGCUUUAAUGUUCAAUCUAAGGUUUCUAUGAUCUAUUGGGGUGAGUGUAUACUCACUGCCAUAUUUCUAAUCAACAGGCUGCCUUCCAGAGUUCUUAAAGGUAAAACAGCUUAUGAAAUUCUAUUUGGCAGAAUACCUUCUUAUCACUUAUUAAGAUGUUUUGGUUGCCUAUGUUUUGCUAACACUUUAUCUCAUAGAAGGAGUAAAUUUGAUCCUAGAUCUACUAGGUGUGUCUUCUUAGGAUACCCAAUGAUCAAAAUGGGUACAAACUUCUUGAUCUGACAUCUAAGAAAUUCUGUGUCAAGAGAUGUUCAUUUUGUAGAACAUGUGUUUUCUUUUGCUUUUGAUCAUCCACAUAUUCCUACUCCUACUGUUCCAAUCCACAUAGAAUAAGAACGUUAUUUCACUCUACCAUUUUUCAUUCCUUCUAACCCUGUUGAACCAGAUUCCACCUUACUACUUUCUAACCUUUUUGAAUCAACUCCUGAUCAUUCUAAUUCUGCUGGUCCAAUUGUCACACCAUUUUUUUCUUCAGUACAGGAUGUUUCACAACCCUACCUCCUCCUAUAAAGUCCUAAAGGAGAAAUAUUAGUGAGCUACCUUCACAUCUCAAAGACUAUAUCUGCAUUACUAUUUAUCUUAGUGAUGUGACUGAAUCUUGUUUUGCAACUCCUAGCACACUCAUAUGUCUAUCAGUUUCUACUCUUUCCACGAAUAACCAAACUAUUUUACACUCUACUUCCUCCAUCAUUGAAUCCAGAAGUUACUCUCAAGCAUGUACAUAUCCAGGUUAUGUGCAGGCAAUGUAGGAUGAGAUUGAUGCUUUAAUACUCAAUCAGACUUAGAAAGUUAUGCAUUUGACAUAAGGUGGAAAGGCAUUACCUUGUAAGUGGGUCUACAAAGUGAAGCAACAUGCAAAUGGAUCUCUUGAAAGGCUAAAGGUACGGUUAGUAAUCAGAGGUAACAUUUAGCAAGAGAGAAUUGAUUUUAAUGAGACUUUUUCCCCAGUAGUCAAAAUGAACACCAUCAGAUAUUUACUAGCAAUUGCAGCCAAAAAACAAUGGGAAACAUAAUUUGAUAUGAAUAAUGCCUUCUUGCAAGGAACUUUACAAGAAGAGGUCUAUAUGAAAUUCCCUGCAGGAAUGGAACCCCCUAAACCUAAUAUGGUUUGUUUUCUUAAAAAAUCACUCUAUGGCUUAAAGAAAGCAUCAAGGAAAUUGUAUGCCAGGCUUGUCGGAGCCCUAAACUUUAAAGGUUAUACAACCUUCCUCAAUGAUUAUUCUUUAUUUUUUAAAUAAUCAGGAGGGCUUGUCUCUAUCAUAGCUAUUUAUGUCGAUGAUAUUUUGAUCACAGGGGAUGCUACAGAUGAGAUACGUAACCUUAAGAAGUUUCUUCAUACUGAGUUUAAAAUUAAGGAUCUCGGCUCGCUGCAUUAUUUUUUAGGAAUGAAAAUUCUGUCUGAAGAAUAGGGAAUUAUAAUGAGUCAACGAAAAUAUACCUUUGAUUUAAUCAAUGAAUUUGAUGUUUCACACUUUCCUCCAUCUUUUUCUCCGUUAGAUCCUUCAGUCAAGUUCUUUGCAGAUUCAGAAAAUCAUAUGUCAGAUCCUACACUUUACAGGUAUCUCAUUGGUAAACUCAAUUAUUUAACUCAUACUAGAUCGGAUCUGUGUUUUGUUGUAUUGAAUCUCAAUCAAUUUAUGUAAAAUCCUGGCAUCGAACAUUUGAAAGUAGGAUUGCGGGUUAUAAGUUACCUAAGAGCAUAUCUGAAUUAGGGCAUCUUUCUCUCUGCUUCACCCUCAUUCUCUCUUGCUGUUUAUUGUGAUACUGACUGGGCCUCUUGUCUUACUACAUGAAGGUCCGUCAGUGGAUUUUUUAUAAGCUUCGGAGAUUCACCAGUCUCCUGGAAAUCAAAGAAACAAUCUUCAAUUUCCCUUUCAUCUGCAGAAGCUGAAUAUCGGUCAAUGAGGAGAUUAGUUGCAGAAUUGAAGUGGAUGACAAAAUUGCUUACUAAUCUAUCCGUUUCUUCCUCUCUUUCUGUUCUAGUUCACUCCGACAGUCAAAUAACUUUUCAUAUAGAUGGAAAUCAGAUUUUCCAUGAGCGAACGAAGCACGUCAAGCUUGACAGCUAUUUUGUUCGUCAACAAUAUCUCUUAGGCUUAAUAUCUCUUUAUUUUGUUCUAUCCAAGGACCAACUCGCCGAUAUCUUCACCAAGUCCCUUGAUGGUUCUCCCCACCAUCAGAAUUUGUACAAGUUAGAUGUCUUUCUUUCCUCUCCAACUUAAGGGGGGAUGUUUGCAAUCAAGAUGGCUCAACCAGCUCCAACAUGGGUUAACAAUUAGGCUUUAUAAACAAGAACAUGGCCCAACAAUAGAAGGUUCUUUCAUCAUUAGCUUAGAAUAGAAGACACUUGCUUAGCUUAGAAUAAAAAGAUCUUGUUUAUCUUAGAAUAAAAGGUUUAUUUAAUUAUCUUGUAUAAAUAAAUGUGAUUCACAAAAAAUAUACAGAGAAGAAAAUUCUCAAAUAUUGUCUCUUAUUUUUAUACAAAAAGUUUGCUUUGUCACAUCUAAAUCUUCUACUAGAUAUUUGGCACGCAUUUUCUCAUUUGGAAUGGACCUUUAGUAUAUAUUAUCUCCAAUAAGGUUAUGGAAGUGUGAAUACAUAACUGAUCCAUUAACAAUUUCUACUUGUUUGGCUAUUUGAUCCACUACUUGGUUGGCCUUCCUAUAACAGUGCGAAGAUUUCUCAUGAGUUUGCCUCAAAAUCUUCUAUAUAUGAUUUUCUUCAUCUUGAGAUGGUCCUUUGUCUUUCCAUCUAUACAAGUUAGCUCUUUGAUGAUCAUGGAGACCAAAUAGCAAAAUCAGCAUGGUCAAUUUUACCAAUCUUCACAUUAGAGAUUUAGUUCACUAAAAUAUUAGGAAUAAUGUGACAAAGGUUGUAAACAUUCCAUACACCAUUGGUGCUGAAAUGCUUCACCUUGAGCUUACCAGAUCUAGUGGUAUUAGGGACUAUUUGAGCUAAAAUUCUCUAUACUAGCUCAAUUGUCCCACCAAAAACUUGUAUCAUUAUUGUAAAGAUGGAUCAAACAUCCAUCAAUAAUCCAUUGUUGCAUUUUCCAAGCAUACAUAUAUCAUUUGACGUUCAUUUGAAAAAAUAACAUAAAGAUACAUUUUAGAUUUGAAGAAAUGUAAGAGAGAUUGUAUGGAAAAUUUUCUGUAUUUCCUUGUCUUUAAUGUAUGGAAUCCUACCACUAUUUAUACAUGUAUAUGCUGAAAAAGAAAUGUAAUAACAGAAUAAAUGUAUUCACUCUAAUUGCUCUAAUCCUGGUUGAUUUUAUUCUUUACUAUAUAUACAAUCAAUCUUUCUACAUCUGUAGAUCUUGUAAGCUGUCCAGAAUAUUCAGUUUUAAGGAGUCCAUUCUCCUUUUUCUUAUCAUCAUUGAUUACCUUAUCUCCAAUAUCUCCCUCAAAUUAGAGGAGAAAGAGGAGAUCGAGUCCUAACUUGCUAAAAACCGAAUGCAGUGAUGGAUCAGAUAAAGGUUUGGUAAAGAGUUCAAGAAGAUGAGAUUUUAAAGGGACAAAAUAUAGAGAUAUCAACCCUGAAAGAAGUUGUUGGCGGACAAAGUGAAAAUCCAGUUCAAUAUACUUUGUCCUUUCAUGAAAGAUCGAAUUUUGGCUAAUGUGGUUUGUAGCUUGGCUAUCAGAGUAUACGAGUACUGGUAAUGAGGGAUAAAUCAGUAAGAAAAUGGGUGAUCCAGAUUAGUUCUGCAACAAGAUGUCUCAUUAAACGAUAUUCAGCUUCAACUUAAGAAAGAGAUAUGGAGGUUUGUUUUUUCGAUUUCCAACUAAUAGGAGAACCACCUAAACUUAUAAAUAAACCACUAAAAAAUCUGCAAGAGUCAUAGAAAGCCGCCUAAUCUACAUCAAAAAAGGAUAAAAGAGAAAAUUUUGGAUUUGAAUUGAGAAAGAGACCUUGAAUGGGGUUUGAUUUAAGGUAUUGAAGGACAUGGAGAGCUACUAUAAAAGGGGAAAUAGAUGGUUUUUGCAUAUAUAAACUAAGGGUCAAGACAGUGAAAUAAAGUUCAGGUCUUGUGUGGGUAAGAUAGUUAAGUUUUCCAGUCAAACGUCGAUAGAUGGUUGGAUCCAGCAAAGGAGUUUCAAACGCAGUAAUUAAUUUGAUGAAAGGAUCAAGUGGAGAAGAUACUAUGGGGAGACUGGAGCAAUCAAAUUCAUUAAGUAAGUCCCUCAUUAACUUUGUGUAAUGAUAAAACCUGUUGGUUCUCGCAUGAUUUUAAUUCUUAAGAAAUAAUAAAUCUGACCAAGAUCCUUUAUUUAAAAUUUUAAGUGUAGAAAAGGCUUAAGAUUUGAAAGUUCUUGAGCAUCAUCAUCGCUGAGUAAUAAAUCAUCAACAUAAACUGCCACAAUAGAGAUAGAGCUUCCUGCCUUUUUGAAAAAUAAUGAAUAAUCAUUAAGAGAUGAGGAAAAACCUUUCAAAUUAAGAGCCCCUACAAGAUUUGCAUACCAUUGUCUGGAGACUUGUUUCAAAUCAUAGAGAGAUUUCUUGAGUUUACAAAUAUGGUAAGGACUGGGUGGACACAUUUCUAAAGAAAAUUUCAUGUAAACCUCUUCUUGGAGGUCUCCAUGAAAAAAAAAACAUUACUUACAUCAAACUCAGAAAUAGGCCAAUUCUUCUUGAUUGCAAUAGAUAAUAGGCAUCUGAUAGUUGUCAUCUUAACUAUAGGGGAAAAGGUUUUGCUGUAGUCUAUGCCUUCCUUUUGUUUAUCACCUCUGAUAACCAAUCUUGCUUUAAGUCUUUCUAUACUUCCAGCAGCCUUUUGCUUAACCUUAUAUACCCACUUACAAGGUAAAGCUUUCCUUCCAGAAGGGAGAGGCACCACAUCUCAUGUUUUAUUAAUGAUCAAUGUCUGUAAUUCAGAAUCCAUAGCAGUUUGUCAUCCAAGAUAUUGACAAACUUAAGAAUAAUGAGUCGGUUCUGAAAUUUGUGAAACAGAAUAUAGUAAAGCCUGAUUUUGAUCGGAAAGAGAAGAAAAUGGAUAUGUUGGUGGUGAGGAAACAAUGGCUAGAUAAGUAGUUGUAAGAUCAGUGAAAAAAAUAUUGCAAACAAAUUCAUGUAAAUGACUAGGUAAAGUGCCGUUAUUUUCUCCAUUAGAUCUUCUAGGGGGUGGGAUAGUGGGAGGAGGUAAAGGUUCUUGAAUAGUAAAGGUAGAUAGAGGAUUAGUAGUUUGAGGAUGGGUAGUGGAAGUAGUAUCCAUAGUAGAAGGUAAAAAUGAUGAGGAUUGGUCUGCAAUUAUAGGAGAAGGAAAGAACAUAAAGUCAUCUAUUAUGUAAUAAAAAUAAAUUGAAGAUAUAGGUGGGAAAAUGGUAGAUAAAAUAGUAUUAGGAAAUGAGGCGAAUGGAAAAAUGUGCUUAUAAAAUAAACAUCCCUUGUUGUACAUACCUUCUUAGAAUCCGGAAUAAGAAUUUUCUAUCUUUUUUUGUCCAAUAGGGUAUCAUAAAAAGACACAAGCAGUAGUUCUAGGCUCGAAUUUUCUUCUAGCAUGUGAUAAUGUAUAAGCAUAACACAAACAUCCAAAGAUUCUUAAAUGAUGAUAUGAAGAUUCUUGAUGAAACAAUAGUUCAUAGGGUGUGUUACUUUGUAAUACUCUAGAUUUAAAUCGAUUGAUCAAAUAUGUUUCUCUGAGUAUGCACUCUCCCCAAUAAGGAAAAGAACUUUAGAAUAGAACAUUAUGGCUCUUGUAAUUUCUAAUGCAUAUGUUUCCUUUCCAUAAUUUCAUUCUAUUGAGGUAUGGCUAUGCAAGUAUUUUGAUGUGGAAUCCCUUGAGAUUGUAAAAAGGAAGAUGUUUCAGCACUCUUCCCUAGUUCCAAGGCAUUGUUAAAUCUUAUCAUUCUAACUUUACCAUUGAAAUGUCUUUCUAUCGUGCACAAGAAACUCUUUAGUACUGAAAAAGCUUUUGGUUUUGUAGUCAACAAAUAGGUCCAAGUUGCUCUACUAAAAUCAUCCACAAUUACUAGAAACUGUUUAUAUCCAUUAUAAGUAGGAACCUUAUAUGGACCUAGAAAUCAAAGUGAAGAAGAUUAAAAAAUUCUUUACUCUUGAUAUUAUUGGAAACGGUAACCUAGACUAUCUUGCUAAGGGGUACAUAGUGCAAGGACAAUCAAAAUUUGAAGAAAAAGAAAUAAAAUUGAUAUAUUUAAUUGCGUUAAAAGGCAAAUACCCCAAUCAUACAUGCCAUAACAUUACAUCAGAUUGUGAUUUGGCCGAAAUAGGGAAAGAAACUGAAGCUAGAAUAGAAUGAGAAUUAAAUCUCUUAGGAAAUGAAAUUACUAAAUAUAAAACAAAAUGAGAAGUAGAUCUCUUAUUGAAUGAAACAACUUUUGAUACAAUGUUUUUGUAGCAAAAGGUUAAGUGCGAGUAGGCUUUAAUAUGAAUAGUCCGUCUUUGACUUUACCAAAAACUUGAGGGCUCUUCAGUAAAGGGUUCUGCAAAAGACAAGUAGUAGAUGUGAACAUGAUGACACACUUAAAAGAUAUACAUAAUUUAUGAAUCGAGAAUAAAUUAUAUCUGAAAUAUGGGAUAUGAAGGACAUUUGUGACUAUAAAAUCAGGCAAAAGAGAAAUAGUUCCUGCAUGAGUAACCUUUACUCUAGAUGAAUUAGACAACUUGACCAUUAUAGGCUUAGGUAAAGGUAUGAGAGAUAAGAAAGAGUUAGGAUCAAAACACGUAUGCUCAGAGGCCCCUAAAUCAAUAAUCCAUGAUGUAGAAUUUUAAUUAUCUACUGAAUAACAAGACGGUGAAUGUUCAAAAUAUAUACCAGCAGUUGAGUUGGAAUUCACUUCUGAUCUAAUAGUUUUUCCAUCCUGAAUAUAUUUUAAGAGAUGAACAGGCUGAUUGAAUUAACUUGGGGAGAGUUGCUGAACAAAAUUAGGAUUCUCAGAGGUAGCAAAAAUUGAUUGAUUCUUUUUGGUUCUUCCAUUGACUUGCAGAGUUACUUCUCACGGUUUCUUACAAUUUCUUGAAUUUGGUGAGCUUAAAAUCUGCUGAAAAAUCUAUUAGCCUGUAACAACUGUCUAUAGUAUGAUUAGUCAUCUUGCAAUAAUUACAUAAUAAGUUGUUUUUCUUUCCUUUGUUAGAAGUAUUUCCUUUGAAAUAAGUAUCCCCAGCUUUCUGAUUAAGUUAAAUACAGACUCAGAUUCAGUUUUCUGUUGAGUAUUGAGUUGAUUUUCCGAGAUAGCUGAUUUUUCUACCAUGAAGGAAAAGCUAUCUCCGGGAAACUAAGAAGAGAGAUGAGUUUCUCUCUGAUUUUCAUCCUGCAUCAAAAGAGAAUAAGCAUGAUUCACAGAUGGUAAAGGAUUAAGCAUAAGAAUAUUAUUUUUUCUGGUGCAUAAAUAUCAUUCAAUUCCAUGAGGAAAUGAAUGAGCCUCUCAUCUUCUUUGAAUUGGACCAUCUUCGUUUUUCCUUCACAUGAACACACACAAGCUCAAAGCAUAUUAGCAUUUAACAUGUCCAACUCAUCUCAUAACCUUUUCAUGUAUUCAACAAUAUCACUAGAUCCCUGGACUAACUCUAUUAAUUCUCUCUGCAGAUGAUACAAUUUUUCCCCAUUGGGCUAGCCAAAUCUGUGUUCUAGAUUUGACCAAAGAUCUUUGAUCGUUUUGGAAUAAAGAGCACUGGAAGCAAUAUCUUUAGAAAGAGAAUUUAAAAGCUAAGAUGUUACCAUAUCGUUGCAGCGACUCUAGAGUUUAAAAGUCGGAUCAUCCAUGUCUAGAGCAGGACAAGUUUCAUCGAUGAAGCCCAAUUUGUUUUUUUCUGAAAGAGAGAUAUGAAUAGACCUUAUCCUCCUUGGAUAUCCUUUGCCAUCAAAGGGAGUAUUGACCAAAAUCAUUCCCGGUGCAUCAGAUGGAUGAAGAAAGUAGGGAUGAGAAUUGUCGCUGGUAAUUUUAUUGUCUUGUUGAGUAGUGGUAUUAGGAGUGCUUUCAGAGCUCUUGGCAGUGGAAUUUGACAUCCUUUAAAGAAUGAACAAAGAAAAAAUAUUGAAGGAAUUAAAAGAGAUGAGCUAGCAGAUAUUACUGCUCUGAUACCAUAAAGAAACGUAAGAGAGAUUGUAUGGAAAAUUUUUUGUAUUUCCUGAUCUUUAAUGUACAGAAUCCUACCAAUAUAUACAUACAUAUAUAUAUAUAUAUAUGCUUAAAAGGAAAUGUAAUAACAAAAUAAAUAUAUUUACUCUCGUUGCUCUAAUCCUGGCUGAUUUUAUUCUCUACCAUAUAUACAAUCAAUCUUUGUACAGAUGUAGAUCUUGUGAGUUGUAUGUAUCUCUUGUGAGCUAUCCAGAAUAUUCAAUUUUAAGGAGUCCAUUCUCCCCCUUUUUAUUGUCAUUAAUUAUCUUAUCUCAAACAAACUUAGCAUAUUUACACAAAUUCCCACCCCUAUAAAGUAAUUACAAAUAUGUCAACUAAUAUGUAUCUUCAUUGGAUGUAUCGAGAGCUAAUUAUGUAUCUCAACAGACCCAAAAUCGAAAAAAUAUAUCCGGAGCUAAUUAUGUAUGUUUACAAAGGAAAAAAUAUAUCUUCAUUGGAUGUAUCGAGACCUAAUUAUAUAUCUCGACAGACUCAAAAUUGAAAUUUUCAAUAGUUAUUGUCUAGAUGAUGUUACAUAUAGGGGAAACUGUUAGAGCACAUUACGAGCUUAGAAAGCCAGUUCCAAUUUCUUCAACUUUUCUAUUGGAGAAGGUACAUUCUAGAUAGUAUCACAUGGGAAGAUUCGAUCAAAUUUGAACGGAUUAAAAUAUAUGAAUGACGAAAAAUUACUUAGUAUGAUAUCUAAAUAAUGGAUCUUAGUCAAUCCGUCAACUCUGAUCAUUUACUCAUCCAAAUGUUAACAGACUAGACGAAUCAUAUUUUCAUUAGCUAAUUUUACCCCUAAUUGCCUUUUCUCCAUGAUUUUUUUUAUAGAUCAAAUUAUGGCUUUUCAUCCAAAUUGCUUGGCUCUAGUUCCUUCUAGGUAUCUUUUGACUUGUUAGUAAUAAUGUAAUGCUAUAUGCUUUUCACGUGGCCCUUUUAAUUUAGAAUUCAUGACUAUUAACGUUAAUGAUACUACCAAAUUUCCCCUAAGAAAAAUAAAGUCAAUAACAACAUGAUUUUAGUAAGCUUUUUUCUUUAUCUUUAUUUGUAUACCACUAAUGAUGAGUAGUGUAUAGUCUAUAUAACUAAUCAUAAGGAUAAGAAAGUCACCCAAAAGUCUAAAAAAAGGCUAUUAGCCCUUGGUUGCGGUCAUUUCUAAUCUUCCAUAUUAUUGGAGUGAUAUGAUUAAAUUAGGAUGUUAAAUAGGUGGAUUGGGUUGAAAUUGGAGACAUAUUAGGCAAAACAUUAUAUAUAGAUAAUUUUUCGUCUAUAAUUAUAAGGGUAUAAUUAAAAUUGCAUAUUCGCAAAACAUAGAUAUACCUUAAAUCCUUUCCUUUCUCUCCCUCUCUCUCACCUCCCUCCUCCUUCUCUCUCUCAUCUCUUUCACCUCCCCCGAUCCCCGGCCCACUCCUCUAUCUCAUUUUCGUCUCUCUAUCUCUAUCUAUCUAUCUCUCGUUCUCAUCUUUUCUUUUCUUUUUUUACAACUUCAGGAAUUAUAUAUUUGUAUAUACAUUCUGCAAAAUGCAUAUGUAAAAAUUUAAUAUACAAUCUGCAAAUAUAUGUACAAAUAUAUAAUUAUUUAGUAUAUAUAUAAUAUGAUAAUAUAUAAAUUACAUCCAGACACACAUUUGAAAAAGGAAGAUCAUAUAUAUAUAAAAUUACAUUCACAUAUACAUCUGAAAAAUGCAUUUACAUAUAAAUUUGAAUUAUGCAAUAUACAAUUAAAAUAGUGAAUUAAUAUUCAACUUAUAUAUACAAUUGACACGUAAUAUAUAAUUAAUCACAGAUUAUUUGAAUUAAAAAAACAAUGAUUGAAUUUUAAAAGAUAAUGACUAAAUUAAAAAUAAUACUUUGUAUACGAAUAUAUAAUUGAAAUGUAAUACAUAAUUAAUAAUAACUUUUAUGAACUUAAAAGAAAAUAACGACUAAGUAAACAAAAUAAACACGCAAUUAAAAAAAGAAAAAUUUGUAUAUGAACAUACAACUGAAACAUAAUAUGCCAUUAAUAACAAUUUGUAUUAAUUAAAAAAAUAGCGACGGAAUUUCUUUUAACUGCAUUUAAAAAAAAAGUGAAUUAAAGAAAAAGAAACGACAGAGGGCCGGCAGAGAGUGAGUGUGUGUGUGAGAGAGAGUGAGUGUGUGUGUGAGGAAGAGAGAGAGAGGGGAGAGUGGGGAGCUGGAGAAUGAGGAGAUGGGGAGAAAUAUAGUUAAACUCAUGGAAAUUUAUAUAAAGAUUGUAAUUAUUUUAAACGUAGACUAUAUCACAGGUAAUUAUGGACUGAUGUUUACUAUGUAACAUAAUUUUUUAUCUAAAAAUUACAUAAAUACACAACUUAUGUUUCUAAUAUUAUAAAAAAUCCCAACUCCCUAAACAUAUUACAAAAAUUACAACAUAUACACAGAAUGCUAUGUAUAUGUAGGUUAUAUUAUGUAUAAAGUAAUUAAAAAAGUGGGAGAGAGUGUAAUUUGUUUCAAAAGGGUUGAUAUUUAUAUUAUUUAUACUUUUUUUUAUACGGAAAAGGGCCUGAAAUACCCUUCAACUAUAUGAAAUGGUGCAAAAAUGUCAUCCGUCUGCCUAUUGUGCCUAAAAUGUUCUUCAUGUCUACCUAUUGGACCUAAAAUACCCUUUUCGUCUAUCUAUUGAGGCUAUUUUGCCCUUUUAUUUAAGAAAAAUUAUUUAAUGCCACAACUUAUCUUUAUUAAACUACAUAAAAUCCCUAUCAUUUUUCUUAAUAUUAACCAAAUAAAUAAUGCACAAUAUCAAUUUUUCGUCAUUCUAAAUCGAUCUGAUAAACAAAAAGAAAAACAACAUAAAUAGCCAUUUUAAAAAAAUUAUUGCAUAUACAUAAACGUGUUAGUUGGUUGUCAGAUAUAGCAUAUAAAAUAUUUACUUUUACAACAAAUUCUAAUAUAUAAAAAAAUGAUUAUAUAUUAAUUUUUCAUAUUUCUUAUUUAUUGUCUAUUUUUAUGGAAGCCUUUGUUGAUUCAUUUUCUGCAUACUAAUAUCAAAAUUUUAUGUUUUUCAUUUUCAUCGCCUUUUUUCACGAUGCCUCCACAAAAACAUAUGGUAUAUUUAUACCAUAAAAAAUCAUGGUAUAUUUGUAUAUUAUACAAAUUAUAUUUAUAUCAUAAAAACGCAUGAUAUAUUUAUAUCAUACAAAUUAUAUUUAUACCAUAUAAAUUAUAUUUAUAACAUAAACAUACAUGAUAUAUUUUAGAAAUAAAAAGUUUAUACGAUGUAAUAUCGGAAAUACAUAUUUAUAUUUAAUAAAUAAUUUUCUAACAAGAAAGUACUUCUGACAUAAUGAGAUAUACCAUGAAUACUUAUCUCAUAAAUUAUAUCAAAAAUAUAAUAAUAAUCUGAGUUUGAUAUAAAUUAUAUCUAUUACAAUAAAAAUACAUGGUAUAUCUGUACUUCCAACUAGGGGCGGAUCUAUUUAGAAGGUAUGGGGUGGCACGGUACCCACACUUCUCGAAUGAAACACUGUAUAUUUAUGUGUAUAUGUAUCAGUUAAUGUAUAAAUAUUAUGUUUGGCACACACAAUAUCAAAAGGACUAGUGGCGUAAGUGGUCGAAAUUGUUGGGCUUAACUCCAGCAAUGUGGGUUCGAAACCCGCUCUGCACUGUAUUUUUAGAAUGAUUUUUAGCACUUUUCUGUUUUCUCUUAAAAAAAACGCAUAGUGUGGCUAUGAAGAAUAAAACCCGUGACCUCUUCUUUACAAAAGACUUGACAAUAUCAACUAGGCAACCAAUACUAACACUUGUAAGAUAUAUAUAAUUAUAGUUUACUCUUUGAAUAUUGGUUCCACUAUCCUAAAAUAUCGUACGGAGUAUACGUUAUUGUUCAAAAUAAGGUGUCACCUGGAGCUUUCGAAUCUUGGAUCCGCCUCUGCUUCGAACAUAAUGAUUUUUAUUCCAUAAAAAAUUAUGGUUAAUCCAUUACAUUAGAAUUAGAAUACAUGAUAAUAAAAUAAUACUAGAUGAUUAACAAACAUGAAAAAAAAAAACAUACAUGAGCAAAUCAUGGAAUACUUAGUUUAUUAAAAAAUAUUUGAAUUUUGAAUAUAAGAGAGAGAAAGAUUUGAAAACAGUGAUUAUCUUUUCCACUUUUAAUUUGAAGAUUGAAAAUAUAUCUCUUAAAUUAAGGUAAAUUGAUAAUUAGUUAUAGAAUUAAAUUAGAAAUCAUAAUUAUCUUUUCUGAUUUUUUUAAAUGACUCUAUAUGUAAAAAAAACUUUAAUUUUUGUAAUCUCGAAAAAGUACUAUUAUUUAUGUAAUUAAGUUUUAAGAAUGAUCUUUUCAUGUAAUUUGUCUAAAUAAAAGGGCAAAAUAGGACCAACAGGUAGACAUGGAGAGCAUUUUAGGCCCAAUAGAUAGGUGAAAAGGGUAUUUUAAAGGGAAAAUGACAGAAACGACACUUCAAAUUAAACUAUUUUCAUGAAAAUGUCAUGAAAUUUAAAUUUUACUUUCUAGCCAUUUUAAUUUACUGGCUUGUUGUAUACCGUUUCUACACACCUUCUAUACAAUUUCUAUACAAAUUUUAUGCAUAUAAAUAUUCUAUACGAAAAUUAUACAGUUUUGAUACAUAAUUUAUACAAUAACUGUACAUUUUUUGUUACACGUUUUAUACAAAAAUUAUAUAAUUUUCAAACACUUCCUAUAUAUUUUUUAUAUAUAUUUUAUACAUAUACAUAUUUGAUAGAGCUAUACAAUUUCUAUACAUAUAUCUUAUAUAGAUACAUAUUCUAUUUAACAAUUAUAUUAUUUUUAUAUAAUUUUAAUUAUUAUUUCUAAACAAUAAAAAAUAGAAUAUUUGAUCAGUUAAAAAAUUUAUAGCAAAAAAAUAAUUGAAAUAUUUUUAAAAAGGCCGAAUUGUCCAAGUUGAAUAUUGUAUCAGUAUUGUAUAUAGACUGUAUCAGUAUUGUACAUGGACUAUAUAUGGACUACGUAGGCUAAAAUGACUCAAAUUAGGAAAUGACUAUAAAGCGGAAAUAGUAUAUCCGACUAAACACUUUUUGAAAAGUUUUCAAACUUAGCUUAUUUGUUUUAAAAAAUGCUGUAGAGUGUUCUUUUUCCUAUUUUAAACACAGUAGGUAGACGGAAAUGACAUUUUAUGCCCAAUAGAUAGAUGGAGGGCAUUUUUGCAAUAUUUUACAUAAUUGAAGGACAUUUUAGGUCCUUUUUCAUUUUUUAUAUUAUUCAUAUAAAAUGAGUUGGAUCAUGACCAACUCAAAUUUACUUUGGGUUCAAAUGGGUUGACGCAAAAGUUGAAUUGGGUCUUGACCCAUCUAAUUUGACUCGCUUAAGCUGAAGAAUAUUAAUAUAUUAAUAUUUAUCUUUUAGUUGUAACUCAAAAAAAAAUUAAAAAUAAAUUUAUAAUUUAAAAAUGAAAAUCAUCAAAUAUUAUACCAAUGAAAUAAAAUAUACUAUGAGUGUAUUCGUGGUGAAGGAAAAAAUAUUUUUCAAGAAAAUGUAGAAAAUAUUAUUCACAAAAAAGUUUUUAAGAAAUAAGAAAGAAUUAAUCUUUUUUUUUUUUGGGUUGGAUUGGGGCAGGAGUAUGAGGGGGGGGGGGCUAUAUUUAGGAUGAGAAAGAUAUUAUUCUUUUUUUGGAAAACAAAAAAAAAUAGGAGGGAGAAGGGGGGUGGGUAGGGGUUGAGGUAAGCAAAUAAUUUUUAAUUUUUUUUAUAAAUAAUUUUAAAAAAAAUUAUUUUUUAUUUUAUGUGUGUGUGGGGAGGGGGUUGGGGUGAGGUGAGGUGAGGAUAGGCGUAGGAUUGGUUGGGGCGGCUGAUUUUGAUUUUCGAAUGUGAUAGGAGAUUGUCUGUUGUUUUCUCCUCUUUUAUAAUCAUUUUCCUUAUUAAAUGAGUUGAAAUAGAGAUUGAAUGGUUAAAGUGGAGAUUGGAUUGAACUCAUUUGAAAAUCUAUUCAAGAUGGGAUUGAGGUUUAAUGAAUUGAGAUUGAACUUAUUUGUAAAUUAUCUUGAGUAUACCCCAUAAAUAUUGAAUUAGGUUAGGUGGGUUCACUUAAUUUGGGCUCAUUUUGACACCCUUAGAUUAAAGAAAAAAUAAUUAAAAUAUACAUCCUUAGAUUGCAUAUUGUAAGUCAUAGCAAUACUUCUUAGAUUGCAACUAAUACCAACUACUAAAACAGAACAAAAAAGAAAAAAAAUUAAUAACAAUUUUAAAACCAAAAAUAGAAUAUCAAUUAACCUCAUAUUUCUCUCAAAACGGUUAAAUACUUAAAAAAGGUAAAUCAUUUUUAAAAAUAUAGGAUAUCAAUCACCCAAUAUUUCUCUCAAAAUAGUCACUUCAUUAUUCUACUCUUUCACAAUUACAACAAAUUCUUCUUUUUUUUUGUUUGAAUUUUACUUCACCUACGUCGAUCAUAUCAAAAUUAAGAUCGAAAAGUAACUCAAAUUCUUUCAAAUUGUUAGUCUUAUUCAUUGAAAAUUUUGUUUUCAUUAAAAUACAAAUUUACAGCAAUGGAUCAUUGUUUCAUAUCCAUAAAAUGAUUGGUGUUGUUUAUAGAUUUAAUGGGCUUCAUAUGAUUCAUCAUUUUCACUUUGAAAUUUUUUUGUAUAUAUAAAUAAGUUGUUUAACUAUUUUCAUACAUCUUUUAAUACACUAUUUUGGAUAUGAAAUAUAUAUAAUUGAUUUCAUACUAAUAAGUUAAGCUAUUUAUGGACUCCAUAUGAUUUCACUAUUUUUUAUACAUUAUUUUAUAAAUUGAUUUAUCAUUUUCAUAUACUUUUUUUGUGUAUAUAAACUAAUUUACCGUUUGCAUAUAUUUUUGUGUUUGUGCGUAUGCAAUGUGUAUACAAAUUGAUUUUAUACUGUUAAGUUUACCUAUUGUGUGAAUUUCAUAUGAUUUAUGAUUUUUAUAUAUAGAAAAUAAAUUUUAUUAUUACAUCGCCGUUGUCUACGUCAAAAAUCAGAUAGUUGAUUAGAAAAUAUCGUCGGCCAAAAACGAAAAAUAAAUGAAUUGUAUAUAAAACUAGAAGAGAAAUUUCAUCACAAAUCCCGAUGAAAUGAGAUGUAGAGUCAAGAAAUCUAUAAACUAAAGUCACAAAAUUUAAAAAUCUAAUGGAGAUUACACUUGAUUUGUAUAUUUUUUAGAAAAGAGAAAAGAUAGAUAAAAAGAAUGGAGAGGAGUAGAGAGAAAAGUAAAAGGAUGAAAUACAAAGAAAAGUAGAUAAAUGGAGGAAUAAAAAGAGAAAAAAAAUCUGAUUAAAAGGUAUCAAAUACCCACUUUUUACUCUUCUAAUGAAUAUCUACACGUUAAUUUAUGAUUAAAAAAUUAACACAACAAGAAAAUUAUUAGUAUAAUUUAUCAAAUUUGUUAUAACUUGUAAUUAAAAACACAAGUCAAUAAUUAUUAAAAAAAUAUAGUUAUAACUUAUAAUAAAUAAUAUAAAAAGUACAUAUAAUAUAAUUUUUGCUAGAUUAAAUUAUCAAUAGAUGGUAUAGAAAUAGUAAACCAGUUAACGGGGCCGGGCCGGGUCAACCGGAAACCUGCCCAUCAAAUUUAAACUGGCUGUGGGCCGGUUCGAUUUCGGCCAGGUUAAAUGGGUCGGUCCGGUUUUGGGGCCAAUAGUAAAAUUUCAAGAAAUAAUUCGGGACCGGUCCAUUAUACCUAACCCAGUCCAAUCCACCUAAACCCGAUCAAAACCGGUGUAAAAUUAGAUCAAAACCAAAAAAAUAAUUAAAAGGUUUUUCUCUAAUAUAAACUAUGUAUACGCACUUAUAUACAUUUUAAAUACAUCAAACAAUAUAUAUACACUAUAUAUAUAGUAUAUACUACAUUAGAAUUUAAAAAAUAUAUACACAUAUACACAAUUACAUAUGUAAUCGUGUAUAUGACUAUACGUUAGUUAAAUAUAUAUAAUACUUUAAAUAAAACGCAUACUACAACAUUCCAAUUGGAUUGACUGGGAUGACAGUUUUUCCUUCCCGUUCUCUCCACUCCUAAUAGUCGAGUGGCUUUACACUUCAGGGACAAAAGAAAGACAGUAGAUUUAUCUUCUAUCCCUUCCUGACUCUGCUGACAUCUUGCCUUAAUAUUUCUUAGGGUUGAAAGAAGAAAUGAGAUGCCCUUGUUCUCUUCUAUCCUUUUUCUAUACAUAUAGUAGUGCCCGCUGGCCAGUCAUAAAUAGUAGGCACUUAUUUUAUUUCUGUCUUCUUUUCUGUUUGUUUUUGUUUUUAGAGAUCAGGUUCAAACUACUAAAGCUCGUAGGAAGAGUCAAAGAGAAUAGGAAUUUUCCAUAUUCGUAGAGGUAGCUCAACUCCCGACCUCUUUCUUGUCUAUUUGCGUUGCUAAGCUGACACAAGGCUGGAAGAGGCUUGCCUUUAUGUUCGAAAAGAGAUCACUCCUGGCUAAUGGUCGACUGACGCCUCAUCCUAUUUGAAAGAAUUGUCUUCACACUUUAGGUAAUUUGUAAGUGGCUUGAGCCUACCUAAGCUUGAUGAAGGGCAGACGGACCUGGGAUUGAGUGCCCUUUCUGCUCAUCUUCCUAUAAAAGCGGUUGAGGAUUUGACUUGACUUAAUCAUAUUGGGACUUAUGAUACCUCUCUCUCCCUUUUUAAUAAUUGAAUAUAUUUUUUUCUUUAGUGGUUUUGCCCAAUCUUCUAUCCGAAAGAGAGGGGAAUGGCUCGGCUAUCCCACCUAGCCAAGCCAGAAAAAUAGAUUCCAUAUAAAGUUGCAUAAAGCCCAGUUUAAAUUAUUAAGAAUUCAAACAAUACAAAGCACAGAAUAACGAAAAGCACAAAUACAAACAACAGUAACAAGUACAGACAUUAAAGUUCAACAUGAUCCAUACACACUCGACCGCGAAAAGGAGAAAACGGCCUUAAUCUCCACAAUUUCUGAUUAAGAACAAUAUAUUUUUCUCCUUUCCUUGCCCUUUUUGAUGAUGUGCAGCAGCAACCUGCGCUCUUUUUCUCAUUAACCAUGAACUAUAUACCAUACCAUGACCAAAGUUUAGGAAAAAGUGUUGUUAAAGGUUUCAAUCUGGAAAAGGGAGAGUAACAUAACCAAGGAUGAACUGCUGAUUAUCCAUUUGUGUGCACCAAUAAGAAUGCAUUUGCAAUGCAGCCUGUGUUGGCACCACCACUAUGGAUAACACAAGUGUGCUGUCAGGUUCCAACAUGCAUGAAGUCUUCAGCUUCCUGCAUGGUAGCACCCAUGUGAAAAGGGAAGCCAGAGACUCUAAACUCUGGCUGCUAGAACAUGUCAUCGCCAUUGAAGAUGCUUGUCGCAUCAGAACCAGAUUGGUUAGAAGUCUCCCAACUACCACUCUCUGAGUGCUGAACCAUGUAACUAGAUAUCUUGCCACCUGCCUGAUGAUUAAAGAUAUUUCUAUUGUGCUUUGGAGAUGAAGGCUUGUAUUACUGCAUAUUCUUUGUGUUCAAAAAGUACCCUCCAGAACCCCUGGCUCUCUUCAUUGUGUGAUGAUGUCAAGACAAGUGAAGAUAUGACUUUCUAUUUUUGACAAGCUUAUUUUAAGCCUGACGCUUGGCACGGACCUGUCGCCUUUUGAGGAUAGCACUGUAUUGUUUUGCAUUCACAUAAAUGGGCAAGCUCUCUGUGCAUUCAAGAGGAAGUGCAACUCUUGUGGAUGUGACACCCACUAUUUGAGGAUAAAUGAUGGCCUUUGAUCCAUAAGUAGCUAUGAGCCUUCCAAAGUAAGUAUCAUCCCAAGGGUAGGAUAGGCAAGCCGUUGGAUGAUCAUGAUGCACUUGCGGCCAAGGAAGAGUGUUGGUGGCACUUUCGCCUAAUAGGGAUGCCUUUGUUCCACUCUCUACUUGCACAUCUAAAAUUCCACCCUAACCUGGAUGAGCUAUCAAAUUUUGUAGAACGGUCUUACUUUUUCCCAUUGCGGCCUCCAUAUGAUUAGAUUGGCCAGUUGACAGAGUUGAAGUUGAAUCCUGAUCUUGGAACUUGGAUUCUGAUUUCUUGAUAUCGGAGUGAUGUUUCAAUACAGAUUCCACUCCAGUCUUCUUAGAUGGAGCAUGUUCUAGUUGGUCACUGGAUUUCUACAUAGAUGAGCAACUCACGAAUAAUGAAGCAAAAGAUUGACCUUCUUUUCCAUAGCCACCUUUCUUCGAGAAACGUCAGUAUCCUCUUUGAAACCGGUGCUCUAGAAUCUUUAGACUAAAGAUAUAGAAAACCUCUAUGCUACUAUAAUACACUAGAGUUCUCUAGACUGGAGUUACCUUUUUCUUUGGGUAAUGAAUGACUUCAGAAACAUCUGGUGAGCUUUGGCCCUUGUGCUGUUUUCUCUUACCAGAAAACUACUACUGUAUUACCUAUGGAGUACUAUAUACUAGUAUUUCCUUUGCUUUACCCAAUUCUCAUAUACAAAGUUUUCUAGAAAAUAGAAAAGGAAAAAACAUGACCAUCUCUUCAGUCAUCACAUGUAAUACAAACCCUCUCUUCCCUCACCACAUCCACCUUCUUUUGUUUUCUUCUUGGCAUGUUCUUGAUUUUUGAUUAGCCACCUAACCUAAUUAUUAUUACCAUUUAUGACUUUGAAGUAGGACUUUGGAAUAAUUCUAUUCCUCUUCUUCUAUAUAUAUAAGUGAAUAGAUCUUUGUGAUUCAAUCGAUUCGGUUCUCGUUCUCACCCUCGGCGAACUCCCUUUAAGGACAUAAGCGCAUCUAAACCUCGUUCUUUUGUAUUAUUUGUUGGAAUAGAUAAUAUAUAUAUGAUCAGAUGCAUAUGUAGGUAAGGACUGCUUAGAGUUGGACACAGAAUGCCUAAUUCAAAUUGAAAUGUACAAUGAUCCGGGAAAUAAGAUUAUCCUUUUCUUAAAAAAUAAAAAAAUGAAAUAGAUCCACUUUCUGGAUUAUUGCCGAUGUAAUCAUAAUAAGCAAAUUUUUCAGGGACCGGAUAAACUUUGAUUUUUGGAUAACCCAGCACCAAGUCUUCAAUAGAUUUCUUGCUGGAGUUCGGUCCUUUAAGCCAGGGAAGCUACAUCUACUUUAAUUGAUGAUUUCUCGCCUUCAGCUUCUAUACUAUAUUACAUCAAAUAGAAGCAUUGGUACAGAUAUUGACCUAACCAAGCUAGUAUGAAUCAUCUCAGUUCUGAUCAUGGUGGGUGACUGUGGGAGAUUAGUUUCAAGCCACUGCAUCGAGAGCCGCCUACGAAAGAAUUUCGACUAUGCCUGGCCAUCAUAACAUUCAUAAACGAGGUUGCUAGAUAAAUAGAGGAGUCCAGUCACAAUCAUUAUUUAUUCACCUGGGAGGAUUUCAACCGCUCGAAAUCAGAGAGAUGCGCCUAACAGUGCCCCAAGCCAAAAUAGAGAGUGGAGAAAAAUGCAACUAUCUAAUCGGGAUCACAGUUCUGACCAUUUCUUUAAAGGUCGAAAGGUGAAGAAGUGUUUAGCCACACUCUCUGCGGAACAGUCUUAUCAAAGCACUCUUUUUAACCAAUCAAUUAAGACAGAUGGAAUGAAAGAAAGAAAAAGUAGCUCCGCAGCUCGCCCAGAAGAAGAUAGACCAGCCACUAUAGAUUUGUCAAUCCCUGGGCUUGGCCAAAGACAUACUCGGCAUACUAAGACUAAGAUAAAUCAUAUCAGUCCCUCAACAGGCCUAGUCCCUAAAUCCCUAACUAAAUAGGACACUUAUAAUCGCGAUCAUGCCGCAUCAGCUCUUUCAAUCACUACUACCUGUGUUGCACAUACAGUGGUAGAGAGUUUGAUAAGACUCUCAGAUAAGAAAGAUCAAUCCUGACUAAGCUUCAGCUGAUUCUCAAACUAAAUCGUUUUAUAAGCAAGGAGCUAACUAUAGAAAGAUAAUUGCCAGGUCAGUUUAAAUAAAAGUAGACCAACAUAGGAAGAAAUGUGAAAGUAAGGGCUGCUAAGCGCCUAGGCCCAGAAUUCAGUGAAAGUGGAGUUCUUGGUACUGGUCAAGCAAAAAUAAUAUGAAUAGCGAGCCAGUACUAUAUUUAUAGAUUGGAAAGAAGGGACUAUCCAAAGAGAGGCCCGAGCGAAAUGAAGUUGUGCUAAAUGAACGAGUUGUCGUAAAUGCCCCUUGUAAACUAUCGUAGGAAGUGGUGAGGGCUCCGGAAGCGAAUCAAACUCGACCAAAGGAAAAAUUUGUUCCUACUUUGUUUUUGGUUCCCGAUUCAAUCUUCACCUUUCCUGAAUAAAGAAAGAGAGCAAAGGAGAAGAUAUCAGUGCAUUAGGUAAAGAGAUAGGAGAAACUGUCUUCGUUCGAUUCGGCAGAAGAAAGCCGAGAAAAUAAACAAAUAGGAAGAGCACUAUGCAAGCUUAUAAUUAAGAAAAUAUAUAAAAUCUAUCACCACCUUAAGUAGUAAAACAAAGUCGUUAUGGCUAUGUUACUAACAUAGACAACUAUGAAUAGUAUUCAUUGACAGGAGUGACCGCUUUCUAUAGAAAGAAAGAAAUUAAUAUAGAGUAUUAAGGGCUUGAAAGAAUAAGAUACGUAGAGCGAGAACCAAGGUUCAUAGGUGGAUCAAAGUCAAAAGGCAAAGUUGUUGGUUAGACGUAGACGAAUCCAAGGUAUAGUUAGACGAAGCCGUAGGAACUCUUGCAACGCAAUCCCAACUACAGGAAGAUAACUCACUAAGAUGAAUAAGUCACUUUCUGAUCCUUACUCCUCGAAGGAACUCUUAGCCUCAUAGCUACAUGAGCUACAUUAGGUUCCGUAGGGUUAGCAAUACAAGAAUCUCAAUUUGAAAAUACCUAAGGUAGGAUUACUCAAUGAUUCUUGUUACCUUAACUCCUUUCUCCCGGGAUGAAGCCUUAGAAGGAAAAGUAUAGGCCAAAAACUCUUCAGCUUUAGAUGUUAUAUGAACCCCUAAUAAGGAACCAUAGACAUAGAGCUAUCGGGUCAUAACUCUUCUCCCUCUAGCCUUAGGGUUCUUCUUUCAACAAUCUAAAAUCUUUUCUUCAUUUACAAACAUUUAUGUGAUAAUAUUCCUAACAAAGAUUCUGUUUGACUUGACCGUAGGACAUCUCCUUCCUCAAUGCAAUGGAAAACUAGGAGCAUGGAAGCAAUGAAAGCAUGCCCACUUUCACCGGCUAACACAAUGGAUCAAUACAGGGGAAACUGGCCGAGAAGCCUAAGAUAGCUAUCAAUGGCCCUAGCAAAUAAAGUCUAGUCUUCUUAUCGAGAUGAGCGUGAGUGGUCAAGCCCUGCAAUGAGAUCAUGUGCCCUAACCUAAGCCUGGGCUACUGUUGUGUGUUUCGAUCCUUCUAUUGAGAGCUUGUGACUAUCGCAGUGACUGCAAGCUAGCAACAAUAAAAGAAUGAGCGAGAGCUACUCGAACCACUUUAAGCAUUAAGCAUUAAGCAUUAAGCAAGAGCCUACCUCUACCCGAAAGUAGUUGUGAGGCAGACAUUGAUGUUACAGAAAGGCUGGCUGCCUUGCAGGGUCGCUCACCUAGUUCACCGGUACUAGGCUUUGAGAGGCUCAACAUCGGGUCCAAUGCAAAUCAAUCCUUGCGAAUGAUGGUGGCUCCAUACAGGUAGACAUAAGCCCUGAAACCAUAACAAAUAUAAGACAAUUAUAGGGAGGACAUGCAUGUUCUCGGGAAAGUGCAGACUCGGUGAGUAUACAAGAUCAUCAACAUAGUAAUAGGAUGCAUCUGCUGAAGCUAAGACUCUUGUAACAACAAGCUGGAUCGAAGCUUAACCAUAGUUGGUUUUGGUUGUUAAAGCUUUGCCGUAGUAACAAAGCUUUCAUACUCCGAAGGCAGGCCAGAAUGAAGGAAUGUAAACAUAUCAGAUUGGGACAUCGGUGCAUUGAUAGAUGCCAAGAAUUCAAAACUGUGCUUAAAUGUAUGAAGGUAAGCUACCAUAAACGGAUUUCCUUUCUUCUCUCUUUCACUAUCAUGUUCCUCACUAACCCGAAAGGCUUUCUUUAAACCAACUUUGAGGAGGGGAUUUGUGAACCUUGUUUGAUCUCCUCUUCCUCUUUUUAGACAAGAAAGGAGUUCCCCUUCUCCUUUAUUUUCGUUUUCACUUACAUACACGAAUCUAGGUCCAGCCUCGCUUGCAUUCAGUUAUCAAGGGGGCUGUCUACUCUUUCGUUUACAUACGUAAGCUCCCGAUUAGUCAUAAUCGCACUUCUGUACAAUAUCCAGCAUAUAUUAAAGUACUUACCAGCCAAGCAUGGACAGAGUAGCCUGUGGAUUGGUGCCUGGUGACAUGGUAAAAGUUGAACCAUCAAUAACUCUGAGUUCCCCAAAAAAUCUUAAGUUCCCAUCAACCACUUUCCCAACAAGGCAGCUAUGGUAAUGCGAUAUUGUGGUCACAAUGACAGAACUAUCCCAUCAAAAAAUCAUUGGAUAGAUUAGCAGGCAAUGAAGGUCCAAUAUACUUGAAAUAUAUAGGACCAAACUCUUGUUGGUACUUAAAUUUCUACAUGGAGCGGCUUUGUUGUACAUCAUGACCAGGAGGGCUUGAUAGCUUCUAUCCAGUGAAGGGCAGGAGAGGAAGAAAUAAAUGGAGAACUGGGUGCCCCUUCGGAUGGGAGUUAAUGGCGGCCUUCAAUGGUUCCCAAAAUGGGUAGUUCCCUUCUCUUGGCAGCCGUAGAUGGGCUUUCACACUCCUCUAUAUAAUAUUCAUAGAUUGAACAAGACAGCUGUACUGGGAUACUCAGAAAGAAGUAAAGCACAUCCAGAACAGCUGAAGAAAGAAUAGGAGAAUCUAUACUAUCUUUUGCAACUUUUGAAAGAGCCACAUCAAGAACAAGAGCUGGUACCAUAUGUGCCAUAGGAAAGGAAGGAAUGGGAUAUAUAUUUGAAACAAAAAUAACAAGGAGAUUUGCCAACAGGAGAGGGAGGGCCUCCUACACUAUUAGUAUCUUCUAUAUAAGAAGAGAGUUGAGUUUGAUGAUUGUCGACUGAGGUUACACAGAGCAAGCAAGGUGAGUUUCUUGCAAUGGUUGCUUAUGUGUGAGGUAAGGUAGCAUAAUCAAGGAAAUAGUAUAAGCAAGGUAGCUUGCAAGUCCUACCUCGAGAAACAGGUUACCUAAAAAUAAAUCAAAUUAGAGUCCUUGGUUAUUGUUCAAUUGUUGAGAUCGAAUCCGAUGGUUGCCGAAGGAUACUACAAUGUUUUGUAAGCUCAGGUUAUUGGAAGAAAAUGUGGUGCAAGCGAAAUUCUCGCCAGACAAUGUCAUGCAGCCCAAAUGAGUAGAGACAAGCAUCUAGAAAAUCUGAGUGAGCGAUAGGCAAGCAAGCGCAACGCCAACCGAAGAAAGAAGACCAGCUGAAUGUGAGUUCAAUCAUGAGGAGAUGGACAAGUUAAGCCUGUUGGUAGCCAAUAUUCUAAUUAGGGGCAGAAGUCAUCAAGUUGAUUUCAGUCGUCCUUCUCCUUAUGUACAAGGCACUAAACUAGUGAUAUUAAGCAUUUGCCCUUGAGUGAAGUUCAACUCAGUUGGUUCUCAGAUAAAUCCCACAUGAAGCGAAAGUCUACAUACCACUACAUGAAAGAUUUAACUGUCUAGUCAGAAAAAGUCUUUCUAAAAGCUUUAGUUUAGGAGCGUUUCAUCAAACUAUAAAGAUAUGAAUCUCAAAUAGAUGGUCACGUAACUAGUGGAUCUUACGUCCUAUCCUCAAGUAUUCUUAGUGAUCGGCUGCUCUCAAUGAAUCAAUACCCAGUGGCUCUGAAUUCAAUAGAAAUCCUGUGAGUGAAACUCUGAGUUGAAAAUGACUAAGCUUUUUGCCUUGACCUUGACACUAGUCUGAGCUUUUCCUAGGGCACCUUGCCUUCUUUUCUUGGCUUGGCGGGACACAUAAAUGAUUCUUUGCUAUCUAAAGAGAGUUUUGAUUCUGUAAAACCUAUAGGAGCAAUAGAUGGAGUGGAGUAUGGUUGUGAGUCAGGCACAGUAUCCUCACUGUUCUUGUUACAAAAUUGACUCUAAACGCUGUUCAUGGUUGGCUGUAAGAAAGAAUAGCGAUUGUUGAAGAAGUUUACUCUUUCGAUAACUUUUAUUGCUCUAAAUAAGCUCUCGGCCUUUAGGAUUACAGGAACGACUAGCUUACUCCAACCUUCUUGUGUGACCGCAUGUUGAAGAAAAGAGUUCCGCAUCUUACUCUAAUGGCAAUGUCAGGAUCUCAGUCUAUCUCUUUCUCAUAUUUGACACUCUCUUCUAUAGACCGCUAAGUCACAUCCAACUACCUGUACUCUAAGAAUGAAGGUUGUAAACUACCUUAACAAACGAUCACUAGACUUGUGAAAGAGAGCUCUUCUUCACAUCGAGAAUCGACUAUUUACCCUCUCUUCUUGCAAUUGUGCAUUUUGGGCCUUGGGCAACCUCCCGACAUUCCUGGAUUAGGCCCCUCUUUGUCGCUAUCCAAUCCAAUGUCUUCUUCAUUAAAUUCCCUAUCUGCCGAAAAUAGAUAAACCUAUCCACAGGGAUUUUGAGCAUCACUUCUUUUUUUUUUGAAUCUCGAAAGGUAUUUUUAUACAGCCGAUGAGUUAAUGGAAAGAAUUAUGGAUGAAUCCCAAGAGCUACCUUUUCAUUCAUCUUUGUAAAGGAACCUUAGUCACUUUGACCCCAAGGAUUGUCCUUAUCCCUUCUACUAUUAUAUCUGAAAAAGAUAAGAUUAGUAAGCUGGCUUUGGUCCUCUGCUUCCAGGUCGUGUAUGUCACAAUGGGUUUUGGCCCUCAGUAAGAAUGCCAAUCUUUGAUUGGGAGCGAGCCUGAAGCUCCUAUCAGUAGGUAACGUAACCCAUUACAGUUUACUCUGGAAUCGUUAUUGGCUGAUCACAACCCAAUAAAAAAUAGGAUACAAUUCAGUUUUUCCUGUAAAGGAUUAGAUCUCACGAGCUCUGUUCACUCGUUCCUACAGUGAUUCAGGGAUGCACUCUUUGUCAACGACCGGUGACACAUAUGAUUCUAUCAUCACUACUGGAUAGAGACCUUUGGUAGCCUAUUUUGGUAAUGCACGGAAUAACUUAUUCUGCCUUCCCACUUUAAAAGAAAGCUGCAAAGGCACUUCGAUCAUUGAGAUAAAAGAAGGUAGUCUCACCGCAUCAGUGUCAGGGCUGGUGUAGUUCGUUCAUGAGUGCUUUCCUGAGGAUUUUGGUGUCUCCCUUAGUCUUUCUCAGCAUCAACCAUUCCUAUACCUGACCUUGUCUCAUUGCGUUGCACGCUCUUCGCCCUCUAGCUAGAAAGUAAAAGUCAUGGCGGGAUAGAGCUCAAAGACAGGCUGAGGGCAAUGGAAACUCAAAGCAGUAAGCUAUGUAAAAAAUAUAGGGAGAGAGAGAUAUCUUGUUAGGUCUCGGGAAUGUUGCAUUGAUCACGGCAAAUAUCUCACCAAAAGGUGGAAGGGGUACCGAGAUCCUGGGCAGCGGGAUCUUCCCAUCACUAUCGACUAAAGGGAAAGUUACAAAAGAGAUCUUGGUUUGAAUCCAAUUCAUAAUUCAAGUUCAGAUCAUAUGGAAUUCAUUCAAUCAAAGGAAAUAAGGAAGCGUUACGAACAGAUAGCCAAGCAGACAGGGUAACAAGAUGUGACAACCAGAAGGAAUGCUUUUCGCUUUCUCCAAUAACAAAGUUGAAAGUUAGCAAAAUCUUAUAGGCCUAGGGGAGAACUCUCUUUCAUCCAUUUUCUCGAUCACCUUAACUUGAUGGAAAUAUCACUUACUUUAUUAAAAAGCAUAGAUUCUUAAAUUGACUAGGAAUUCCGCUCUCAUUUUACAGACGAAUAAUUCCGUCGAGGAAAUAGGUUUCCCCUCCCCUAAUUCAUGAGAUAAGAAUGAUCAGUAACCAGAAUGAGUCUUUAAUUAUAAGAAUAAGCCACCGAUAUCGAGGGGGUAGUUAAGGUCAGAGGGUGGAUAAUUGUGAGGGGGAGGGAACUAGCCCAAGGAAUUGGCGAGCAAGUAAGAAAAUGCCUAUGCCAGGGAGGCUGGCUGCCAAAAUUGUGCCAAUUUGCUGUCGGAGUUAGCGUACUCAUGAUAGCUUACAGAAGACUUUAGGGCCGGGGUGAAGAUACAAAAAAGAACCUAUAAAGAACUGUAUAAAAAUAACUGAGAACUACAUAAAGAGGUUUGAGACUCACUUCCUUGAAAAGAGGAAGAGGGAUAAAGAGUCAUGUAGGCAGUGACCAUUUAAUAAAUGUAGUGGUUGACCGACCUUUGAGGUUAAAAUGUCAAAUACUAAAGAGUAGCUAAAUGAAAGGCAGUGAAGGGGAUCCCCAUAUGUGACUGGGGAGGCACGAGUGGGAAAUCUCAUAAACUCAAAGAAAACCAGGGUCAGCCGACCUAGAAUAAGACACAAAUAGAGAUGGGUCAAUACACUUUUAGAGGAUGAAUUGCUAUCAAUUGAGUGGAUUAAAUUCAUCUUAUUUGAGUCUUCUUGCUCUGUACUUCUAUAUUAUUUGCCAAGCGACACAAAAAAAGGUACAUGAGGAAUCACAUCAUCACCUCCUUUUGCAUCUGCCUCCCAAGCUCUGCUUCCCAGUCAGUUGGUCAUACACCACUCAAGGUUCACUUACUAUAGUUCUUUCAGUCUCAUUUGAUGCUUAUCAAAAUCAGCGAGUUCUUAUCCCAUACUAAAGUCUGACUUCGAUCAUCGUCUCCUGUCUGUCCAAAUUUUUAUGUCACCGGACCUGAGACUUUUUAUUCUCCCUCACCUUGUCUAAGCUUGAUCUUCAACCUUAAGCUAAGCCACUCGAGACGAGGCCAUUUUAGAUAGGCCUUAGGCAUCUAAGCCAGCAUGAGCUAGAUCUUAUCCUAUCCGAUCCGUUUGUUCCGCUGUGAAUGUGAUUAUUCUCGUAUAAAGUGGUUUUCCUGGCGUACCUUCUUCAAUAUCUUCAACUUUCACUUUAAAGAGAGAGAAGCUGAGGAUCUCACUCCUAACCCAAAAAAGUCAAACUAGGGACUGAGGAUCUUUCUAUUUCAAGCAUUUGACUUUCUAAGGCCUGAACGUCCUACUUCAAACUUAGGAAACCAUGCUUACUUUCAUCCGGGGAUGGGAUGUAUAGGAAGCUUAUCUCCCACUCCCACUUUGUCAGUAAGUUUAAGGGGAGAGCAUUGCUACUGACUUUGCUAGCUCUUUUUGUGAUUCGGGUCUUCUAUCAUUAAUAAUCAUAUUGAUGCCAUACUUUAGCUAUCUUACGUGAAGCUUAAUUAGGUUUUUUUGGUGGUCUUGUUUAAAGAGAAGUCAGAGUCCUCCUGGAUUCCAUAGUUACUAAGCACAAUGAGACUAACCAAGCAGUUGGUGAGAUCAAAAGAGUAGCCUCGAAUGUAGACUAGAGAUCUGACUGAGAAAGAAAUCGAAUGAACCUUAGCACUAGGGCACCCCCAAAGGACCCUAGGUACCUAUAGAUAAUGAAUUAUCAAUCCUUAGGGAUAACCCUUUAUUUUAACAAGGGAAUGCAGGGUGCCCCAUUAGGAUAACCAACACAAAUACAGACUAGGAGUUCGCCUAAAAACAAGUCUUUGUCUUGUAGUGCAAUAUUGAGAAUGAGGUAAAAAUUAUCAGCGGGGAUUGCUAUGCCAUUCAAAUAUCUUUGUUUAAGAAGUGAUUUUUAAAAUCUAAAGUAGGGAGUACUGCCCAAGAGCUUGCAUCAUCAUAUAUGCUCUUUAAGGACAUCCGCUACCUAGGAAAACAAGAGCUGACAGCCCAGCCCUUCCUAUCCUGGGGCGAACACUCAUGAUAGAAGGAAGCUCGCACACAUUACUAUAUUGUAAUCACCUACUCUUUUCUACGUUAUUGAUGAAAUUCUCUAUCUUGGUGAAUUUCUAGUAUUGCGCCCUUGAAGAAAUCAGAGAUAAAAGCCUAUAUCUUUGAUUCUUUACAGAGAGACCCAAUGUUUGAGUCUCUUACUUUUCUUUGUGUGACAUUGACUCUAAAGGAUGAUCUCUUCCAAGUUAUAUAUUUAUUCUUUUCUUAUUUGCUCAAUUUUAUUUUCCUUUUUUACUUCUAUUUUUUUUUAUGGGUGAUUCUAUUAUCUUCCAAGGAGUCGAGAUCGUAAGCGUAAGAGUUUUCUUUCUUUUCAGAUGCUAGCAACCAGUAAUGUUCGAGUAGGCGGGUCCUAUAACAACGGCUAAGUGAUUGUACACUUUCUAUGUCUGGAGACUAAACCUCUUCUUCUAUCAAGAAAGGCAGAUGAAGUGAACGAGUGAAGGUGUGAGUCGAAAAAUAGAAUCUUGAUUUGUGCUAGCCCGGUAAAAUACAAAGAGAAAUAUGUGUGUGAUAACGUCGAAGGAUUAUAACCUUAUAAGGAACUUUGGCCUAUUCAAGACUAUCUGUCACCCUAAGGUUUUUAGGGAAAAUUUGGAUGCAGUAACCAAUGUAGGAUCCACUUUAAGGCUAGAAGUCUCUCCUAAACAUCCGAUCGGAUUGAAGCUUCCUAAAAUAGAGCUUCAAGGAUAAACCUAAGAUGGAAGAAAGAUUUGGUUGAGUUUGGGCAUGAUAUUUAAACGGACUGAUAGGAAUAUAAUUGAGCUUUUAUGGUCAUUGAUGUAGCUUCAGCCAAUCGUUUAUCUUCUUCGAUUUCAUUAACUAGUUAAACUAGCAUGUGUGAAGCAGAUCUACUUUGAUCACAAAACAACACACUCCAGUCAUGUCUUCUUUGCACUUUGAUGACUCUUUCCUAUUCUUGAAAUGACUUAUAUCUAUAUGUAUGUAAUUUUGGUACACAAAUAAGGUUCAAUAGUAACUACAGAAGGUGUGUGAUUCUUACAAGUUAAGUAAGGUCAGUAAAAAGAUGUACUUUAAGUAAAGUAAGGAAGCCGCAAAAAAAAUCUUCUUAUGCUGUUGGCUGUGAUGUGUCUUGGGUGCUUCCUCUACUCUCAUCUAUGCGCUUGGUGGAUUUGACGUUGGAUAUUAAUUUGACUUGACUUUCGGAUCUGUAAGAGAUGUUGUUAGCACUGGCUCUGUCUUCGCUCUACAAAGUUCUGCAGGUAGGGAAACUGAUCGAUCUCAAUAUCAAUAUCAAGUAGGCUCUCUUUUUGGACUGGAUAUGGGUAUGUAUUUGAAUAUGGCCUCUCGUUUGGAAACCUUUGCUCCUUCCUUUGUUGGAAUUUUUAUAUGCAAUGAUUUCAUGGUGGUGGUGAAACUGCUGAUGCUAUCGUUGCUUCUUCUACGGGUGCUUCAGGUAAACUAAGUCAACUUCAACCCCAACCAAAAGAGGAAAUGAGUGAAACCACUUUCCCAAGGGACAAGAGAACAUCGUCUAAGCCCUUAGAUAUGUUAUUUGAUGAUAGAGAUUUUGAACGAACCAAAACCUACAACCCUAUGUAUAUUAUAUAUAUAUAUUAUGUAUAUGUAGAAAAGAUAGCUCAGUGACUUUCGAGCUUAGCUCUUUUCUGGUGCAGAUGAAUAAACCGGUUUGGUGUUGCUGCUCUGGGUAAAAAAGUUGAAUUUGCUAAAGAAGAAGAUUCCCGCUUGAGAGAAAUUCUUUUUAUUACGUUCCUGGCUCUCGGAUUUCUAUUUCCCUUUAUCCCGUGCCUGGGGAUAUAUGAAUGUUUUUUACUACGAUUUUCAGGUAGGAAGAAAGUUAUUGCCAGCUCUUUGAAUGAAUAGGCUGCUAGAAUAAGUUGUUUGAGAAUAGGUUGUUCAAGCAUAUCCUUCUAUCUAAUAAGAUAAAUUAGUUAACUACCUGUCCUCCAAGAAGCGUCAUCUCUUGGGCACUUUGUUUCCCUUUUUUUCCAAGUCAUACUCAUUCCGUAUGAUGAAGGAUUGGGCCCCCUCAGUAAUGAAAGGGGACGAAACUCAUCACAUUACGGGGUAGAUCAGUAAAAGUGCUUCUCGAGGCCAGUAGUGCUCCAGCGAUGGUGAUUCUAACCUUUUUCCUGGUAGUAGAGAGAUAUCCGCAUAAGCAAGCCGUGCUGGUGGGGAAUACCCACUGACAUAACUCAAAACUGCUAACUAUAGCCCAACGCUGUGAAGCUCGCCUACCCGGGUCAAUUAUAGGUGCCCCUACUACUAGUGGGUGCCUUCAGCUCGAGAUAGGACUUUUAAAGAAAAAAGAACUCCUCUGUAAAGGGUGGAGAGAAUUGAGUUGGUCAUUGCUUCGGGUAAUCGAUAAACUUUGUUAGAGUGGAAAAACAUAGAAAGAUUGAUGCCUCGCUUCCAACCGCAUCUCAUGUAAUGUUAGCGUGAAUUGUCACUGAACACUAACCUGGCUUCAUCCCAAUAGAAUUCCCUUAUAUUUUCACACCAAGUGUAAAGCUUCCUUAGUCACAUCAAGGGUCACCAUCACAUACCAACUCCUUCUGCCAGUUCCCCUUCUUCCUCUUGUAUGACCCUAACUUCAAAAAGGCAUUUUUGGGGUAAUAGUGACCAGGAAAGAGGGAAACUUCAGUCAACCUUAAGGCAUGGAAUCGUCAUUCUGCUAAGCUUUUUUCGUUGAGGUAAGGUAUAAGGUAAGGCCUGCAAGUUCGUUCCUUGAAGUAUUCUCCUCUUAGUUUAAGCUCUUGGAUAAUGUAAUCCAUCUAAUCAAAAGAAAGAAAGGAUAGAAAGUCUAGCAGGUGUAUAAGGAUGAAGUGAAGAUGAAGUAAGGAUGGCUUGGGAGACUCUAGAAUUAUGAAAUCCUCUUCUAGGUAUGUUCCCGAUACUAUACUAGUGAAAGAAGUUCCUUGCCUUUUGUUUUUCUAGUGGACUGGUGCAGACUUCCUUCUUUAUGCUCAUAGGCUUAACCAACCUAUAGCACGGUGUGCUUGUAUACCAUUAGGCUAUUAGACGCACUGGAGACCUUUGGCCAUAUGACUUUAGGCACAACGACGCAACUAUUAUAUGACCACUUACGAUUGAUACGUGAAUAUGAUGGGAUACAAUCGCCCGUAAUGGAUUUUUGUUGGUAUGUAGUUGGAUCGAUGCUUUGCCUCAUAUGUACUCCUUGGAAACCUUGACUUUUCAAUAGAUUAUAUUUAUCAACACUUAAGAAAAGUGGUACUUUCUCUUUUACUUACCAUCUUUUCUCAGCGGAUCAGCCACGUAGUCUGAAGUAAGGUUAGUGAUGGGAACAUCAGCUAUCUUUUGGUCAGGUUUUUCGGGGUUGGUUCCUCUACUAGAAUAGGUCCCGAAAACCUCACUUCUUUUACUUUCGGUGCUUAUCUUCAAUUAGAAGAUGGUCACCCACCCUAAGCCAGAUCGGUUCAUCGGGCCAAUUCAUGCAUCGUCCCGAGANNNNNNNNNNNNNNNNNNNNUGAGCUAACUUUCUAUUUGACGACAAAAGAAGAGUAAUCAGCCCUAUGAAAGUCACAUAUUUGACUAAUAUACAUGGUCUUCUGAGAGGAUUUUUUAAUCAAGCCAAGAAGAAUCAAUUUAGCAGUCCAUACUAGGUAGAUUUAGGAGUGACUGACAGUGAAUGCCUGGUAGCAAAGGUACAAAGCAAACUCGGCUUAACUUCACUUGAGUUUGGUUUCCCCUAGAAAUGAUGGAAUAAGCUUUUCUUCCUCUUAGCAACUAUGAGCUCAUAGGGAGCUAGAGUGAACUUGGUUAGCUGGGACUAAGAAGGGAUAGGAUUUGAUUAGUGCGCUUUCUGCCUAUUCUUUCCUUACUCCGUCGAUGGUAUGCCUGAGAUGGCAGUCUUUCUCCUUGGCUUGUACUCGAGAUCUAAUGUUCGAAAGAAAACCAAUCCUUUUCCAGUAACCAUUCUGAGUGGGAGUUCAGAUCUAUGUUCAAAGGAGGGGGUCUAUUAGUAGAGCGUUAAUAAUCAGGUUGUGGGUGUUUGUAAUCGAAGUUAACUAGACUCCAAUUACAACUACCCUUUUGGCCACCCUCCCAUUUUUGGGAUUUUACCAAGAGGGACUACGUUCUUAGAUGCACCUAAAUUCUAAUGUCCUGCGUCCUUUCACCAGCGAUGGUAUGUCAACCGGUGCCAUUAAGAAAUCGGUCCCUAAGAACCCACCCAGUAUCCAUCUAUCAAAUUGAAUGGAGGUAGCAGGAUCUAAUAACCACCUUGGUGUGGUCGUUAUAUCCUACCCUGUUCCCAUAUCAUAACAUUUCCAGAUCAAAUCAAACAACAUUAAAUCAUAGUUAACGUUUGAUCUUUUCCAGGAUCUGCUACACAUAGGAACUUCCUUCAAUUGAUCAAUGGUUACUUCUGCUGAUAAAGGGACAAUAUAGUACCACGAGAUCCAUUUCAGCCAUUGUUUUACCCAAUUAAGUAAAAUAGUGUGUUCAAGGAUUUCUCGUUCACCAUCAAACACCAACUCUUCUGGGAAGAGCCGUAUCUCCUUAGGUUUUAACUCCGUCCAAAGAUAAUCCACUAACUUUCCCUUCAGAUAAGGAUUGAGGUUUCCAAACCUUCCAAUCCAAUAUUCUAAAGGUAGAGGAUGUUACCUGCCUGGCUUUAGAGCAACAACCUUCAAUCUUUCCCAUCAUUUUGACUGGGUAGUGUAAAGACGUGAACGAACCCUAUAUCUUGCUCCUCCCAACCUUUGUAAAACAAAAAAUAUUUAUUGAAUACUUGGUUUAGAGAUCGCAAAGACCAAGAGUGUCCUACAGGAAAGUAAUGACCGUAGAGAUAUGGGAGAUAAAUCCACUUGUAUGGACUUAGUCCAAUACCUCUUGGCGAACUUGAUGGUACCAUUAUCAAAAAUUAUCGAUUUUGAUUCUAAAAUGGUAACACCAAUCCUAUCCAAUAACUUCUUCUACUGCUCCGCCACCUUUAUGUAGGUGAUCAGGAUAUCAUCACCUAAUAAAGCGUAAUUAGCAAAAGGAGCUGUCCUCUUUUGGUAUGUAUAUUUUUUAGCCAACCACACUAUAUAGUGGUGUGACAAUGAAAAGAAGGACCAGGAUCCAUAGUAACCAAGACGUUGUCCAGUAAGAAAAACUAUCUUAGACAUUUUCUUAACAAUCAGUCUAUCCAAAAAGAAAGUGUUAAUACUUAGAGAACUAUUAACUAUUGAAGAUGCGAGUGUACUCCCCCACAUACAAGACAUGAGGGAAUAUAUCACACUCAAUGGCGAAUGGUCCGUUGCAGAUUGAAAAUCAAAAGAAAAGAAAAAUCAACUUUUAUUCUUCUUUGAAAUAUGCAAUGGACGUUCCUGGACAAAGGUUUCAUCAGUUAGAAUUCUGGAUAGAACCUUCAUAGCCCAUUUAUGAAUAGGAAACAAGAGUCUUUGCUUGAUAUAAUUACAAAUUGCAAAGAUCCGUCUCUUAGUGUUACCAAUGGAACCCUGGUGUAGGCCCCUAAAAGAGAACUAAAGUAAGGACCUACACAUUUUAAAAAAUAUUCAAGGGAGUCCAUGGCAAUCCGAAUAUUAUUGGAAUCAAAAUGGUAAUAUACCAUUUUUUACCAUAAUAUACCAGGUGAAAAGAACCCAUCUGGAAUUGAAUGAAUUUUAUAUAUAUUCCAGAUAAAUGCCACCAAUUCAUGCUUAAGAUUAACAAAAAUAUUGUUGUCUUUAGCAUAUUUUCUGGCUACCUUAUUGAUGUUAUCGUCCACUUUUAAUCCAAAAAUAUGGACGAAAGUGUCUAAUAAGGGGGUACUUUUCUAAGUAGGUUCCCAAGCCAUUCCUAAUUCCAAGGGAAUGUCUUGAAGGAAUGGUAAAUAAAUGGGUUGGAGUUCCUUGAACGAAGUUUUCAUUUCAUCCAGGACUCCUAGGACACAACCAAUAUCAGGGUGUGGAGUGGCUAUAGAAGAGAAGGUUGCCUUUCUAACCUUUUUGGACACUAAAAUCAACUUAGCCAAACCAAACCAAGAUAGUUAUAUCCUUACCAAUCUAUUACCGUGAGCAAACUUUGGUCAUAUACGUUUCUGAAACACAGCAGGUAUGAUUCGGGGGAUACCACACCUGGUCUGGGAUAUUAGAGCAGAGAGGGAAUCACCUUUGUGGUAAUUCCCUGCAUAAUAACGUUGUAGGGAGACUACACACUAUUUCAAAUACAAAGCAGUGAACAUAAAACCUAAUCUCCAUUUCAUGGUCCGAACUUUUCAAACAAAAUUGCAUCUCGCAAGGGCGAUCUCUCUGGACAUGGACGCAGUGGCGACUAAAGGAACCCAAAAGAGGAUUCCCUUUAAUCUAAGGGCCUGUUCAAAUAGACCCCUCCAAGAGAACUUGGGUGACCUUUCGAUCGCACUAAACAAAAUAGAAUUAUUAAUUAAAAUUUCUUAUUUAUAAUAAGUGCAAUCUAUUAGUCAUUCUGAAUAUCCCUACUCUCCCUAUCGGACCAAACAAGUCAGUCUCGAGGGAAGGCGCCUGGGUUCCAAUCAGAGGUUUAUUCUCACUUAAUCUCGAGCACCCUAGGGUGCAAGAUAAAGAGUUCAAAUAAACUAGAGAUUGUAAUAAGAUAUUAGUGUUACAACACUAAUACUACAGAUCAAAAUAAUUAUCUUAUCAUUCUUUAGAAAAUUAGAUUGAUCCGUAAUAUUAACAUAGCAACACACACCUUUAUUAAUGCUUUAUUCGACAUCCUUAGGAUAACCAAGACAUAAUAUAUGACUACGUGCUCGGAAUAUCCUAAUAAGAAAGUUGGUAAACUUUCUAACUGGAGUUGUGUAACUCCAGAUGAUGCCAAAAAAAUCCCUUCCUUGGAUUCGAACCGAUGACUUUAUUAGCCUAUUUCUAAAGGUGUAAUUGAUCAACUUGCAUGUGUUAAGCAUACGAUUGAAGUAGCAUGAUUAGAACUUCUUAUCACUUUUUAAGCAUACGACUAAAGUAGCAUGAUUAGACAUUCUUAUUACUUUUUCGACUAGCUAUAAACUUCAACCCCUGUUCUCUUACUUAGAUGGAGAAAUAAGUAAGAAAGACUUUCUAACUUUCUUUUCUUUUCUGAAUAAAUGGUCAAUUAAACCGAAUUUUGCCUUCAACCAAGCCUUUCCAUUUCAAAAUCGAGAAAGAUUACUCUAAAAAGUAAGCCUUUUCUUAUUAUACAAUAUCUUCGCCAUAGAUGAUGGAAUUCCUCCUAGAAGCGAAGGCAGGAGCAAAGUCUAUUAAUUUACCAGUUUUCUAAGCUACUUGUCGGCUACCCACACUCUGUAAGCAGAAUAGGGCUCUGGACUUAAAACCACUUGCUUUUAGAAGUAUAGAAGGCCGCACCUAAACUAGUCGAACUUGCUUAAAUCGAUAGGCUUACCAUACUUCUCUGUCUAUUCAAUUUAUUUUGUUGUAGACUCUUCCCCACGCCUAUUUCUUCCCCCAGCCCUGUAGUAGAGCUUGCCCCCCUCCCUAGGCCUAUUGAUAUCUUUCCCUGUGCAGGUAAAUUUGGGCUCAAGAGGGGAAUACCUGAUUCAUCGAAAUUUCAACUAGAAGAGGUAGGCUCGGGUUCCUGGUAUAGGUAUAAGAAAGUCAGUAGAGCUAAAUAGAGGUAAACUAUACUUCUAUGCGUACUGAGCUGAGGUCCUCCCUGCAAGGAUAAACUAUCUUUGCCAUACUUCCUUGAUAGGUGAGACUUCCACGAAAGAAAGCAUGGAUAAGAAUAAUCGUCAGUAUGCAAGGACUGAGGAGCAAAGUAACUCGACUGAAAGGAGAGGAGCGUUCAGCCACUUGACUUGUUGGAGAGGGACAAUGUAGUGUAUUUCUCAAAUGAAACGAGUUCCUUGUGAUGUGUAAUAUCUUCAAUGAACUUCCAUCAGCACUUCAGAUUGAUCUUGAGGAAGAACGUCUCGUGGAUCUCUCCUUGCUUGUUAGAGAACCUUGGCGAAUACUAUGUAGUUGAUCCCUUCUUGUGAUCGAUUUUAGAACUAGAAUAGUUCACUUCGGCUGUGUCAUUAGCGUCAGUGAUGAUCUUUUCAUCUCUCACUAAUGUCAUAAUCCUCUCCUUUAAGACAAAGCAUCUUGUUGUAGGGUGACUGAUGAUACGGUGAUAUUUGCAAUAAUUGGGAUCAUGACUUUGUUGGCUUCAUCAUGUUUCUUUGACUCUGGAAGGUCAAUGACUGUCUUAGCCAGCAACUCAUCGAGAAUCACGGGGACGUCAAUAUCAGGGAAAGGAUUGGCCUUCGCUCCUAACUCUUUUAAAGUUGGCUGGCUUUUCUCUUCUCUCAGCCGCAGACUUGGAGCUUUUUCUUUCAACUUUUACUUAGUGGGGGCCUUUACAGAAGUUGUUCCCACUGCCAUGGAUUCUUUAGUCUGGUAUUUUAAUGGUUGAUUGAAUUCUUUAGCUUCCUUCCUCGGAUCAAAAAUAGGUGAAGUCUUUCUGUGGCUUGCAACAAUCAACUCUAUGUCAUGAGCUCGUGUCGCCAAUUCUUCAAAAGUGCAUGGAUUGAUUCCUUGGAGGAUAUACACAAGACCCCAAUGCAUUCCUUGGGUGCAUAUCUCGACGACAAAAGUUUUUGAGAGGUGAUCCAUGCAAUCUAAACUUAAUGCUCGCCACCGAUUGAUGAAGUCCACUACUGAUUCAUCUUUCCUUUGCUUGGUGUUCGUCAACUCCAUCGUACUCACUGUACGAUGAGUUCUGGAAAAAUGGUUAAGGAAUUCACCUUCAAGUUGCUCCCAACUAUCGAUUGACUCAGGAUCUAAAUUUUUUUUUAUUUGUUUUCAUAUUAAAUAAGAAUGAGAGGUGUUAAACUUUUUAUUAUCUUGGCGUAGAGCUAUUUUUUCGUAGGACCUCCCCUAUAGUAUCGUCACCAUAGUAGAGUUUAACCACUAAGUUCAGGAUGGAUUGGUAUGGUUCCUCUACGCCGAGGACACCAGAAUAUCAAACCAUGAAUGAAGAAAGGCAUGAGAGAAAAGCAUAUUGGUUAGUGAUUGUGAGGCCCCAAUUCUUGACUGGAGAGGACACCAAAGGCCUCUGCCCUUCCAUCCCUUGGAUAGAUAGAGAGAGGGGGAAGAUCUUUUGGUUUUUUCAUGUUGUCAAAGAUUUGAACAAUGAAAAUAGAUGGCGAGUGCCUGAUCGAAUUGAUCAGGUCAUGUAGGAAAUGGUUCAAGUCUACCGGUCUAUUAGGAUGCCUCAGCUGCAAACAUCACUGCACUUCCACUUGACACCUAUUGUAAUGAUAAACGGCUCGUCUCGCCAUGACCUUCUCUUGAAUUCUCAAAAAAGCUUCUGUUGCUCCAUCCCCGUAGGGGCAGAGAACCCAUCGCUGUCUCGGUUGUGCUACCGGAAGCUCUGGGAAGUCAGAAUAGGAGAGCACUUAUCUUGGGGUGGGCUUACUACUUAGAUGCUUUCAGCAGUUAUCCACUCCGCACUUGGCUACCCAGCGUUUAUCGUGGGCAUGAUAACUGGUACACUAGAGGUGCGUCCUUCCCGGUUCUCUUGUACUAGGGAAAGGUCCUCUCAAUGCUCUAACGCCCCACCGGAUAUGGACCGAACUGUCACACGAUGUUUUGAAUCCAGCUCACGUACUUCUUUAAUGGGCGAACAACCCAACCCUUGGAACAUACUACAUCCCCAGGUGGCGAAGAUCCAACAUCGAGGUGCCAAACCUUUCCAUCGAUAUGAGCUCUUGGGGAAGAUCAGCCUGUUAUCCCUAGAGUAACUUUUCUCCAUUGAGCGACGGCCCUUCCACUCGGCAUCGUCGGAUCACUAAGGCCGACGUUUGUCCCUGCUCGAUUGGUGGGUCUUGUAGUAAAGCUCCCUUCUGCCUUUGUACUCGAGGGUCAAUCUCUAUCCAGCCCGAGGAAACCUUUGCAUGCCUCCGUUACCUUUUGGGAGGCCUACGCCCUAUAGAAACUGUCUACCUGAGACUGUACCUUGGCCCGUAGGUCCUGACACAAAGUUAGAAUUCUAACCCUUCCAGAGUGGUAUAUCACUGAUGGCUCGAGCCCUACCGGAAGGAGGCCUUCUUUGCCUUCCAUCUAAGUUACACAGGAAAGGCCCAAUGCCAAUCCCACAAAAUAGUGAAUCUUCAUAGGGUCUUUCUUUCCAGGUGCAGGUAGUCCACAUCUUCACAAAUAUGUCUAUUUCACCGAGCCUCUCUCCGAGAUAGUGCCCAGAUUGAUACGUCUUUCGUGCAGGUCAGAACUUACCCGAAAAGGAAUUCUAUUAAUAACUGUCCAUUUUGAUCCUUUGGAACAACUCUAUGAGUUUAGUAGAUCAUUUUAGGAGGCUCUAAUGACUAUAGAUUGAACCUAUCCAAUUUUUACAGUACGAUGGUUGGUUGUUCACGGCCUAGGUGUACCUACCAUAUUUUUUUGGGGAUCAAUAUCAGCAGUUCAUCCAACGAUAAAGAACAUAUGAAUUAUAGAGCUACGACACAAUCAAACCCGAAUGAACAAAAUGUUAAAUUUCAUCGUACCAGUCUCUACUGGGGGUUAUUACUCAUUUUUUUACUUGCUUUUUUGUUUUCCAAUUAUUUCUUCAAUUAACAAAAUGAAAGAGAAUAAAUAAGAUUCUUUUAGCUCUUUCGGAAGGAUCUCAUAAUUCAAUUAUCCAAGGUUGUUUAUGUCUCUAGCAUGACCACUUGAUAAAAUUUGGAGGGAAGUAGGGUCAAUGGUCGAUACUACUGGAAGGAUUCUUCUUUGGAUAAUAGGUACUGUAAUUGGUAUCUUGUAAUCGGCUUAAUAGGUAUUUUAUUUUUUAUUUAGGAUCUUUGUUAUUUACCUUUAAGGCAUCCUAUUCCCUGUUUUGACUUUCUUUUGGAAUCGUCUUCCUUUAAAUAAGAUCUUCUCCCUUGUUCUUCCCUCUUCCUAUGAUCUUGACCUGCUAAGUGAUUUUUGAAAGCUCCCACUAUGACCAAAAAGAUCCCAAUAAGCCACGUAGCAGCUUAAGAUUAUAUUAUAAUAAAGUAAGUAGGAAGGAGUGAAAUAUACUCGACCAGAUGAGAGAGGUGACCAAAGGAAGAUAGUUUACCUUCUCUCCUCCCUUACAACAUAGGUCAUUCUAAUACCAGAUGAAAAUAUUCCAAAAUAGAAUUAGAAAUAUUUAUUGGACCAUGAUAGCCAGCUAAAACUUAACAGGGUUGAAGCAUCUUCUUGGAAUCACUAAGAAAGUAGGAAAGGAUCCAUGGUUGCUUAAGGCCCUAAGAGCCAGGAUGCUUGCUAUUGAAAAUGAAGUAAACAUGGUUAUGGGCCAAUAUCUCGAUGUUGUUGAAGGUAUAAAUGAACACUUUACCCUAAUUAGUUGGGGCUGGGUGGGAUCUUAGUAGUUGCUUAGUCACUCAAAAGUUAGACUGUCAUAAGCCUGACACUAUUCUAUUUACUCUCUCAAAUGAGGGGCUGGUUUAUUUUUCUAUAGGGUCCAUCUCCUAUCAUCCCUUACCUAUGGUUCAGCACAGGGAUUGACCAGAAUGAUUGCAAUGAGACACACCAACACCACUACUUAGAGGUGGAAAGAGGGUGGUCGAAGGAUGACAGGGCAAUCACACCUUGCUCUCUCCUAACAUCUAUUGGGAGGGAACCUCCUUUCAGAGUAUGAUUUAUCAUUUCAAAUGCGGUUAAUUGCUAUUAGGCAUUUUAGAAAAGUUUCCCUCUGCCUAUGUAGUUAGCUCGACUCCAAGUAUAGCUCUUAAUGGGCAUGUAGCUGUAGGCGGGAACUCUUCUUUUUAUCUUAUUCUUUCUUCAGGCUGGUAAUCCCAACCAAAUAUGCAAUUGCAAUCGCUAUAAGAAACCUAUUUCAUACCCUUUUCAUCGUACUUCCUCUUUUCCUUCUCUUCUUUCUCUCCCUGCCGAGCUUGUUGGAGUACCAUUGCCAAUAUAUAGUGUAAUUUCCUUUCUUAUCUAUUCUAGUUUAAUCAUUUCCUUCCUAUGUAACCAAGUCCUCCUAUUAACCUAUCCCCGCCUAAAGGAUAGGAAAGAUUACUACUAAAAAGUAAAGGUUGUCUUCAAGAAAGCUCUUAGCUUUCAUCGUGAGUGAGAGAGGAAUUGAUGAAAGAGAAUGCCCUGCUAUUCUUUACUUACACAAAAGAAUAAGAUGGAUAGAAUGGGAUUUCAAGGCAAAACAACCUAUAUAAGAGAAAGAGUUCCCCACUUGAUUUCAAGAUAGGGAAGGCUAGUUCAAGAACUAGAAAGAUCUCACUUCUAUUUAAUCAGACGCCUCUUUCUUAUUGAAGACUCUGGAUGAUGGAACUCCAUCGGCAACGACUCUUACCACUGCAACUUAGGCACUUAGGCCUUGGAGAUGAUCUUUCAAUCCACCAUUACCAUAAACCUCUACUUUGAAGUGAAGUGACUUCGUUCAUUCCCGAGUCGAUAAUUGCCAUAGGAUGGAACCCAGUAAUGGCAUAUCAGCUUACCGAUUCCUUAAUAAGCAUUCAUUCCUGGACUUUACAAAUUAUGAUUUAUCCCCAUAUGGAGUCCACCUAAGGGAGAAAUCCAAUCCAAUAGGUCACUAGGACUGUGCUUGACAUCAAAGACAGAGAAAAACAUAUAAACACAAAAAGGGAAAAUUGCUUGGGAAAACAAUCCCAAGUAAAGCUUCUUGCUAGUAUUUUUCCCCACCACUGAACAUUGUGUUGCUAUGUCCAAUAAAUAGUCUUAAAGUGGUUUCGAAUGACCUUGAGGAGACCCCGACAAAACACCUUUCUCGCUCGAAGGAUCUAUGAGAAGAACAUCCCACUACGAAUUCCUAUCCCAUUAAUAAAGUACAGAUAAAUAAUAUAUUCCAAGUCUGACUUUUAAAGCAUACACAUUGAAAAAAACCUUUGUCUUUGAACUUUCUUCUUUGAUAGAUCUUUUCUCUCAAAAUAGGUUUUACCUAACCCACUAUAUCCUUUGUUUAAUACCCAUUUUCAGGAGUAGGAAUCGUCAAAUUGAAAACCCUUUCUUCUGCCCUCACCAUUUCUUUCUCUGACCCUAUCCACCUCCUUUACGGGAUACCAGAAAAAGAGAUGAAUUAGUGGAUCAUAGGGCUAAGCCAAAGCAUGCCUGAACCUUCUUCGUUGGAGACUGAGUUAAUACACAAUCCCACUUUAGAGACCUUCCUUCGAGAUAGGUAGGAUAUGGUACCAAAAAUUAUAGUCUACUCAGCAUGCAUCGAUUCUUUGCUGGAGAAGCCUAGAUCACUAGUUUUGGACUAUCGAGAAACCCCCCUCUACCUGCAUCCCUGGAACUUGCUUUGCUUUUUUACUGUAAAGACCCCACCUGCUUCAUACCUUCUAUGAUAGGGAAGUACUUCCACAUGAGUACUAAUUUGAUUAGCAUAAAUGAGCCUCUUCUGAGCCCUUGAUAUUUUACAUAUUAGAUUUAGAAGAUUCAAUUGGAUCAUUCUUAGCACAGAAGAAUGAGGAGGAAAAGGUAGAGUGUGCUCCGAAACUCCAACACUUGGGUUGAACUAAAAAGGUUCAAUCUUUCACUAUUCAGAAGUAAGGGAAAGCAAAUGCAAUCAUCGCAAGGCACUCUGGAAUUCCAUUCUAUAGGGAAAAAGGACCUACUAAAUAAGUCUCCAAUCAAUCUCCGAUGGGUGAGAAAAUGGAUUUUCCUCUUUCAUUUAGUGUUCAUUGUUGAAUCGGAUGCUUAACUCCCACCCCCAACUAUGGGGAAAGUCACACUUUAACUUCCUGCCUUGACCCAGGCCUCACAUCGAUCGUUCUGUCCACUGAACUCAUCAAUCAACAUUGACCUUGACUCUCACUACAUACUCUAACUCUAUCUAUUAGUAAAGAUGCUUUAUCUAAUAAAGCAGGAAGAAUACUAGGAAAGCAAUCAAACAGAUAAGGUUCUAUAAGAGAAGAGCUAACUAGAGUACGCCUGGAACGACGAACGAGGAGUAUGAGAAGAGAGUUUCGAAGGUCAGAUCGGGUUGGCUGGUAAAGCUUGUGUUCCAGGUCAAUAAAUACUACAAACUAGUACUGCUAAUAAGAAGCUAACAAAGUGAGGCUUCUAAAGAAGAGCUUGAUCCGAUUCUGGAUACGAGAAUAAGAAGAACAGAAGUACAAGAGGACAAGAAGGAGAAGAGACAAGUAUAGUUUCACUUGCUUGGUAACCUCUUUUCCGGUCAGAAAUAGGAAAGAAUCCAAAGCUUGCAUGGAUGUUACGCUUCAAACGCUAUUAGGAUAGAUAAAGUGGAAAACUAGGAUGAAAUAUACUACCUUGAAUAUAGAAUCAAUUACCAGAUGGACUGGCUGGCCCACUUGUACUAAUAGAAUCAAAAUCAAGGAAAAUUCCCCUGAUGUGAGUGAACAUAGGGACUCCCUAAUGAACAAAUGGAAUACAUGGAAGGCUGGAGGAUGUAGUACUGAACAAAUUUACCUAUGACAUUUUCUACUCCUACUUUUCAUAGAAAGAGAAUGGGCAUCCUGGAAAACUUGGAAUGAUUAUAGAAUGCUUACUGCCUUCGAUUCGGUCUAUUAUAAGUGGUCCAUUGGGUAAGCAGUGGAGGGAAGAGGUUUAUACCUAUUCCCAUAGCUAAAAGGGUUCCCUUUCUUACUUGAUUGAGACUGAGAGUCAGGGCAUCAGAGGUCUUAGGAAUCCCAUCCCUAUCGAGCUAGAAGUGGAACUAGUGCUCUUAGCAUUUUACUUGAGAGUAGGAAUUGUGAAGUCAAAGACUUUAACUUGCUGCUUGACUGCUCGACUUGGCUAUUGAAGAAUCUCUUUGCCUUUAGGCACUAGGAGUAGGCAAGAAAAUACGGGCUUUCCUCCAACUAGCAUGAGUGAAAUAAAUAGCUAGGAAGGUACGAAGUGACUCGACUCUAAAGGAGAGAAAGGAGGCCAUUGGAUGAGGUUACUUCAUUUCUCAACUUUUUGAAUUUCAUUCUCCUGGGAAUUCGGGUUGCAACUAAAAAUGAAACUUGGUAGCACUCUAAUCAGCUGUGAUUUCUCUUGUUGAAAAGAAAGAUGCAUCUCUUUUUUCUUCAAAAGCUGCUAUGCAUUUCUUUUUUAGAUAGGUAUACUUCGGCCUUCACUGACCAUGCGAGGACUUUUUAGGAAAAAGAUAUCCGUCCUACAAAAAGAACUAAAGAAUAUCUGAUGUAAAGCUUUCUCAUAGUCAAAAUAGUUGAUGAAAGAAAGAGAGUAGAAGUAUGACCUUUUCAGGAAGAAUAUAAAUAAAGCAAGAUUUUGACCAGGCAUGUAUCGAAGGAGAAAAGGAGGAGGUAGAAAUAGCAUUAGUAGGAGCAGAAGGAAGCAAAUAAAAGUAAGCUUAUUGUCGAAUCAGCACACUAGGAAUCAAAGAUUGAAGAUGAUUUUCAACAAACGCACAUUCAUAGGUUGUUAGCAGGAUAAGGCGAGAAAGAUAUUGAAUGAGUUUAAAGAGCAUUUAUCUAAGCUAAGCCCAGUUAAUCCUACUAUCUUUAGGAGCAAAUCCUAGCUUUUUACAAGUCUUAAUUAAGGUAGAAAAAAGAUGGAUUCUUAACCCAAUAGGGGAUCUUGCUACAUAGAUUCAUAUCUAAUCAGCUGAUAUACUGAUGCAGGAAAAUUCGUAUAAAGAAGACUUGUUGAGAUUUCUUUCCUUCGGUAACCCCUAUAAUUGAAUAAGAAAGUUUCGUCUCUAGUUCAGGGAAAGGACAAAGGAAAGAUUCAAGGAAGGAUAAGGUGGAAUGAGAUCCUCUGAUUUAGCUUCUUUAGUUAAGGCGCCCAACAAUUGAGUUCCGUAGCUUAGGUAAGCAUCCGCGAGAGGUCUUAUGGUACGUCCAUCUAGAAUAUCUCUCAAAAUGAUCCAAAAUAAAAAUGGUUACGUUCAAGCAGAGAUCUCACCAGCGAUGGAGGUGAGGAAGACCUAUACUAUUGAUUUUCAAAUACCGAGACUCUACUCUAGACAACCAUAGUCUCUAAAUAACCCUAGCCAAGGUUUUGAUUCUUAUUGACUAGCCUUGCCUUCCCUAUAGAGGAGAUAGACUGGUCUAUAAAAGAUUCUGGAACUAGAAGAAGGAACGUUGGAGCUAUUUCCUUAGUGAUAUUAGCAUCUUUAUUUCGAACAUUUGGACAUUGUAGGCUCUCCUCCAACAAAGGACCGGGAAAGAAAAAAUCACAUUCUCGAAUAAGUAGAAAGUCUAGGAAGAUAUCAACCAUGGAUGGAAGGUCUUCUAUAAGCCAGAAGGUCCUACUAAGUGGUCUAAGUCGAACCCCUUCCUUGAAUGGUUAAGGAAAGCUUUUAUAUAAUACCUUUAUUUGUACUGGACUCUUUGACGUGGUUGGGAAUGUAACCUUGAAUUAGUGGGGAGACUACUGCUACAACUAUUUCUCACUGAGGGAGAGGUGGGCGAAGGGUGGAUUUUUGAUCUAUUUCUAAGCCAGGAAGAUGCCUCUUCUUUCUUUGACCUUCCCACGAGCUUCGUCUAGUUUGGGGGGAGUAUAGUAUAUAAAAGUAGGAUUUGGUAUUUGGAUAGUUUUUCUAUCAAUGAUCUGGCAAAUUAUCAAUGAUUCAUUCUUAGAUUUUCUAAAUGAUGAAGAGAUAAAAAAUUUGCACUAUUCUGAAAUGUUGAUUGUAAUAGUAAUAGUAAUAAGGGGUAAAUCAACAAAGUAUUCAACUUUAAAAAGUCUUUCGAAUUUCUAUAAGAAAGGAAUUGAUGAAUACACAGGGAAAGCCAUGUGCAAUGAAAAGUGCAAGCACGGCUUGGGGAGGGAUCUUUACUUGUUUAUUUCAUUUCAAAUUAACAUUAAUUUUAUUUAACAAGGAACUUAUCUACUCCAUCCGACUAGUUCUGGGUUUGAAUCCCGGGCAACCCACUAUUAUAUCAAAAUUCUAAUUCUCUGUAAGAAGUCCGUAUUUUUCCAAUCAACUUCAAAUAAAAUUAGAAUAGAUGCACAUACACCUUGGUUGACGCGAGUAUAUAUUUCAUGUUAUACUAUUGAAUAACAAGCCUUCUAUUUUGAUUUGUAGAAAAAUCAUGUGCUUGGGAGUCCCUGAUGAAACAAUAAACCAAGAUUUUACCAUGACUGCAAAUUUUAGAGAGAGGCGAAAGGAAACCCAAGAUUAAGGAGCUCUAAGCCCCAUGCCAGCACUUGCUACUCUCUUAUUGGUGAUCGUGUUUGGUAUCUCUUCGGUGUAUCAACAGCUUCCCAAUUUUUCACUCGAUAGAUCCCGCAAAUAUGCUGCUAAUUUAUGGGUGCCUAUUCUUCGAUCCAAACUGUUGAUUCACCGUAUUCCCUUCUCUAGUCAGGAAUGGAGUCAGGGAUGCUAAACUCAAGAUAAGUCCUAAGGUUCUGUUAAAGUAUCCUUAAUAGCAUCUCUUUCUCUAGAAUCCAGGCUUGUAGAUCUUUGGCGAAUCAACAGGGUUUCUUUCGUAAUUAGGUUACUCUUCGAACCUUAUUUGUUACUAAGUUGGGUAACUCAAACCCUAUCUCCUUUCUUUCUUAAGAGUAGAUAGAUGUAGAGCUGGAGACUCUCUCGAUAGGGCAUCUCAAUCUGGCUCUCAAUCUAUCGUUUAAAGAACGAAGACCAUAGGCAUAGGGUAAUAGCUCCUUACUUGUAAUUGAUAUAGGGGCUCGUUCGAUAGUAGUAUUUUGUUUUGAUAUCCUCCCUCUCUUCUUUCUAUAAAGAAUUCUCAAAAAAAUGAGUCAACCUGUCUAAACUUCUCUACAAAAGUCUUCCCCUCGCUGUUGGUCUUUAAACUUACAACUGGUAUCUAAGUCUAACACAAGAGAUUUUUCUUACUCUUAAGUUUGAUAUUUCGCUAGGAGCCUCAGCAAGAAUGGUUGGAACUGGUCUGACCUAUGAGAAUACUCGAAAAGAGGCUUCCUACAAGCACUAGAGUAGGAUAAGUCAACCUUGCCUUAGGUCAAUCCCUUCCCUUACUAGGGCAAGCAACAGACCUUUUUUAAUAACUCUUAUGAUUGAUUCACUUCCUCUAGCAUUGGCUUGCUUCUUACCUAUGAUAUCUCCAAGAGCUAAUUCAAUAGUAGUUGUAUCAGAGCUAGCUUGGAAAGAGAGGAGGCAUCCUUAUCUGAGCUGAUUGUUAGCGUAUUUCUUCUUCUCGAGUGAAGUAGCUUACUCUUGCUCUGUGCACUAGAGAGUCAGACUAUGCUUAGUUCUCAUUUAUAUUUGUGUUAUGUGAGUUCUAGCUAGGAAUAAAGUGCCGCAAAGGGUUGAUAAGGCAGCUCGGCUGGUAAAAAAGGAGAUGGUACCGAAGCAGGAGGCUCGUAGACACUACUAGUGCAAUGACUAGUCUAAUCUCUUUUCUCUACGUGAACUUUUUUCUUAUGUAAACCCGGUAUGUUAUAUCUAAGUCUUUUAACUAGUCCAAUGGAAAUCUCCUCUAUUACAAAAAAAGUAAAAAAAAAAAAAAAGGUACUCGCGCAGCAACCUGCUUGCCAAAAAUGAAAGUCCUUACUAGCCAAAGUAAGGGACUUUCUUACUGGAGCGUAUAUAAUGGACAAGGACUUAGUUGACUAUUCUUAUCCUUUUAUUCAAGAAUCUUUCCUCAGAAUGGAUGAUAAAUGGAAGCGAGAUUGGAUUGACGUAUAGAAACUACAACUACAGAUUUGAUCCCUUUCUCUUAGGGAAUCCCCACUAGACGAGGGAGAUAUAAAAGUAACGUUGACGCUACAAAAAAAUUCAUUGCAUAAGUAAUGAAUGAUCUAAUUUCUUAUUAGAAGCCUCUUUGACUAGACAGGUCUCCUUUACCGAGGGGUUCCCACAGAGAAGUCUUGCUAUGGCUUGCCAAAAACCUUUAAUAUUGAGAAUGUUGGAUGUAUUACACACUGGUGGAAUUGCGUAAUAAAUCUUUUCACUAGCUUAGUGAAUCGAUUUAAACUAGUAAAUAGACUAUUUAUUGGCAGUGAGUAAAUCUUUGAUUCAAAGGGUGGAAGAUGUUAUGAAUUUGAAGUGGGCUCUUGGCUUAGGUUCACACUUUCUUUUGUCUUUCCUCGAAAAGUUGUUUACAAUCUUUUAUAAGUCCCUACUUAUGGUAGGUAACAGACCCUCGCCAUUGCGAUUAUCAUCCCUAAUCAGAAAGAGUUUUUGUUUGCGCAGGUUUACCUAGUUGAACAUAGCGCUAACCCAUUCCGCUAUUAUGUUUUUAUUGAAUUCUACUUUCAGACGCCAUCCUCCUAGAUAUGGCUCUUCCUGGAAGUGAGAACACUACUUCCCGACCAAGGAAAUAAGGAGAAGAUUAAAAGGGUUAUGAAUUCCAUUGAGUUAGCCGUACUUGAUCAAAUCAGCUAGUCCCUUCUGUUCCUCCUGCGACCCCUUUAGAAUUCCAAUGCUGCUGGAAGUGGUAUGCUUGAACGUAGAUUGGGAAGUGCAAGAGAUCAUCCCCCGUUCUAAUGAAAUUUCCUUCUUUUGCUGUUAAGCAAGUCCCCAUUCUAUUCGGCUGGCUUUCUUAGAAGUUUUUCAAGAUAUACUCUCUCUGUCUAUUGAAAUCCGACAGAGUCUUCUUCCUGCUUAUGCCCUGGGUGGGUCAAGUCUAAUAUAUCUUUCCAAAACCACAAUCAUAAUGAAUUCUUUCAUUUGCAAAGAAGACUUUCAAGAAAAGUCAAUAUAGUUGCAAGUUGCUCGAGAAGUGGGUUGAAGCCUGGAACCCUUAUGGGUAUGGAACCUUUUUUUCAAAUACUGGAUCUUGUGCUAGUAGUUCCUGACUUUCUUUAAAGCGGCCUAAACACGUCUCUUAUUGAAAUAGGAGAAUUCGUGAAUUAACCUGCUGAAAGGCCCGAUAUCUACUAUUGAAGUAAAAGAUCCUACGAGAGCAUUUCUGUCUUCAGACGUGGUAUAGGACUUCUAUUUUGCGUAAGUUUUUAUAUUAUCUUAUAUAUAUAUAUAUAUAUAAGAUAAGUAGAUUGUUGUGGAACUAAGUUCUCUGCUAGAUUCAGAGUUGUUGUGUAGCCAGGUUCACCUGCCCAAUGCCAAUGAUACGAAGAGCUAGCUUUGCUACCUCUGGGGGCUCAGAGAAAAGUAUACUUGCGUUUGUGUUGCAUGUGAAAAAAAUUUCCUACAUGCGGGAACCUUCCUUCUUCGAACCUUGAUGCUCAGUUUUGUUCUCCCACACACCUGUUUUUGCAAGGCUAGCCAGGUGGAGGUGCUUUUUCGGGUUUGGUUUGCCUAGAUAGGAAGUGCGCUUUCAGUGCUUCUAGUAACUAUUUUGAAGUACAAUAUAUUUCUGUGCCAGGGGUAUGAUUGCUUCUUUCUUCAUCUUAAAAGCUAGGGCUUGUCGUUCAUUAUCAGUACCUGUUUUAGAGAGAUAUAACCUCCUUGUCCGCCUCUCAAUGUCCGGGUCUUUCCCCAGCCCUCUCUCUCGAUGUGGUGCCUUUCACUCUGCUCUAUCAACACUUUAUCGCAAUUUUGAAAGGUAGGAUUUCAUGUCUUUUGGCAAUAGAAGUCAGAUUAUAAAUUGAUUCUUUGACUAUUUUAUGUUUGAAUUCUAAACCAGCGAGGUGUUGCUGGAUGCUUCUGAUCAAUAAAACAUGAAGAAUAAGAUCAAAAAAGGUUAUGAUGAGCUUGAGUCGAGUCAAUAAAAAGCUUAUGAUGAGCUUGAGAAGAGACAUGCACAGAGGAAGAAAAUGAACGUCAGAUUUGUUUUUCUCUUUUUUGAAAUGCAUUUUUCUCAGUCUCACUGUCCUUUUGCUUACUCCUAUCCUUUUACACUUUAAUUGGGAAUUUUAUUUGGAAGCCGCUUUGUUUGCUCCAUUUCUUAGACACUUUUUUUAUUUUUGUCUUUCUUUGAUGGAUAGAAUUUCUCUUUCUGUCGGAGAUGAUGGAAGUGGUCCUAGCUUAUCGAAAAAACCUUUCUUUGAUCUCAGCAUACCCUCUGUUGAAUACCAGGUAUAUGAGCUCAUGGAAGAGGAAAUCAAAAGGAGAAAGGCAAAAUUAGCCGACCUCCUAGAACCUCUCAUUCAAAGAGAGGUAGAAAGGUAUCCCAACAUAAGGAAACUGUCUUUGCCAAAGGCCAUGGUCGAAAGGCUAAUUGAAAUCCUUGGAUCAGAUCAGAUAAAGCCAAAGAAAAAAAUGAGGGAAAUGCUCCCAAUUUGACAAAUCUCAAAAAGUUUCUAGCCCGGGCGCUUAAUAACGCCGAGGAUGUGACCAAGGGCAGUAUAGACAUCCGAGGUGAAAUUCAAGCUAUCCUUGAAAAGAUAGUCUAAAGUGUGUCUAGCAGUAUCUUACAACAUUAUUGAGUUGUUGGUAUUGGAAACGUCCUUUGUUCCUAUUUCUUGUUUUUUUCUGGUAUGCCGCUCCGCCAGCAAGGAGCGAAAGAACCAAGUUUUCUAUGGUGAUGUCAGAAUUUGCACCUAUUUGUAUCUAUUUAGUGAUCAUCCCGCUAGUUUCUUUGAUCCCACUCGGUCUUCCUUUUCUAUUUUCUUCCAAUAGUUCGACCUAUCUAGAAAAAUUGUCGGCCUACGAAUGUGGUUACGAUCCUUCCGGUGAUGAAAGAAGUCAUUUUGAUAUAAGAUUUUAUCUUGUUUCCAUUUUAUUUAUUAUUCCUGAUUCGAAAGUAACCUUUUCCUUUCCUUGGGCAGUACCUCCAACAAGAUUGAUCCAUUUGGAUCUUGGUCCAUGAUGGCCUUUUUAUUAAUUUUGACGAUUAGAUCUCUCUAUGAAUGGAACAGGGAUGCUUUGGAUCGGGAGUAACCACUAGUGAUAGGGCAAAAAUAGGGGGAAAGGAAAAAGGAAAGAGCGAUGCCUACGUUAAAUCAAUUGACAUGCCUACUAAAUUAAGACACUUCCCAUAUUCGGACUAUCAAGAUCGACUAAAUGAGAGUGUGGCUGACAUGGUAAAAGAACAAAUCAACCAGACUUUUCUGGACCCCUUUUUGACCGCCAUCAUAUAGGGGGGUCGUAGAUCGAGUAUACACCCGGUACCCAGCUUCCUGUAAAUGAUACGAUAAUGGAAGAUUCUUAGGCAUAAUAGCCCUCAUUACAGGAACAAGGGAUAUGGAACUAACUAAGGAUCUUAACAUGUGACAGGAGACAGGAAAAAAUUUCUUAGUCACUCCGCGUAAGAAGAACCGCUUACCAAACUCCAAAUCACCAACUGAUGAUACUAAUGAUUUCUCUAACAAAAAUUGAACAUUCAAUGGAAGAAUUAGCUCAUGAUAACGCUCAGCCACUGGCUCAUCUUCAAUGAUGAAAUCAUCACCGAGAAUAGCGUAGCGUGUAAAAGGAACUCCUGGAUAUACUUGGGCUGCUACGAACCAAAUCACCAAAUGGUGAGUUAAUGCAAAAGUAGGACAAUCUCUAUAAAAGCCCAACGGGGCUCCUAUUACAUCCACCCUCUCACGGACGAAGGCUCCACAACAUGUUGGAGAGCUUUUAGAUCCCACCCUACCCAAAAAUGCCCAUUCCCUAAGAGUUUCAAAGUAAUUCUUAUUCUCACCGCAACCUUCUUAAGCCGAAAGAAAGCCAGGCAAAAAUCUCAUGGUAGUAUGAAGGGGGAGUAGAAUUGUAUCUGGGAGUGGUUCUUCGGAUCGAUCACAGAUUUUCGGCCCUAUCUCUUGGCAUCCACUCCAGUUGAACUCUCUUAUUUCCAUCCCAUCGUGAGAAGGUAGAGAGCAAAACCAACCCAGAAAACAACUAUUACUAUGUCCCUAAUUAGUAAAGCAUGUACUUCUUGCAAGGCUUGCUGAGCUUCUUCAUGUGACAGACAUCGUAGAAGUAGUCCGUUGAACGAUCGCGGAUCGAGGGCAUGAUAAUAGUAUAAAAUUUUGGAACCCUAAUGGGUUUCGCAGUCGACCAUUUGAUAGCCCUGUUCCUGAAUAUACAUAGAAUAGGGCUUUGAUGAGCCCUAGAUGUAAAGGGGCGUAAGCACUUCUACUUCUAAGCAAUUAGAAGAGCGCGAAAUCAGACCUCUCUCAAAUAAAUGGAUCUGGUAUUGAUUGUGGAAUCUAGCAUAGAGAACCGGGGGCGGGCAGAAAGAUAGGAUAGGUGGAGUAGUAGCUCUGGAGCAGGUUCUUUGACUGGAUCAAUGCAUGUAUGAACCCUAAAAAAAUCCCAAAGGUCUAGUCUAGAAAAAACCCAAAUUUCGUUGGGUUAGAUUUUUGGUAGGAAAGGCGGUCAUAGGAAGAAAUGCCCUACCAAUGAAUAGAUUAGUCUACUAAAGUCAACAAUCUCUUUCUUUAUAUACGAGACCAUCUGCUUUUAUAUCCUAAACUAUAGAUAUGAAAGAAAAAAGAAAGAUAGAUAUUCCCAUGGUAGGAAUAAGGCAGUUACACUAAGAAAGAGAGCUAGGGAUUUCAUAAAGGUGAUAGGACAGGGUUCCAAACCUGCCUUAGUCUCAAAUAGGGUACAAGCUAGGGACAUUACUAUAUGAAUAAGACUUCAUCCUUAUUACAAGCGAUACCUCAAAUUCCUAAAAUGCUCCUCUAGUCCCGAGCUUGAUAAAUAAGGCCGGGGUAAAUUCUUUUCUUCCGACCUUGUUGUGAUAGGGGGAGUCACUCUUGCGUUCUCUCUCUUGGGUAGGUGAGUCUCGCUCUCUCUUGUUGGUAAGUAUAUCUAUUAUGGUAUUGCUAUCAUGCCGUUCCAGUAGUAUUUGUGAAUUUUUUGUUUUGAGGGGGGGAAUAAAAAAGGUAAAUAAAGACCUUAGCCAAAAAUAAGGGAUUCCUGAGGCCCGAACGAGAGCAGAGGCAACAGGGUAGGUAUUCUCAAAAAAGAAAGAAAGAAAAAUA